rnacentral:lncRNA from 1 species
AGACAUUCUGUGAAUAGUCAGUCAAAGUGAAAUACAAGAAAACAAAUCCCUCUCUCCUCUCCCCGCUCUGUAAACUCUCCUUUUAGGUAGCCAUGACUGCGGCCACCAAGAAACACCUACCCUCCUCCGCUAAGCCACCCAAGAACCACCACUCUACCCCCAACACCACCACCACAACAACCCCACAACCUAACAUCACUCAAAACCCUAACCCAACCACCAAUCCAUCACCACUAUCUCCCACCCUCAAAGACCAGGUUUUGUCACGCGCCACCCACAUCACGCACCAAGAACUCCUCAAAAGAAGGUCUUACAAGCUAAAACAGCUCUCAAAAUGCUUCAAAGAUCAUUACUGGGCAUUAAUGGAAGAACUCAAGAUUCAGUACAGAGAGACUUUUUUUGUCUUAUUUUUUUAUAUUAAUUUUUUCUCCUUUCAUAUAAUUAUUUUAUUUUCUUUUAAUUUUUACUUUAUUAACAAAUAAAAUGAGAUAUUUUAAAAAUAUUUUAAAAAAUUAGUUUUAUAAUAUUGACAAACAUUUAUUUUUUGCUUUGAAUUAUUUUUUUUUCUUGCUUUAUUUGUUAUAAUAUCAUUAAAUUAAUUAAUUUCAUUAAAUUUAUUAAAGCAAAUUACCUAUAUAUUAUUUUUAAUAUUUUUAUACUAAAAAUAAUUGGUUCAUGUGAAGCGACCCGCCUAACUAUUCUUAUCUGUAAACAUAUCAUGUUAUCACAAACUUAUUUAAAGCUUGACGCAUUGGUCAAUUAUUUUAUAUUUCAGUGUUUUGUGACAUUAACAAUGAAGUUAUUGAUUGAAGCAUUGGUCCACACUCUUAAAUGGCGAAGACUUCCCCCAUGCGCACUCAGGUCAAUGAUGAACAAUUGUAGGUUUUUUGAUCGCCAAACCUUACUUUUGAAGAUGUCAUUGAAAGUGCCGCCCCAUCUUUUAUUUUUUUUGUUUUUUUUAUGGCGUGGGUGGCGCGAUAAUUUAGUAUUUUUAUUUUUAUGUUUUAAAAAUAUUUUUUAAAAAAUUUAAAAACUAAUAUAUUUUUAAAUUAUUUUGAUGCGUGAAUAUUAAAAAUAAUUUAAAAAAUAUAUAUAAUUAAUAUAUAUAUUUUAAUACAAAAAAUUAUUUAAAAAAUAAUCACACGGUACUAAAUAAUCUCUUGAAAUUGUUGGAGUGUCGGGACUGUUCUCAUAUGUUUUUAUAUUUUUUUUUAUUUCAGUUUUUAUUCUAUUAAUUUUAUAAUUUUUUAUUUGAUACUUUUAUUUAAAAUUUUAAUCGCUUUCAAUAAAGCUUGUCGGUGGUAAAACACACUCCGAAGCAAUCUGUGGUUCAACGACAAAAAUAUGAGCUUUCUUUUCUGUUCGUUUCUGUGGUCCACCACCUUUAAUUUCUUUCAUGGCAAGAGUUUUGCCCCCAUGCGCAAUUAGGUCAAUGACGAAGAAUUGUAGGGUUCUUGCUUAUUUCUUCUGGUCCAGAAGCCUGUGCCGUGUAACAAUCUAUGGGUAGAAAUUAAUGGCAAAGGGAAGAGAUGAAAGAAGAAGGUCCAUCAAAAUCCUUCUAUCCUCCCUGCAACUCCUUCAGAAUUCUAGGACUUGUUUAUUUUUGUAUUUUUAAAAUAUUUAAAAAAAAUUAAUUUUUUUUAUUUGUUUAAAAUUAAAACACGUCAAUUACAAGAUAUUAAAUAAUCAAAGAAAACAUCCAAGUUUAACAUCAUAAAAUAAUAAUAAAUUAGUUCAUUGUAUAGAGAACAGUAAAUUUAUCUUAAUAAAAAAUUAAAUGAAAUCAAUCGUAUGAAAGUGAAAUAAAACAAUAAGUGAUGCCUAAUCCUUUGAUCUCCCACCAACAAUCUUUUAGCAAUAUUUUGUUGAAAAAGUGUACCUCUAAUCUUACAGUUUUGUUCUUAGUUUUAUUGUCUUCAUUUGUAUUCUAUCAUAUGAGUUUCCAGACUUGUAGGUAAACAUAAAUGCAUCUAGCAACAAUUUCUCUAAGUUUUUUUAUUGAAUCUAUGAAAAGAAUUUCAAGAAGUUAAUUACGAAUUUAUAUAAACUCUUGUACUAAAACAAUCAAAUUAUAUUAUGAAAUUAAUUUUGUUAUUAAUACUUCAUUGAAUUCAGAAUUUGUGAUCCAAAUGGUUAAUUUGACCAUGGUCUUGGAGAGUUUUUUUAUUUUUUUUUAUCUGAAAGAUAUUCAUCUUCAAAUUUUAUUAGAAAAAAAUAUCACAAAUAAAAAGUAAAUUUUAAAUUUUUACAAAAAUAUUUUUAAAACAUAUAAAUAUACACAGACAGUUAGUAUUGUCAUUGACAUGGUCUUGAUGAUGACUUACCAAAAUAAUUUUCAAUUGUCGAUGCUCCAUAGAGUGUUUAAGGCACAAGCCACUCUCUCCCAGUGAAGCAAUGAUUUUUAGUCCAAGUUAUCAUGUGCGUGCUUGAAAGUUUUUUUGUCCCGUAAUUGCAGCAAAAUUUGAAUUUUGCACCUAAAACGAUCGUUAGCAAAAACAAUCUGUAAUUUUUCUUGCAAAGAUCUGUAAGGUAAUUAUAAGAUUAUCAGCACUGGAUAAAUAGAAAAAUCUUGGAUUUAGAACUAGAAAAAUCUUCUAAAUGAAUAAUAGAAAAGAAAAGAAAAGAGAAGAGAAGAAAGAAAGCUAAGCUUUACAACUGGAAAAAACAUUAUCAGCACUGGAUAAAUAUGAAAUGUUUAAGUUAAGUUGAUGCUGAAAUUCUGAAACGUUUAUUUCUAUCACCCUCCCGAUCACUCCUUAGUCCUUACAUAAAUAGCAUGACGUCAUACCUUUACUAUGAGGUAAAGGUUCCAAAACCAGAAUACAAAACAAUCCCUAGAAAUCAUAAAAUCCUAAUUUCAUCCCUUACUAAGGGGAAAUAGCGAUCGGGAUCCUCGUUAGCUGCGGGCAAUCACGCACAGUAAUUUCUUCGAGAGAAUCGCAAAGAAGUCUUCCAGAAUAAAUGCUAUUCAAAUUUGGUAAUUUCUUCAAUACCAAAACCCUCAAUUUAUCAAAUCUACGAAAAGGAGAGGAAUGCUCAUCACUUCCCAUUAUCUCCUGCAUGUUGUAACAUUCUUCGACUACAAUCACUUCCAAUCGGAGUGUAGACAACAACCAAGGAGGGAGCAGCACCUUCAUCCUAUGACAUUUAUGUAUCACGAUCUCUCUGAGAUUCCAGAAGACUAGCUCUGAAGGUGCUUCAAAAAGGGUUUCUAAGAUUAUCAAACCAUCAAGGUGUAGAAUCUCAAGCCCUUCAAUUUCAUCUGAUGGACAUAAGCUUCUCAUGUUUUGACAUCUCACAAAAACUACUUUUGUAAUGAAGAGCGGGAUCAGACGAUUUGCAUUGUCAAGCUUGAGGUCAUAAAACCAAGCCUCUUUAAUUAACCCUGACUUCGAUCUUGUAUAAUUUAGAUCUUCAAGUGAAGAGAAACAAGGUCGUCCUACAGUAACCUUGCAUGCAAUUUGUGAAAAUCUCCGUCCACGACAGAAAUAUACGAAAUCGUCUAGAUCACGGAAGUUGCAUUCCAAAGUUUCCAAAUCAUAUAAUCUGGAAACUUCGUCUCCACUAACUAAGAGAACAACUCCAAAUCCCUGAAGAAGCUUGAGGAACUGUAAUUUUGAGAGUUGGGGUAAAAUACCCGGCCGUAAAAAACGCACCACACUUUGAUCAAGAUUAAGAUACCUGAGAUCCUUCAGCCCUUCCAUUCCCUCGGGCAAAUCUUCAAGUCCAGUGUAACUGAGAUCCAACUUCUCCAAUGCCUCAAGCUUUGCUAAUGAUGGUACAUAACUCAGCUUUGCACACCAUCCCAGCAACAAUGCAGUGAGUCUCGUCAGAUGAGAAAUAGAAUCCGGCAACUUCUCUAUAUCUGUGUCGGAAAGAUCAAGAACCUUGAGUCCGAUGAGGUGCUGGAAAAAAGAAUCCUCGACCAAAUCCAAUUUGUAGUUUCUGCAUAACAAUAAUGUUGAGAGACGGGGGCACAUUGGUGAAAAGCCUGUUGGAAUAUUCUUGAUUCUAUUUUCCAUGAGUGAAACUCUUAACAGUUCCUUUCUCCACAAUCUUACAUCGGGUAAUUCUGUUAGGUGUGCACCUGCUUGAACCAUAGCCUCCCCACUUUCGUUCAAUAUUGUCCAAGCCAUAUCCCAAAUCAAAUCAUGCAUCUUGACAUAUCUGUAAUUUUCAUCGUCCCUGGAACCUUCUAAUAAGCUGGCAUCUUCAAGUUGAUCAAGCAUGGUAUGGCCCCUAUCAAAUUGUGCAUACCUACUCCCCAUUUCUUUGACUAUACCCUCGUCAAUCAAAUACUCUAUCAAGUCCUCUCUCCAGAUGAUCUUGCCUUUUGGAAAUAGUGUGAUAUGUAAGAAGCACUCUUGAAGUGCUGAAUCGUUCAACUGAGCAUAGCUAAAUUUCAAUACUCGAAAUACAUUGGCUUCCAUCUCACCUGGUCCAACUUCUAAUCUUCUCAGUUUUAGCAAUGCAUCUCUCCAACGAUAUUCAAAAGCAUUGGCUCCCUUCAUGCUUCGAGCCAUUGUCAUGAUUCCAAGGGGCAAACCAGCACACUCCUUCACAAUAGACUGUGCGAUCUCAGGAUAAAGUGUACCACCACGCCCUAAUCUGUCUAUGAACAGAUCCCAAGCCUCACCCUCAGAAAGAGGCUCCACUUUGAUUGUCCUUUGGCAAUCCAUUUUUCGACAUAUCUCCAGUGAUCUCGUUGUGAGAAUCAACUUCCACCCGUCUGUUCUAAGAGGUAUUCCCACUUCGUCAGGAAGAAAAUCACCCCACAAAUUAUCAAGAAUUAAAACACCUUUUAUCACACUCAAUGCUGUCCAUAGCUCCCUGGCUCUAAUCAUCACAUCUUUUCCAUUCUGAAGACAUAAACCAAAAGCAUUGGCAAUGAGAUCCUGCAAUGCGUGAACGCUAAAUUCUCGAGAGUCAGUAAUCCAAUAGACACAGGGAAAAAUGUCAGGUUUCUCUUGAAGGUGAUCAAGGAUAUGUGUAGCCAAAGUUGUCUUUCCGACUCCCCCCAUCCCGUAAAUGCCAAUGCAUGAGACCUCAUCAUUCAACAACCAAGAGCAGACAUCCUUCAUAUUUCUUUUAAACGCUUGGCCCACUAUAUUCGUUGUCAGAUCAUAUCUUGUAGUCCUAGGACGCUUAUGUACAGGCCUUUUAGAAGAGCUUCCUCUCACAACAAAAGACUCUGUUCUUUGUCUAGUCUCGGGUUCAUCUGGCAUAAGAACGACAGGAGCUCUAGGUUCCUCGACAAGCUCAGUCUCCCCCCCAAUCAGAAAACCCUUACGUCCUCGUUCAUCCGAAAGUGGUUGUUCUUCUUGCUCCAUUUCUAAGCCCCGCAAAGCAGUUGAAGCUGCAUCAAUUCCCUCGUUAUUGCUUGAACUUGGCACACUCUUAUCUGCAGGCAUUUUAGAACAGCUUCCUCUCUCAGUAACAGCCUGCAUCCAUUCCUGAAGAGUGAUGUUAUUCGUAUCCGUUUCAAAUGCUUGAACUGCUGGCUCUAUUCCCAAUCCAGUCUCAGGUGCAUCGGGCAUAAGCAUGCUAGGAACCAUGGUCUCCUCAGACAGGAAAAACUCUCCCCCAGUUAUCCCAUCCAUCCAUGAAACAUCAUCCGAACUUGGCAUGCUCCCACGCAUUCUGUCAGGAAGCUUAUCAAACGCUGCUCGUUGAGCAUCUGGAGUUACUUUUUCACAAAUUUUAACACCACGACCUCGAACUUUUGCCAGAUGAUAAUUCAUCCUUGUAGUGGAAGUACUUCCAGCCAAUGUCUUCUCGCAAAACAUGCACUUCAAUAAACCACCAUCUUUCUCAAAACAACUCUGAAAUGGAUCACUUCCUCCAGCCAUUUUUUCUUCUGUGUCCCUACAUACAAACAUAACAAAGAACUUUCAGAAUAUUGAAUUAAAAUGGAACUUAAACUAAUUGAAAAAAAGAAGAAGCUAAGUUUAACAUAAAAAGAAAAAUUGAUUACAGGUGUUUCACUGUCUAAACCAAAGUCAAGUUAAACCACUCCAAAGAUCAAAGUGCUCUUUUAUUUUUACUUUCCCAAUAAUUCUACAACUGGUCAUAUCAGUAAUUUAAUAACCAGUAUGUUUCUUUUUGCUUAGAAGAAUCAAACUACAUGAGUUGGAAAAGAAAUGGUAUGAAAAAAGAGCUAAAAUUAAUCAAACUUAAUUACCUGAACAGCAGAAGCAGCAAGAUGUUAUCCAAUGGUCUGAUUAAAUCAGAAAAAAGAAGAUGGACGGGGAAGAGUAAGUGUGUUGGAGACGAGUGAUAGAGCUUCGGCUUGUGUGGUUGUGGAUAAGGAUAGAUUCAGACAGUCAGAGAAGCAGAUGACAGUGAAAAAAAGUUAAAUGGACUUCUGUCGUUCAUGGAUGUCAUAUGGACAUGUUGUUGGUCUUCCAGGAAGCGGAUCCGGCGAGGGGUGCUCUAGUGAAGGCGUGGGGGUAGGCGGUGGCUGAUGAUAGUCUCCUCGUGUGGUGGACAGCACGCCAGCUUUGCAAACGAUGAGAAAGAGCACGAUCCACCACAAAACAGCAGAAGAGAAAGCAGCAGGCCGAGAGAAGAAAAGGGAGCAGGAGCAGAGUUGACCGAGAGACAGGUAGAGCUUGUUAGAGAUGGAGAAAAUAACUUCUUAAAUAGUGUAAAUAUAAUUUUUUUUAAUUAUAUAUAUUUUAAUGGUAUAAAAAUAUUUAGAAAAGUUAAUUAUAUUUUAAUAUAUUUUAUGUUAAAUUAAUUUUAAUAUAAUUAUAUAACUAGUUUAGAUAUUUUAUAUAUAAUAUAAUUAUGAUGUUAUUAAUUAUAUAAUUAAUAUGAGUAAUUUAUAAAAGUAAUAUAAAAUUAAUGAAGUAAUAUGAAAGUUAAAAGAUAUAAUUUAAAAUUAAAUUUAAAAUUUAUUUAUAUGAAUAUUUUUAAUUUUAAGUUUUAUAUGUAAUUGUUAAAUAUUUAAUUUUUUUAAAAGUAAAUUCAAAUUUAAACUUUGAAAAAAUGACUGCCAACAUUUUAAAUUUUGAAAAAAUUACCGCCAACAUUCUAAGAUUUUACAAUUUAAAAAAAUAAUCCAUCUAUAAAUAUUCUCAUAUGCCUUAACAUUUUUUUUCUCGUCAUUUUCUUCUCUCCAAUCUUUGUUAUAUUUCAUUAAAAUUCAUCAUGAAUCAUUCUAAUUUUAAUUUUUAUGAUGCUUUUGAUUUUAAUAAUGACACUCCUAUGUUUGCUUUUCAAGUUGCUACUGUCGUGGUUGCUGAAGAAGAAUCGAAUAAUCAAGGGCGAAGAACAGGAUAUCGUGGCUCUAUUCAUGCUCACAAUAUUGUCAAUCGUAAUAGAAAGGAAGACAAGUUAAAGUUAUAUAAUGAUUAUUUUGUAGAAAAUCCUAAAUUCACUGAAAGUCAAUUUCGAAGAAGAUUUAGGAUGAGUCGUCGUCUUUUUCUUCGGAUCGCAAAUGUAGUAGAAGCUCAUAAUCCAUAUUUCAAACAAAGGACAUAUGCUCUUGGUGUUCUUGGUUUAUCUUGCCUUCAAAAGAUAACUGCAGCUCACAGAAUACUUGCAUAUAGUAUUCCUGCAGAUCUUACUAAUGAAUAUCUUUGAAUUGGAGAAAUCACUGCGAUAGAAAGUCUUAGAGCUUUCGUCAAAGCAAUCAUAAAAGUUUUUGGUGAUUGGUAUCUAAGGGCACCAAACAAGACCGAUAUUUGUCGAUUAUUAUCAAUUGGAGAGCAGCGUUGAUUUCCAGGGAUGUUAGGGAGCAUUGACUGUAUGCAUUGAAAAUGGAAGAAAUGCCCAAUUGCAUGGCAUGAGAUGUAUACUGGUCAUUAUCGUGAACCAACUAUAAUUCUAGAGGCGGUGGCUUCACAACAUCUUUGGAUAUGGUAUGUCUUUUUUGGAAUGCCUGGAUCAUUAAAUGAUAUUAAUAUUCUUGAUUGGUCAUCUAUCUUUGUUGCACUUGCUGAAGGUCGUACUGCUCCUAUCAAUUAUACAAUUAAUGGGAAUGAAUAUACAAUGGGAUACUAUUUAGCAGAUGAGAUUUAUCUUAAUUGGUCAACCUUUGUUAAGACAAUCCUAAGACCAUUAGGAGCAAAAAAAACAAAUAUUUUGCAAACAAGCAAGAGUCUGCAAGAAAAGAUGUGGAGCGGGCAUUUGGAGUGCUUCAAUCUCGUUUUGCAAUUGUACGUGGACCUGUUCGAUACUGGGAUGAAGAAACGCUUGCAUAUAUUAUGAAACCUUGCAUAAUAAUGCAUAAUAUGAUUAUUGAGGAUGAAGGAGCAAUGAACCUUGGAUUUGACCAUGAACAUGAAGUCAAUUCCUUUAUAUCAGUGUCACAUGGUGAAAUACCAGAACUACAUGAUUUUCAUCAAACUCAUAAUCGAAUUAGGGAUAGAGCAACUAGCUCUCAACUAUAAGAAGAUUUGAUUGAACAUUUGUGGAAACAAUAUGGCAACGAGUAGAAUCUUUAGAUCUGAACUUCUUAUGUUAUCAUAAUUUUCAAGUUUUUUAUGUUUUUUUUUUCAUUAUGGUUGUUAUUUUUUAAGUUAAUUAAUCCUACUUAUUAUUGUUAAGUGUUAGAGGAACUUCAAAAAAAUAUUAUGAAUUAAUAUCAAUUUCAUAACAAUAUAUUUAAAAUAACCAAGAAUUUUCUACAUAUUUAAUUAAAAAUACAUUACAUUACAAUAAAUCAAUCAAAGUUAAUUAAAAAUUAAAACCCCUCUUUUGCAUAAUUUCUAACUUUCUAUUUUGAAAUAUACAUUUUCAUAAUUUGUUCUUCUUUCUCAAUCCUGUCAAAUUCUUGUUUCUCUUGACUUUAUUGAAUCAUCAUGGCUUGUUGCUCUUACAUAAUUUUCCUGUCUUGUUUCUUCUAAUCCUCAAUUUCAACUAGAGUAUCCCUAAAUUGUUGUAAGAGAUUCGUUACAGUUACCUCCCCAACUUUAUCUUUUCCUUGUUUACUUGUACAUCGUUCAUUUGCAGCCUUCUGACCGAUUGGUCUAUCUUGAUAAAUCAAUGGCUCACUAUCUUCUUCUAAACUAACAGAAUCAAUGGUAGAUGGAGUUGAUGAAGUCGGACUUGUAUUGGCAUGACUUUUUUGUUUCUUAUUUGACCUUUGAUGUUGACUUGCACGCUCAAAUUGUUAUUUGGGUUCUUUUCUUAAGAUAACCCAACAAUGUUCUAGUUGAAAUCGUUUGCCAACGCAAGAAUCAUACAUUUGUCGAGCAUCAUUAAUCUGGUAAAAAAAUAAAUAAAUUAAAUAAUAUUAAAAUAUGUGUUAAACAAUUUAACAUAGAAAUGAAUAUUAAAAUUACCCUUGAUUCUUCAGUCUUUCCACUUUGUUGACGAUUUUCAAUUUGAGUAACAAAUCCAACAAAUUUACCGACUUCUCUAUUUAUUUCUUGCCAUCUACUUGAGAUGCUUAUUUAGGAACGAUUAUUCAAGUUUCCUCCAUUCUCUACAAAGUAAGCAUACACACGAGCCCAUAACUGUUUUGUUUGUUGUUCAACUCCUGUAAUUGGAUCCUUGCUUGUAUUUAGUCAUGCAGGGACAAGUAAACAAUAUUUCUCUGGUGAGAAAUUUUUACUUCUUUGUGAUUUUUUUGCUGAAUGGACAUAUAAAUUCAAGUAUGUUAAGUCAUCAAUUAAUUGAUUAGAAUCACUUGGUUGAGAGAGAAUAUCUUCUGACUCACUCAUAAGAAAGUUGGUAAAAGAGCUUGGAAAAUUUGAAUCCAUCUACAUUAAAAAAAAAAAAAAAACUCAAGUUAAAACCUUAUAAGAGGGUGUAAAAAAAGCUCACAUUCAAUGUCUAAUAAUUUUAUAGUUUCCAUAUAUGUGAAUUAAUAAUAAGCAUAGCCUUGUAAUUGUUCUAACAUAACAAUUUGACCAUUUUUUGAAACUAAAAGAGAUUUGAUAUACUGGUUUAAUUGUAUUUUCAACAAGACAAAAUAUAAUUGACCUCAAAUUAAAACAGAUAAUAAAAAAUAAAUUUUAAAUAUGUCACUCUAUCUUUUUAUCAAUAUCAACUACCAUUAUUAAUUCCUCUCAAUUUUAUCAAAGAUAACAACAUAAAUAAAAAUUGUCUUCCUUAACCCAUAUUAAAAACAUAAAAUAAUAAAGAAAUAAAAAUAAUCACAAAUAUUAAAUUAACAACAAAAGGUCUAAAACAUCAAGAGAUAUAAAAGAGAAAAUAGAAAAAGCUUUUAAACAAGCAUACCUUUUAAUUUCAACUAAUUAACACAACCAAUGUUAUUAAUUAACUGGAGAAUAAUUGAUUUUUAUUUUUCUAAAUUUGAGAGAAGGGUGAGGCACAAUACAAAAUUUUAAAAUCUACAAGUUCUUUCCUCCUGCAUUUAAAGAAAAUUCCUCUUGCAUUUAAAGAAAAAAAAAAAGAGCUAUUGGCCAAUGGCUAUAAAAAUAGCUGUUGGCCAACAAUUAUUUGUUUUUGCCAUUUCUACAGGGAAAUAUAGAAAUGACUUGCCAGUGAACAAAUAGCUAAAAUAGCUAUUUGUUUGGGUGCUGGGUUGGAGUGAAGAAAUGAAAAAGUAAAAGCUAAAAGUACACUUUUUAACAUUUGGCUUUUUAUUUGGCUCAUACGUUGGAGAUGCUGUUAAAACAAUUCAAUUAAUAUAAAAUAAAUAAAAACUUCUAUAAGAAGGUUAUAAUUUUUUUAAUUAAUUUAUUUUAAAAGUAUAUAUUUUAAUCUAAAUAUAAAGUAAUUAUAUAUAGACUAAAUUAAAAAUAUUUUUUAUUUUUAAUAAAAAAAAAACAAGAUAAAUAUAUAUCUUUUAACAUGCUCUCAAACUUGCAAUGUGAUAACUACAAGUAUUGAGAGUUUAUCAAUUAGAAAACAAAAGUGAGAAAUGGAUUGCAACUUGGUAAAGAAAUCUGUAAUUUGCAAUGAAAAAAAAACAAAAGGUAAAAUAAUGAUGUCAUGCUUGAGAUAAUAGCGAGUAAAAUAACAAUCGAUCUCAAUAUAUUUAGUUUGUUCAUGAAAAAUUGAAUUGUGAAUAAUAUAAAUAAAACUCUAAUUGUUAAAAUUCAAAGAAAUAGAAUAAGAAAAUUUUUAUUGAACUCCUAUUAAAAAAAUAAAUUCAAUAAUAAAAAUAUCUUUUAUUUUUAUUAUUAUUAUUAUUAUUAUUAUUAUUAUUAUUAUUCUUUUUCUUCUUCUUCUUCUUUUGCUGGAAUGUGAUUAUCAAGUCAUUAGCUCUCUCCUAAAACUUCUGUGAUAACUUUCCUUUUUUUUUUUCAAUAUCCCAAGAUUGAAAUAUGAAAAAAAUAAAUGAAACAUCAAUCUCUAAAACAAUAGCAAUCAAAAAUAUUAAAACUUUAAAGAUUAAAUUAAAAUUUUCCACGUCAAAAUCUGAAUGGUGUAUUUAUUUUUGUUCUUUGUUAAAUUUGGUUUUUGUUUCUUUUAAUUUUUUAUUUUGAACCACAAUUAAAUUUUAAAUUUAAAAAAUCAGAACCAGACUCAAAUUUAAAUUUUCUUAAAACCAAGCAUGCAGAAGAUAAUGUAAAUCAAAAGAAAUACAAACAAAUGAUACCAUGAUAAUAUAACUCUAAAGGAUAAAAUUAUAAAAAUAAAAAGUUUAAUAAUCAAAAUUAAAAAUACAUUGUUCUUAUAAACAGAUGAAUCCACAAUAAAAUGAGUAAAAUGAGUGUACGUAAAUCAUGUUUGUGCUACAAUUAAAGAUUCAUAUGUUUUAGUCAAUGACUAGUUGUGGACCCAUACUAUGUCAUAAGGUUAGAUUUUCUUUUUAUAUAAAAAUUAGUGUUGAGGUGUUGCAAAUAUAUUUUUAAGCAUGAAGAAGAAUUCUCAUUUUAGGUUAUAGACUUGACCAUGUCAAAUAGGAUAGUUUAUUUUAAUUAGAUGAUAGAAAAAAUAGAGUAAUGGAAAUAGAUGUACAAAAUUAAAGAAAAAGUCGUGAUAAUAUAGGGAAAAACUUUAGAGGAUGAAGUUGCAAGAAUUAAAAGUCCAAUGACUAAAAUUAAAAAAAUGAACUGCUCAUAUGUACAAUCAAAUCCACGACGAAAGCAUGAACAUUGUUUGGUGCCAUAGUAAAAGAUCCUUAUGUUCAAGCUAUUUCUGUAAUAAUCUCUAACUGUAAUUUGAGUUCCGUCAUCCAAUUGUAAGCUACACGUCGUCUGUGAUUGUCGGUUUUCUAUUCAGACAUCCUGUGAAUAGUCAGUCAAAGUGAAAUACAAGAAAACAAAUCCCUCUCUCCUCUCCCCGCUCUGUGAACUCUCCUUUUAGGUAGCCAUGACUGCGGCCACCAAGAAACACCUACCCUCCACACUUGAGGGUCCAGCUGCUGUGGUCAACCGUGUGACUUGUUCCGCCCCCAUCCCGGGUUCGACCCUCUAUGUGUACGCCUGUCACCCCCGCGGUGCCUUACAUGUUCACUGGGCUUGCAGGAUGCCCAGUGGGCCCGGGGACUAGUUGUGGUGCGCGCAAACUGGCCCGGACACCCCGGUUAUCAAAAAAAAAAAAAAAAAAGAAACACCUACCCUCCUCCGCUAAGCCACCCAAGAACCACCACUCUACCCCCAACACCACCACCACAACAACCCCACAACCUAACAUAACUCAAAACCCUAACCCAACCACCAAUCCAUCACCACUAUCUCCCACCCUCAAAGACCAGGUUUUGUCACGCGCCACCCAUAUCACGGACCAAGAACUCCUCAAAAGAAGGUCUUACAAGCUAAAACAACUCUCAAAAUGCUUCAAAGAUCAUUACUGGGCAUUAAUGGAAGAACUCAAGAUUCAGUACCGAGAAAAAAUUAACCGAAAAAACCGAACCGAUAGAAAAAACCGAAUAAACCGAUUAAAAAAACCACCCGGUCCGGUUCGGUUCCGGUUUAAGAAGGCUUAAACCGAUUAAACCGGACCGAACCGAACUAGUUUAAUUAAAUCUAAAAAAAUAUAUAAAAAAACAUCCUAAACUUAAUAAUUAAUACCCCCUCCCCCAAAACCUUUCCAGCUACCCCUCCCCUUUUCCCGGCUUUCUCUUCCCCCCACAAAAUAAAACCCAGCACUCUCAAUCCCCACCCACACAACCUUUCCCUCUAAACAUUUCUAAAACGUGUGAUUGGAAUGUCCAUCACAAGUGUAGAAGGAUAUUUGGGUCCCAUAUCCAGGACCGUGAUGAUUGUUAUUACCAAAGCUCUAAUUUUUUUCACUUAAAUAAGAGGACAAGACAGGACAUGACAGGACACGAGGAUAUAACGGUUUUAUCUUAUUUAAUUGAUUUCGGUUUUUCUGGUUUUUAAAGCUAAAAAACCGACCCGAACCGAACAAAACCGGUUCGGUUUGAACCGGUUCUCGGUUCGGUUCGGGUUAUAUUAACAAGGAAUAGAAUUUUCUGGUUCGGUUAAAUUUUCAUGUUAAAACCGGACCGAACCGGACCGUGAACACCCCUAAUCAUAGGAAUAUAAACAUAUACCUUCACUCUUUUUUAGAAGCUAAAAGGUUUAAAAUUAAUUUUUAAAAGUAUCAAUAUUAAAUUACCAUAAAUCAAGAAUAUAAUUCUAGAAAAAUCAAGGAUUAUUUUUAUAUAUAUUAACUUUUCAUUCACCUAUAAUUUGUUUAAAUCAUUUUAAUGAAAACAAGUUUCCAACACCAACACAUAACAACACACCUUUUUUAUUUAAUUUUUUUUAUUUGUUUUUUCAAUUUAGUUUUCAAUUGAUGCCCUCUCUUUUUAUAUAUAAUUGAUUAGUCUAUCUACUUUUUAAAUACUAAUUAAUUUUCUAAAUGAUUUUUUAAAAUUUUAUAAUGCCUCAAAGGGAUUAUUAUAAUUUGUUUUAAAUCUUUUAUCUAUUAAAUUCUUUAUCUCGAUAAGUUAUAUUUUCAUGAUAUAUUUAUAUUAAUGAAAAUCAAAUAUAUUUAGUAUCCAUUAUAAACUUUCAAGAUAAAUAAAUAAAUACUAGAAAAAAAUUAAUCAAGCCUGCAAUGUAACAUUAAUCACCAAUCGAAUUAUAAUCUAUACUAAAAGGCAUUAGUUUUUGAAAUUACUAUGCACUCUUUCACAAUACAUUAUGGAUUGGAGCAAAGAUUUUAUAUAUAUAUUUUCACUUUGGUCUUUGAACUUUUAUUUUGAGUGAUUUGAUAUUUUUUAGCCCAAAUUAGCCCCCAAUUGCACAUUGUUUUAGAAGAGAGGGUUGAAUUGAAAGAUAGGGAAUUGAAGUGAAAAUAUCGGGUAACAUAGGGGGUGGGUUGAAAAUUUUGCUAACACAUUCAUUUUAAGCCCCUAUCGUUUUUAAAUAUUAGGUGACCAACCCCUUGAAUCUUAAGAAAAUAUAUUUUUGUACCUAACUUCAUUUUUCUCUUUUUAGUUCUUUUUUUGUUGGGAGGAGAGGGAUGGAGUCGCCAAAUUCUAGCCUAUAGAGAGAAAAUGACUAUUUGAAAAGAUUACGGCCACCAAAAUGGCUGAUUUUUAUAUCAAAAAGUUUCAUAUGAUGAAGGGGUUUAGGUGUUUUUUUUUAUUAUUAUUUACCUAAAAAACACCUGAAAAAGAUCUGAGCUUUGGUAGAAUUUUUGUUUCAGUUAGAUUUUAGGUUUUGGGGCGGUUUAUUGGGUUUUUGGUGACCAUGGAUUGACUUAAUAACGUCUCUAGGGUUUUUUUCUAGGUAUCUUGGGGUAAAAAAUAGAUUGAAAAUUAAUUUUUGAGUAAAAAAAUAAAGGACCUUAUUUUUCCGGCCACCAUAAUGGCCGAAUUCUAGGUUGCGCAAAUGAUACAUCAUUGUUUUAUAUACUCAAGGCAUUAGAAUUGUUUUUAAAAUAAAGGCUUGCGCAUUAGCUGUUGCUGUAUUAGGUCAGAUAUUGGGCAUGGCUUGAUUCUUUUUUUAUUUUAUUUUUUAUUUUUAGUUUUGUGUGUAUUUUAUCAAAUAAAUUUUGGGUUUAUAUUUUAAUUAGAUUGUGAUUAAUUUUAAAUGAUAUUGAGUGUGUUUAAUUUUUAAAGAGGUAUGUAUGAUUCAUCUGUGAUUUUUUCUUAAUUUUAUAUAUAUUAAAUUUGUUUUUUUAAUAAGAAUUUUUAUAUGUGCAGUCUUACAUUGUUUAUAUAUAUAUAUAUAUAUAAUUAUUAUUCAAAACUUUUUAUGUAUGUGUCAGUUUCUAUUAUAAUUUUAGUUUGAUAGAGGGGUUCAUUAAACAUAAUGAUGUAAAUUACCCAUAUUGCAAUUUUAAUACUCAUUAUUUUUAUUGUAGUUUCUUGAUUUUUGAUUUUUGUGUUGUUUUUCUUGUGAUUUUAACCCUCAUAUUUUUUUUUUCUAUGUAUAGUACUUUCGUUCCUAUAACCUAGGUUAUUGUUUAAAAAGUUAACAGUAAUUGAUUUUUUUUGUUUUAUUUUUUUAUAUUCAUUUUUUUCUUUUUAUAUAAUUAUUCUAUUCUCUUUUAAUUUUUAUUCCAUUAACAAAUAAGAUCAUUGAGAUGUUUUGAAAAUAUUAUGAAUAUAUAGUUUUAUAAUAUUGACAAACAUUCAUCUUUUGCAUUGAAUCAUUGUUUUUUUUUUCUCGCUUUAUUUGUUUGUCAAUAUCAUUAAAUUAACUAAUUUUAUUAAAUUUAUUAAAGCAAAUUACAUUUGGAGUUAUGAGAAAUGGAACUCAAAGAUUUCUCGAAACAGAAGACCAUUGGUCCAUCACUUCUAAGAUAUGUAACUCUCAAUUCUUUCCAAACAUCGAAAGUUGUCGUGAAAUAAAGAAGAAUCAUCAGAAAGAUUCUAAACAGCGGUGUUGAGUGAAUCAUUGUGUGCUGUAAAAGUUUUUUUUUUUUAAGAUCAGACAUUUUGAAGUUUUGAAAAAAUCAAGAAGAUGAUGAAAAAGAAUGUUGAAACCACAAAUAUCUGAUUUAUGAGAAAUGAAGCUAUGAUACCAAGAAAAUUGUUGCGCAAGAAAUGAGAAACGCAGAGGAAAGAAAAGAAAAGUGGAUUCUUGAGAGAAGGAAAGUGUGUUCUGCUCUUCUAGAGAAUUAUAUGCAGAAACUUAGUUUACUCUUCUUUUAUUUCUCUUCUUCUUGUAUUGUCUAUACCAGGGGAUACGAAUGUAUAUAUAUAUAUACGCAUUUGCUAACUCUUAAUUUGUAGCAAAUUCACAGUCUAAAGCCUUCAUCAAACUAAAUUAUCAUAUUUAUAAAGGCCAAAAUCAUGGCCAGUUUUUGUGCACAUGAUCUGUAUAGGAAUUCCAUGUACAAUGCUUGAUAGUCAUAAGAAUAUAAAAUAUCCUUUGCGAGCCAUAUAGCUUGAUAGCCAGCCGGUAGAUCCACGGUUUGCCCUUUCUUGCAAAUGUUUUCAGCAUGCAACUAUUAGGUACUCAACCAUUCAUUUAGAAUUGAUAGUCUAAUGAUUGAUUUUUAAAAUAUUUUUAAUUUGAAAAGAUAUUAAAAUAAUAUAUUUUUUAUUUUUAAAAAUUAUUUUUGACAUCAGCUUAUUACAACGAUUUGAAACCAUUAAAAAAAUUAUUUUGAAGCAAAUAAAAAAUAAAACAAUUAAUUUGAAACAAAUUAAAAUUAUUUUUUUAUUAAUAAAUUAUAUUUUCAUGAUAAAUUUAUAAUAAUAAAAGUCAACUGUGAUAAACUGGCAAGAUAAAUAAAUAAUUGUUUUUUAAAAAAAUUGGUUCGGCCUGCUGCAGUGAUAUCAUCAUAUCCCAUGUCACAUUCUCAUUUAAAGCAACGACAAAAGUUUGAGCUCUUUGUUUUGAUCUGUUCAUUGGUUCUCGAGCCAGACAACAAGGCAUCUCUUUCGUUUGAUAUUUUAUACUGAAAGAGCCGGUCAAUUAUUUUAUAUUUCCUUAGUUUCUUUCAGAGCAAGGCGCCCUCAGGUCAAUGAUGAAGAAUAUUUGUAGGGUUCUUGAUUAUUUCUUCUUGUCGAGAAGCUUGUAGCAAUCUAUCACGGUGUGCUUGUCAAGAAAGAUGUACGUAUUAUAGGGUAGAAGUGGUAAAGAAAAGAGAUGAUAGGAGGAGGAUGAAAGCACAUGAUCUCUCUAGGAAUUCUAUGUACAAUUAAUGCUCGAUAAUCAACUUCUUUUCACGGUUAAAAGAUUAAAGAAUUAAUUUUUAUUAUUAAUAAUUUUUUACUCUUUAUAUAGAGAAUGACUUUAGAUUAAUUUUUUAUUUAUUUAUAAUUUGUUUAAAUUAUAUUAAAGAAAACAAAUUUCCAACGCAAAGCAUAAUAACACACCUUUUCAUUUAUUUUUUCUUACUUUGUUUCUUUAAUUUAGUUUUCAAUUAUAUCUUUUUCUUAAUCUGUUAGUUUAACUAUUUUUAAAUAGUAAAUAAUCUUUUGAAUGAUUUUUUAAAUUUCAUAAUAUCUCAAAUGGAUUAUUGUAAUUUAUUUUAAUUUUUUUUUAUAGCUAGAUAAGUUACAUUUGCAUUAUAUGUUUUUAAUGAUGAAAAUAAAAUGGACUUAGUAACCAUGAUAAACCUUCAAGAUACAUAAAAAAAAAAUCAUCUAUAAAAAAUGAUUACCAAGUUCAUGUAUAUUAUCAAGUUCAAGUAUAUUGGAUCUAGCAUACAUACACAACCUAUAUAUUUAUAAUAAAUAAAUAAAAUAACUUAAUAGUCUUCGCAAUUGAAGUAGGUAGGCUGAAUUGCCUAAAUAUGAUGAAUAAAGGGUUGAAUUUGCAAAAUGAUAUACACAUUUUAAUUUGUUGAUUUGAUACAUCUCAAUCUGUGAAUUGACACUGCAUUAGUAAUUAAGAACUUAGAAGGUGAAUCGACAGAAAAGAAGAAUAAGAACAAGAAGAAGGAGCAUUAGUACUAUUUCCUAUAUUCGAUGGUCCUCGAACCUAAUAUGUUAUUACUGAAAAGAUAAAUUUCUGAACCUAACUCACAACAAUUUCCUUCAUUAUUGCUCAUUAUUAUGUUAUUACUGAAAAGAGUAAAUUUCUGAUCACUCUAUUUCUGAGAUGGCUGCCAACUCUUGGUGAAGACGUCUCGCUGGCAUGCGGCCUGCGCUGGUUCUCUUAGGGACAGAGGAGCUAAAAGGAUCAGGAGGCUGUGUUAAGUUUUCUCCUUCAAGCAUUUGGACAACAGUUUUCAUGGAAGGACGCUCUGCUGGGUUCCACUGGAUGCACCAUAGCCCCACAAUUGCUAGUUUCUUCGCAAUUCUAGCAUCUUCUUCUCCAUCGAUAUGAAACCGCAGGUCUUCUUCCUUUUCUAAGAGAUUUCCGGGAAGUAUAUCUGGUCGCCAUUUUCUGCUGUAGCAUCGACGUUCUUCCUUCCUCCAACCAUUUCCAACACUAACAUCCCAAAGCUGUAAACAUCUGAUUUAUAGGAAACAUUCCCGAAGUUCCUCGAGAACACUUCCGGGGCAAUGUAGCCAACAGUCCCCCUAGCAGUCGUCAUGGAAAUGGCACUUUUAUCCUUGGAACACAAACUUAGCCAUCCCAAAAUCGGCGAUUUUGGGAUUGAAUUCGUUGUCAAGCAGGAUAUUCUGUGGUUUGAUAUCAAAAUGGAGGAUUCUUUGAUCACACCCCUGGUGAAGAUAUUCAAUCCCCUUGGCUAUGCCUAAAGCAACACGAUUCAACCUUUCCCAGCCAAGGAAAUGGUUCCUUGAGUCUGCUGAGGAUAUGAACUUCUGUAAAGAAUCAUUUGGCAAGUACUCAUAAACUAGAGCUCGUCUAAAUCCAUCAGCACAGAAACCGAUCAAGCGAACAACAUUGACAUGGUGGAUUCUUGCCAUUGUUCCCACUUCAUUGAUGAAUUCCUCCCCUUUUCCUAUGGAAUUAUUGAGGAGCUUCACAGCUACAGCAAUUUCAUUGGUUAGCUUUCCUUUGAACGCGGUUCCAUAAGCUCCUUGGCCCAAUUCAUCCCUGAAUUGAUUUGUGAUCCUCUUGAGAUCAGCGUAGGAGUAUCUAGUGGGAUUCAGUGAUCUGUAAUCAUCCAAAAAACAUUUCAACCCUGGCUUGAUAUUCUCUUUGUGUUUUAUCGUUGCUAUAGGCGCGGUAGAGUGCAGUAAUCAGUAUGCAAAAAGGAAGAAUCCUAAAAAUCACACCUGCAUAUCAACAUUCUGAGUCAGGCAACUCGUUUUUUUUUCUUUUUUGGGAAAUAAUGUAAAGUUGAGAUGGAGAUUUGAGCAGACUACAAACCAGCAAUCUGUAGCUUUCCGCCGCACAUCUGUAAAGGAUUGAUACUUUAAUAAUUAGCUUCUGCUCCUUUUCCAAUUGGUAAUUGCGAUAAAAUCAUGAAAGCAACAAAAACGAAAAGAGUUUCUAGUGUUUUGUUAUUUACAUAUUCAAAUGCCAAUUAUUAAUUUGAAAAAAGGAAGAAAGAUAGAAAAGCAUACCUUUAGUGUAGCAUUCAUCUUCAGAAGAUCCACAAGUUGGAUUGGACCAAGACAUAGUAAGAACAUAAUUUUCUUCAAGCAACAUACUAUAUGAAAUUCCAUAAAUGUUGUACAUCUUGGUACAAGAUAACAAAUCAGAGUAACUGAUGGGAAUACGUGAGUCAACGGCAUAAACUUCAUGCUUAAAAGUACUCAGACAUGGGAUUUUAUCCAUGUACCUUUUCUGAUCACUAGAAAGUGAACAAUUGAACAAGGUCCAAUCAUUCAGCCAAUCGUUCAUAAUUUGGAAGUGAGAAGCCCCUAAACUGAACUUUAAACGUUGCCUUGGAAAGCAACCUUGAGGAUCCCUUGCAUAAAUAAUUCGAUGUCUAUAGUCAAUUCUUUCGAUGAGGAGACUCCAUCCAGUUGGCAGAUUAAGCACUGUGCCGUUGUCCUCUGAGCAGGAUAGAUCAAACCCAGGAUAUCCACAGUGGUCUGGUUGUUUUUCCUUGAUCCGGAAAGGAAAUCGGAUGUCAGGGCCACGGUUUCCACAUGAUCCUGUGUAAUUCAAGCUUGCUCCAUGGUCUGCAAGGAAGACAAUGAAAAAGAAGAACAAACACGUAACCAUUUCUGAUGAAUACUUCAUCAUCUCCACACUCCUCUUAAGACUUUAUCUGCAUGUUCUGAUAUAGUUUUGGCCGUUCAGAAAACUCAUGUAGUCCUUAGAUCGGUGAGUCCUUUACACUGUAGUACACGCAUCCUUGCAUCCCUCCCUUCGACAUUAAAAAAAAUAUUCAAAAAGACUGUCUGGUUCAGGUAAUUUUGGUCGGUUUUUAUGAUUAAUUUGCUCAUCCCUAAUGAUAGUAAUAGUCUCUCUAUCUACAUAAUGUGAAUUUUAAUUACAUGGUCGCACCCUUAACGCUUAACGCUUAUGCCAGAAGGGACGGGUGCGAGAUUCUCAACAAGAAAUAAUUAACGCUUAACGAUUAACGCUUUGACAAGUUCUUUAACCUUUCAAUCAGUUGGGAAGGGAGGAAAAGUCUUGCUUUGACAAGUUCUUCAACCUCUCAAUCAGUUGGGAAGGGAGGAAAGGAAAGUAAACGGCUCUCUGUUGUUGUCUUGCUACAUAGCUUUUCUUUUUCAGAUAUCAGUAUUUAAAUACUGAUUUAAGUUCUUUUUCAAACACGCUAUCAGUAUUUAAGUACUGAUUUAAGUUCCUCUUCAAACACGCUAUCAGUUAUUUAAGUACAGUUGGACUUCCAAACUUGAAUAUUUUUGUCAUUAGACUAGAGGUUACAAUUGAAUUGUCACUAUCUUUAUCUUGGAAUAUCUCGUGGAUUUGGUCUUUGAUGAGAUGCUCCAACAAUAAUAUCAAGCUCGCUGGAUUUCGUUGUUUGUUGUAUUGUCACUUCAGCCUUCCCCAUGUUUAGAGGAAUGAACGUCCUUUUUGCUUGCUACAUAGCUUUUCUUUUACAGCUAUCAGUCUUCCAAAAUACGUGCAGAUGUUUUACAGAUGAAACCUUUUCCCUUUUUCAUCAGUAGAGCAAGCAUAUGCACAUGUUAGACAAGAGGCUAUACGACAGCAAGUCUUGACCAAUCACAAUACUGAUGGGAUACCAGGGGCUGUCUUGGCCUCUAAAGGUCUCAUGCUAAUCAAUCCUACUCUCAAUAAAACAACCAAGACCCGAACCACCAAAGAUGGAAGAAAAUGUUCCAAUUGUGGCAACCAUAAACACACACGUGAAAACUGUUUCCAGUUACAUGGAUACCCAGAUUGGUGGCAUGAUCUACAGGGCCGUAAACGUCGUGAUGGAGCUGGUACUACUGGGAGUCCAGGCAAAGCUGCGAUUGUUGCUGCUACUGAGCGUAACCUUUCUCUCAUACAGCCAGUUUCAACAUCUAUUGAGGCCCCUCCCCACUUAAACUCGAGUAAUUCUGGUCUUGCCUUACUUACCAGCCACAGUGAUGCGGCGUGUAAUACAUGGCUCCUCGACUUAGGGGUCAUUGGCCAUAUGACAUUUGAUGCCUCAGAUUUCUCUCAUACAUCCUCCCCACGUCGAACCAGCAUCGCCAAUGCAAAUGGUGGUAUUUCACCAGCCACUAGAGCAGGCUCUGUGACUUUAUCUUCAUCUCUGCAUUUAGCCAACACUUUACUUGUUCCAGCAUUAUCACAUAAACUGAUGUAUGUAGGCCAACUUACUACAGACUUGAGGUGUGUUGUGCUGAUGUAUUCAAACUUCUGUCUUAUUCAGGACAUUCUCACCAAGGAGAUAAUUGGGCGUGGUACUAAGAGGGGGGAACUUUAUUAUGUGGACGACAUCAAUAUCGGCCAGGCACAUCACAUGCACCAUCUGCAUACUGCUAAAGAGAGACAGAUCUGGUUAUGGCAUCGUCGCCUAGGACACCCAUCUUUCCAUUACUUGCAGCAUGUUCUUCCGGAUUUAUUUAUGAGUACUCAGAUUUCUGAUUUGAAGUGUGACACUUAUAUUUUGGCUAAAAGCCACCGUGCUACUUACCCAUUAAGCAUGAAUAAGAGUGACACUCCAUGUGCUUUAAUACACUCGGAUGUGUGGGGACCCUCACCGGUUACAAAUAUGUCCGGCAUUCGUUGGUUUGUUAUUUUUGUGGAUGAUUGUACACGUAUGACUUGGCUCUACUUAAUGAAACAGAAAGAUGAGGUUCUCAAUAUCUUCGAAACAUUCCAUGCGAUGGUUUGUACCUAGUAUGGAGCCACUAUUAAGGUUCUCCGCUCCGACAAUGGUGGUGAAUAUGUAAAUAAGCACCUUAAGACUUAUUUCAAUCAUCAUGGUCUCAUUCAUGAAACUUCAUGCCCACGAACACCCCAACAGAACGAUGUUGUAGAGAGAGAAAAAUAAACACAUUCUUGAGACUGCACGUGCUCUGCUUCUUGGCGCUUAUAUGCCUCAACGAUUCUGGACUGAUGCAGUAUCCACUGCUGUUCAUCUUCUCAACCGAAUGCCUUCUAAGGUGUUAUCAUUUCAGACUCCACUUCAAUCCCUUUCUACUCAUGUGCCACUGCCAAAUGCAUUAAUGCUCCCUCCUCGGGUCUUUGGAUGCGUAGCAUAUGUAUACCUUCACAAGAACCAGCGCUCUAAACUUGAUCCAUGUGCACGUCGGUGUCUAUUUCUGGGCUAUGGUAUACAUCAGAAAGGGUAUCAGUGCUAUGACCCUACUGCAUGCAGACUCUAUGUGACUAUGGAUGUUCAAUUCUUAGAAGCUGACAUGUUAUAUUCCCCUUCGGCAUCUACUUCUCCUCUUUAGAGGGAGACACAUAAUAAAGAUGAAGAGGUGAAUUGGUUCCAACAAGAGAAGCUCAAUGAGUAUUGAUUAGUACUUAAAAGUGCAUAUUUAUCAAGGUUUUAUAUCAUCAUUUUGCACUUAAAGUAUCAAUAACUCCUUAACUAAAGCAUGUUUUAUAAUAACAAGUCUAAUACUAUAAAAUGCCCUAAUAUAUGGUAAAUGUUCAUCUUAAAUGCAGGCCUAUCACAUAAAUCAAAGGAUUGAUUGAUGAAUUCAACUACUGAAAUUUGUGAAGAUAAAGAGAGGGUGAAACUUAGAAAAGAGAUGUUGGUGCAGUCCAAACUGGAACACUGUUCGGUAAUUGGGUCAUAUCUCGAGUUCUAGAUGUCCAAAUGACCUCAAUUUUUACACAGAUUCAGUAAGACAUAGGCCUACAACUUUCAUGUUUUCAUCAAGAUCUAAGAAGGCCGUUUUCAAGUCCAAAUUAUAGCAACAACGGAGAAGUCCGAAUCUGUCCUGCAGCCCGAACACUGUUCAGUGUUUGGCCCAUAUCUGGAGUUCUAGAAGUCCAAAUGACCUCCAUUUUUUUUCUGGAAAGCUGAGUCAAUUUCCUACAACUUUCAUGUUUUCUAGUGGACCCAGUUCGGAUGGUAGCAUUUUUGUUUUAUUCAGACAAGAAGAUAAGGAUUUUCACCAAGUCAAAAGUUGGCCACCCACUCAACAAUUAGUCAUCAAAUCAAUAAUUCCGAAUUUUGGCCUAUAAAAGGAGGCAUUUGCCAUGCAUUUGGGGUUGGUUGUUCAGAUCAAGUUCAUGCUCUUUAUUUCUCUCUUUAUAUUUUUUUUGUAAUUCUUAAGUUUUGCUUUCAUUAAUAUCUUGUUUAUGCUUUUCAUUUCCUUUCCUUUCCUUAGUUAACUUGUAUCUUAUUUAUGUUCUUGUUUUGUUUAUUUAUGUUUCUCUUCUUCAUUAUGUUUAGCUAAGUUUAUUAUGUCAAGGUGAAAAGGUUACACUAAUGGUGUAAGAACAAGUAUGGUGUAAACUCAACAUGGACCUUAAUGUUUAAUAUUAACAUGUCUUAUCUUUUUAUCUUACUAAUUCUUAAUACCUUGCUUGUUAAAUGGUUAAUCUAGAUUUGUGUUGUAUAAUACUUGGUACAACAAAUGCUUGGCACUCUCAUAGCCCAACCGUAUGGUAUUACCUACACCUGGGCUAUGAAAGGAACUUGAUUUGUUGUUAACAUCAGUUAACAUCAUGAAUUCCUGACAAUAUUUAAAAGUUUGGUGUUAUGUAAAUAAGAUAAUUAAUAUGAUCAUGUUAAUAAUUUAUAAUGAGCUAUUAAUGAAAAUCAUCCGAUUGGAACCUCCUCGUGUGUGGUUUCCAAAUUGAGUAAUAAGAGUUUAUACUAUACUUGUUUGAAAUACCAUUGGUGGAUCCUCUAACCUUGACAUUUGUUUUUUAUUGUUUAAUCCUUACAUUAAUCUUCCAUCUCAAAGUUCUCAUUAAUUUCUUCCUCCUCUUCUUUUUAUUAUUAUUACUACUACUACUACUACUACUACUACUACUACUACUACUACUAUUAGUAUUAUUAUUAUUAUUACUAUUAAUAUUAUUACUAUUAUUACUAUUAUUAUUAUUAUUUACAUUUUGUUUAUAUUAUAUAAUAUAUAUCUUUGAUCUUUUCAUAAACUCAGUAUAUAGGCUGGAAACCUGUGACCCGAUCUUUUAGAUCAUUCUCGGUAUAACAAUGCACGUACUGAGUAUUAUUAUUAUUAUUAUUAUUUGUUGUUGUUGGUGUUGUGUUGUUUGUUGUUGUUGUAUUGUUAUUUAUAAUUUAUACAAUUAACCUCUCUGUGGUUCGACCCUAGUCUUGCUGAUUAUUUAUUAUUUCGACACUCCUGCACUUGGAAGAAGACAUCAAUCUUUUGGUCGUGUCAAGUAUAAUUGGAUUAGUCAAGAGAACCUACCACAUAAUGUUGAGCUGCUUCACGAGAGGCCAAAUGAUGACCUUGGUGUUGUCCACUGUGACAAUGAUAUACACUCUAAUGGGCAGAUUGAUACCCAUCCUAGCAUGGAACAUAUAUUGUAUGAGACAUAACCUGCACCCCCCCUCUCUAAAGUGCCAGCCGAAUCAUCUCCUGAGAAUACUCCUAAAGUAAGUACUCCUACAACACCUCUGGAUAUCAAUAAUAUAGAUGUCUCUAUGGGAUAUAUCUUACCUCACAAGUACAAUCGGGGCAAGCCACCUAACAGAUACUCUCCAGAGAUUGAAGACCAAAGGUCAAGGUAUCCAAUUGCCAACUAUGUAUCCACCAAGGGUCUUUCUAAACCCCUUCAGAAAUUUACACAGGACCUUUCCAUAUGUCGGAUUCCUACCAAUGUUAAUUAGGCAUUGACAGAUCUGAAAUGGAGCCAAGCGAUAAAUGAGGAAAUGGAGGCAUUACUAAAGAAUAAUACAUGGACUCUUGUCCCAUUACCUGAAGGAAAACGAACAGUAGGUUGUAGAUGGGUGUUCUCUGUUAAACACAAAGCAUAUGGAUUUGUUGACCGAUAUAAAGCAAGAUUAGUGGCAAAGGGAUACACACAAACAUAUGGUGUGGACUAUCAGGAAACUUUCUCACCUGUUGCCAAGCUGAAUACAGUCAGAGUACUACUAUCACUUGCUGCAAAUCUUGACUGGCCUUUACAUCAACUUGAUGUGAAGAAUGCUUUCCUCCAUGGCGAACUCAAAGAGGAGGUGUAUAUGGAGGUUCCUCCAGGUUAUACAACACCUUCCAAGACUGAAAUGGUGUGCAAAUUGCAACGAGCUUUAUACGGACUAAAGCAGUCACCACGAGCAUGGUUCAGAAGAUUCAGUUUAGCAACGAAGAAAUAUGGCUCCCAACAAAGUAACUCUGACCACACUUUGUUCCUCAAGCACAAGCUGGGAAAGGUAACUGCAUUGAUAGUCUAUGUAGAUGACAUAAUUAUAACAGGAGAUGAUGUAGAAGAAAUGUCUCAGCUUCAAAAAAAGUUAGCAACUGAAUUUGAGAUGAAAAAUCUAGGGGGACUAAAGUAUUUUUUAGGAAUUGAAGUUGCCAGGUCUAAGCAAGGUAUAUUCCUCUAUCAAUGAAAGUACAUAUUAGACUUGCUAACAGAAGUAGGAAUGCUGGAAUGCAGACCUGCAGACACACCCAUUGUUCAGAACCACAGACUUGGAGAAUACCUUGACCAAGUACCAACAAAUAAAGGGAGAUAUCAAAGGUUAGUUGGUAAACUCAUUUACCUCUCUCACACUCGGCCAAAUAUUGCAUAUGUGGUAAGUGUUGUGAGCCAAUUCAUGCACAAUCCAAGCAAAAGUCACAUGGAGGCAGUGACUCGGAUUCUCCAGUACCUGAAGUCAUCUCCAGGCAAGGGGCUUAUGUUCUCAAAACAUGAUAAUCAAUUGAAGGUUGAUGGAUAUAUGGAUGCAGAUUGGGCAGGUAAUAUCACUGAUAGAAAAUCAACCUCAGGGUAUUUUACAUUUGUAGAAGGAAAUCUUGUAACCUGGAGAAGUAAGAAGCAAAAAGUGGUAGCAUUGUCAAGUGCUGAAGCUGAGUUUAGAGGAAUGUCUAAAGGUCUCUGUGAACUCCUUUGGCUGAGAAAGCUACUUGCAGAGAUCGGAUUUGCCCCCGCUUCUAAAAUGGACCUCUUCUGCGAUAAUAAGGCAGCUAUUUCCAUUUCCCACAACCCUGUCUAACAUGACCGUACUAAACAUGUGGAGGUAGACCGUCACUUCAUCAAAGAGAAUCUUGAAGCAAAGAUAAUCCGAUUUCCAUUUGUGAAAUCCAAAGAUCAGUUAGCAGAUAUUCUAACAAAAGCAGUGUCUAACAAGGACUUCUACAACUCACUUGGCAAGUUGUGCAUGCGAGACAUCUAUGCACCAACUUGAGGGGAAGUAUUGGCGUGAGCUGUAAUUGCAACUAAUUAGGAAAUUUGUUAGGCAUUCAAAAUAUGUGAAAAUCCCGUUAAUAAGGGAGAUAAAGAUAGCCUAGGAUUGUACUGAUCUUUCUUUCCUUUUAUUCUCUUUUUUGAUGUACAUAUAAAGAAACAGUAUACAGAAUAAAGACUACAACUUUGAUUGUGAAUAAUUGUCAUCCUGUGCAGUUCAAGCUUGCUCCAUGGCCUGCAAGGAAGACAAUGAAAAAGAAGAACAAACACGUAACCAUUUCUGAUGAAUACUUCAUCAUCUCCACACUCCUCUUAAGACUUUAUCUGCAUGUUCUGAUAUAGUUUUGGCCGUUCAGAAAACUCAUGUAGUCCUUAGAUGGGUGAGUCCUUUACACUGUAGUACACGCAUCCUUGCAUCCUCCCUUUGACAUAAAAAAAAUAUUCAAAAAGACUGUCUGGUUCAGGUAAUUUUGGUCGGUUUUUAUGAUUAAUUUGCUCAUCCCUAAUGAUAGUAAUAGUCUCUCUAUCUACAUAAUGUGAAUUUUAAUUACAUGGUGGCACCCUUAACGCUUAACGCUUAUGCCAGAAGGGACGGGUGCGAGAUUCUCAACAAGAAAUAAUUAACGCUUAGCGAUUAACGCUUUGACAAGUUCUUCAACCUUUCAAUCAGUUGGGAAGGGAGGAAAAGUCUUGCUUUGACAAGUUCUUUAACCUCUCAAUCAGUUGGGAAGGGAGGAAAGGAAAGUAAACGGCUCUCUAUUGUUGUCUUGCUACAUAGCUUUUCUUUUUCAGAUAUCAGUAUUUAAAUACUGAUUUAAGUUCUUUUUCAAACACGCUAUCAGUAUUUAAGUACUGAUUUAAGUUCCUCUUCAAACACGCUAUCAGUUAUUUAAGUACAGUUGGACUUCCAAACUUGAAUAUUUUUGUCAUUAGACUAGAGGUUACAAUUGAAUUGUCACUAUCUUUAUCUUGGAAUAUCUCGUGGAUUUGGUCUUUGAUGAGAUGCUCCAACAAUAAUAUCAAGCUCGCUGGAUUUCGUUUUUUGUGGUAUUGUCACUUCAGCCUUCCCCAUGUUUAGAGGAAUGAACGUCCUUUUUGCUUGCUACAUAGCUUUUCUUUUACAGCUAUUAGUCUUCCAAACUUGCCAUUCUAGCAACUUCACUGCUCAUCAUUGUGCUCCUUCUUCAUGCGGCAAUAUCCAAAACAUUAGCUUCCCUUUCAGACUAAACACUGAUCCACAAAUCUGCGGAAACUAUAAUUAUACUCUGAUUUGCGAGAACAAUAUUUCUACAGUAUUAUAUUUGUAUUCAGGUAAAUACUACGUGCAGGCAAUCGACUACGGUAACUUCACAAUCCGAGUGGUAGAUGCUGGUGUACAAGAUAAUUGCUGCUCCAUCCUGUUGGCAUGAGUUGUCCUCUACGAGAUUAAAGGAGAUUAAAGGAGGAAGAUCAAUAGUAUAGUCAUUAAUUGGAAGCUGACGUUAUUUACGUUAUGGAUUCAUUAGCUAAUUAAGCCCAUUCAUGUAUAGCCAUAAUUGAAAGUUCACGUUAUUUACGUUAUGUAACAAUCUGCUAUAUAUAUCCUCUCAUUCAUGUAAAUAAAGAUUGAAAAAAACAGAACAAUUUCUCUCCAUUUUUUCCUCCAUUCUGUCAUGGUAUCAGAGCAUACCGAUCCUUCUUAAUAUCCCACAGAUUCUUCUUGUCUCCUUCUAUGGCUGAGAUGAACCCCAAAAUGAGGAAUCUCUAUCUUCCCAAACUGAGGAAUCUCUAUCUUCCUCCAUCCUAGCCGAAUAACCACGAGAAUGACUGAAGUUUUGAGUAAAGCUUCAGCCCCAACCAAACUUCUGAUGGCGCUACUGCACCAAUCGGCAUCAAGUUGGACGGUACCAACUAUGCACUUUGGUCCCAGGUGGUCGAAAUGUAUAUCUCGGGCAAGGAUAAACUGGAUAUAUAAAUGGCGACUUAUCUCAACCUCCUCAAACAGAUUCUACUUUUCGACGAUGGCGUAUUGACAACGCAAUUGUUAAAGGGUGGCUGAUAAAUUCCAUGCAUCCUUCUCUUGUCAGUAAUUUCAUCCGCUUCCCUACAGCUAAAUUGGUGUGGGAUGCAAUUGCUACUACAUACUUUGAUGGCAGUGACACCUCCCAGGUGUAUGACCUCCGGCGACGUGUGACACGUCUUAAACAAGCUGGUGGUUCACUGGAAAAGUUCUAUAACGAACUGCAAGGCCUCUGGCGUGAAAUCGAUUUUCAUCGUCCAAACCCGAUGGAAUGCCCAACAGAUAUUCAACAGUACAAUUCUCUUAUCCAAGAAGAUCGAGUAUAUGUAUUCUUGGAUGGUCUUGAUGACCAUUUAGAUCAUAUCAGGUGUGAUGUUUUGCAGAUAAAGCCAUUCCCAACAGUGGAACAAGCCUAUGCACACGUUAGGAGAGAAGCUCUUCGUCAAGCAGUAAUGAUCACAGGCGUUGAUGAUUUACCUGGAGCAGGACUGGCAUCCAAGAGUCUCAAACACAGCUCACAUUCUCUGUCUUUCCAUGGUGGCAAAUCUGUUUCCAACUCUAAAUCCCGAGCCACCUCUGAUGGCACUAAAUGCUCUCACUGUGGGGGGACAAAACAUACUCAAGAGACCUGUUUCAAACUUCAUGGGUAUCCCGAUUGGUGGCAUGAGCUCCAGGCUCGGAAGCGCCGUGAUGGAAAUGGUGGCAACGUAGGACAGGCUGCAGUGGCUACAGCAGAACCGCAUCUAUCCCUUAUUCCAGCUGCUAAGAUUAAUGGUGGUACCACUGGACAAGCUGCAGUGGCUGCAGCAGACCCACACUCAGGUAAUGCUCUACUUGGUUCUAAUCAGGAAGCUGAUUGCAAUGACUGGAUACUUGAUUCUGGAGCAACAGACCACAUGACUUUUGAUGCCAGUGAUUUCUCCCAGCAGUCCCCUCCAAGGCGAACUAGCAUUGCAAAUGCUAAUGGAGACAUUUCUUCGGUAACAGGGGCUGGGACAGUAAUGAUAUCACCAGCCCUAUCAUUGUCACAUACAUUACUUGUGCCUUCUUUAUCUCACAAGCUAUUGUCCGUGAGUCAGAUUACUAAAGCCUUGAAUUGUGUUGUGCUCAUUUACCCUAUGUUUUGUCUUAUUCAGGAUAUUCUCACCAAGGAGAUCAUUGGGCGUGGUACUGAAAGGGGGGGCUUUAUUAUAUGGAAGAUAUCAGUAUUGGACGAGCACAUCACAUGCAUCAUUCAAGCGACCUCAAAACUAAACAAAUUUUGCUCUGGCAUCGUCGGUUAGGCCACCCGUCAUUUGGGUAUCUGCAACAUGUGUUUCCUGAUUUAUUUUCGGGUUUGUCGAAUUUGGAUAUUAAAUGUGAGACAUGCAUUUUAACUAAAAGUCAUCGAGUUACUUAUCCAUUGAGUAUGAAUAAGAGUGAUAUCCCGUUUGCCUUGAUUCACUCUGACGUAUGGGGUCCUUCCCCAAAAUCUACUCUGUCUGGUUUUCGCUGGUUUGUGAUAUUUGUUGAUGACUGUACUCGGAUGACUUGGAUUUAUCUGUUGAAACAUAAAAAUGAGGUUUUUCAUGUAUUUAAAUCAUUUCAUAUAAUGAUUCAGACUCAGUUCGCAGCUAAGCUCCAAACUCUUCGAUCAGAUAAUGGUGGCGAGUAUAUGAAUCAACAGUUUCGUAAUUAUUUCCACCAUUAUGGGCUAAUUCAUGAGACCUCAUGCCCCCAGACUCCGCAACAAAAUGGUGUUGCAGAACGCAAGAAUCGCCACAUUCUUGAAACUGCUCGAGCUCUGUUACUUGGAGCUCAUGUACCUAACCACUACUGGGGUGAUGCUAUUACCACGGCUGUCCAUCUCAUUAAUCGCAUGCCUUCAAAAGUUCUUGGGUUUAAAACUCCGCUACAGGCCUUGUCAACCUAUGUGUCAUUACCCACAAUAUUGAUGCUUCCGCCACGGAUCUUUGGUUGCGUUGCGUAUGUUCACCUCCACAAGAAUCAACGCACGAAACUUGAUCCUUGUGCCAUUCGUUGCCUUUUUUUGGGAUAUGCUACACACCAAAAGGGGUACCGAUGCUACGACCCAGUUACUAGGCACUUAUAUGUGACUAUGGAUGUCUCGUUCCUUGAAUCUGACACUUUCUACUCUCCUGCUGCAUCCAAUUCUUCUCUUCAGGGGAGACACAAGUAGAAGAAAUGAAUUGGUUGACAUUUGACUGGUUCAAAGACACUGAUACAACACUGAAUACGACUCAACCUAUCAUCAAUCAGGAAUCUAAUCCAGAGUUGACAUCUUCGGAAGUUGAAGUAACAUCUCCAGAAACAGUAAUAGUACCCCCCACUCUUCAGUAUCCAGUGACCCAUCUCCUAGAAUAUCAUUGAGGUAAGCUCUCCUAUCCCACCUCACAUUCCUGAUGAUAUGGAUACCUGUGUUGGUUAUGAGUUACCUUUCAGGAAAAUCGAGGAAAACCACCAAACAGAUAUUCCCCAGAACUAGAGGAUCAAAGAUCAAGAUAUCCAAUUGCCAAUUAUGUUUCGACAAAGAAACUGUCUGAACCUCUCAAGAACUUUGUGAAUGAACUCUCCUCACAUCAUAUUCCCACGAGUGUUGACGAAGCUUUGGAUGACUCCAGGUGGAUCCAAGCUAUGAAGGAGGAAAUGGAAGCUUUACUAAAAAAUAAAACAUGGACUCUUGUUUCCCUACCAGAAGGUCAAAAAACAGUGGGAUGCAAGUGGGUAUUCUCCAUCAAGUACAAAGCCGAUGGAUCAGUUGAAAGGUACAAAGCAAGGCUAGUGGCAAAGGGCUAUACGCAAACCUAUGGCAUAAUUAUCAAGAAACAUUCUCACCCGUGGCAAAGUUGAGUACUGUUAGAGUUCUACUAUCUCUCGCAGCAAAUCUUGAUUGGCCAUUACACCAGUUUGAUGUUAAAAACGCGUUUUUACAUGGAGAUCUUGAAGAAGAAAUUUACAUGGAUGUCCCUCCAGGAUAUAUGGCAAACUCUGAGGCUAAGAUCGUGUGCAAACUACAAAGAACUUUAUACGGCCUGAAGCAGUCUCCUAGAGCAUGGUUUGGGCGCUUCAACUCAGCAAUGAGGAAAUAUGGCUUCCAACAAAGCAACUCGGAUCAUACUUUAUUCUUAAAACAUUACCGAGGUAAGGUAACAGCUUUGAUAAUUUAUGUAGAUGAUAUGAUCAUUACAGGAGAUGACUCAGAGGAAAUAGCAAGACUUCAAGAACAAUUGGCCACAGAAUUUGAGAUGAAAAAUCUAGGAGGACUCAAAUAUUUUCUGGGAAUUGAAGUUGCUAGGUCAAAGCACGGCAUAUUCCUUUCCCAACAAAAAUAUAUCCUAGAUUUAUUAUCAGAGGUAGGAUUAUUGGAUUGUAAGCCUGCAGAUACACCGAUAAUUCAAAAUCACAGACUAGGAGAAUACCCAGACCAAGUGCCAACAGAUAAAGGAAGGUAUCAGAGAAUAGUAGGAAAACUAAUUUAUCUCUCUCAUACACGGCCGGACAUCGCUUAUGCAGUAAGUGUGGUAAGCCAAUUCAUGCACUGUCCGAGUGAAGAUCAUAUGAAUGCAGUGAUUCGGAUUCUCAGAUACCUAAAAUUCUCUCCUGGAAAAGGACUUAUGUUUACAAGAAACAAUCACUUACGAGUGGAAGGUUACACAGAUGCUGACUGGGCAGGAAAUAUGUCUGAUAGAAAAUCGACUUCAGGUUAUUUCACGUUUGUUGGAGGAAACCUAGUUACUUGGAGAAGUAAGAAGCAAAAGGUGGUAGCAUUAUCAAGUGCUGAAGCUGAGUUUCGUGGGAUGGCUAAAGGCCUUUGUGAACUUCUCUGGCUUCGAAGACUAUUAACUGAAAUUGGCCUCACUCCUAAAGGAGAAAUGAAUCUAUUUUGUGACAACAAAGCUGCAAUUGAUAUCUCUCACAAUCCAGUCCAGCAUGAUCGGACCAAACAUGUGGAAGUAGACCGACACUUCAUCAAACACAAUCUUGAGGCCAAGAUAAUUCGAUUUCCGUUUGUUAAAUCCGAAGAUCAGUUGGCAGAUAUACUUACAAAAGCUGUAUGUAGCAGAAGCUUCUACAACUCACUUGACAAGUUGGGCAUCCGAGAUAUAUAUGCACCAACUUGAGGGGGAGUGUUGGCAUGAGUUGUCCUCUACGAGAUUAAAAGAUUAAAGGAGGAAGAUCAACAGUAUAGUCAUUAAUUGGAAGCUGACGUUAUUUACGUUAUGGAUUCAUUAGCUAAUUAAGCCCAUUCAUGUAUAGCCAUAAUUGAAAGUUCACGUUAUUUACGUUAUGUAACAAUCUGCUAUAUAUAUCCUCUCAUUCAUGUAAAUAAAGGAUUGAAAAAACAGAACAAAUUUCUCUCCAUUUUUCCUCCAUUCUGUCACAUCCCUCGUUAUUCUUUGGCACCUGAUGACUUCAGUGACGGAGAUCCAUACACAUGGUAUAACUACAAGGAGGUGCCGCGGCCGGGAGUGAGUGAAAGUUUCGUGUACUACUGGGGCCACUGGUUCUUACCUCCACUAUCACUGCCUAUGGUUUUCAUGAGCUGUGAAAAUAUGGUGAAUUCUCCUCUUUAUGUGGACACGGCUCCCUACGGCCUUAACUACGGAUCAGUAAAUUAUUCCAACUCUUCUCUUGUGACUCAUUCGAAUUAUGUGACUCUUGGGGGCAUGACUGCCUCGGAUUUGAUGGAACUGUGCAGCAUAGAGAAAAUAUUUUUGCUUCCAAAGAAGAACUACACAGACAAGUCCUUCGAAGAAAUACACAGUGACCUGGCAUAUGGGUUUGAGCUUUCAUGGUACAACAUCUACUGUGGAAAAUGCAGAAGUGGUUGCUACCUCGACAGGGCAGACCGUCGUCGAUGCAUUAGCAGCUGUAUGUAACACUUGAUGAUUAAGUUGCUUCAGAUUUGAUUCAUAAGACUAUAAAUAACUUGACCAUGGAUAUACAUUAAUUAGUUGUGUGCGCUCUUUUCUAUUUUCUUUCGCAUUUACUCGUUUCUUAACCUAAAGCUUCAACAGAUUAUGAUCAAAGCUAUUGGCAAAUUAUACUCUACAUAAUGACGACAGGUGCGAAUUCUUUUUCUACGUCUCACCAUGUUCGUGUUUUCUUACGUGUUUCUUUAAACUGUUAAAAAUAUUUGAACUACAAGACUUGGACUUCGACUUACAAUAUUCUUAAUAUAUAUUUAUAUUAGUUUAGGAUAAUUCAAGAGACUUAAAAGAUAAAUACAUAUUUAAUAGUUACAUACAUAUAUUUAGGAGACAUCUAGCAGAAUUAAAAAACACUUUGAAUAUAAACUUCAAAAUUAAUUCCAACAUAAACGACGACAUAUUUGUGAAAUAAGGAUUGUUGUUUCUUGAAUAGUAAUUGUAAUUUUGUUCACCAUUUUCUGCAGGUUCCCUCAUCUAUUUAUUUGGUAAGGGAUUCCAUCAUUUCUUUAGUUUCGCAACAAAUUUCUAGUGAAGACAACAAAUAAGAUCACAAAACUUGAUUGUUUUCUGGAAAUUUCCUACACAGUACUACAUAAUGGGCUAAAAGUUGUUUGUGGGACUCCAUGUGUGAUUAUAUUUUUGAUCUAUAAAUGGAGAAGGAGACAUUUAUCAGUAUACGAUACAGUCGAACAAUUCCUACAGAGUCAGAAUAACCUGAUGCCAGUAAGGUAUUCCUACUCAGAUAUCAAGAAGAUUACUAGAGGUUUCAAGGACAAAUUGGGUGAAGGAGGCUUUGGUACAGUUUACAAAGGAAAGCUUCGCAGUGGCGUUUUGCAGCAGUAAAAUUGUUGGGAAAAUCGAAAGCUAAUGGACAGGAUUUCAUAAAUGAAGUUGCUACAAUAGGAAGGAUUCACCAUACUAAUGUGGUGCAGCUAAUUGGUUUUUGCGCUGAAGGAUCAAAGCGAGCUCUUGUAUAUGAUUUCAUGCCUAAUGGAUCUCUUGAUAGACAUUUGUUUUCUCGAGAAGGAUCAAUCUCUUUAAGCUGGUAAAAACUGCAUCAGAUUUCCCUUGGAGUGGCUCGUGGUAUCGACUAUCUUCAUUUAGGUUGUGACAUGCAAAUACUUCAUUUUGAUAUCAAACCUCACAACAUUCUUCUUGACGAAAAUUUAACUCCAAAAGUCUCUGACUUCGGGCUAGCUAGGUUGUACCCAACGAAUGGCAGCAUCACAUCUCUUACUGCAGCAAGGGGCACCAUAGGUUACAUGGCUCCUGAAUUGUUCUACAAAAACAUUGGACGUGUCUCCUAUAAAGCUGAUGUUUAUAGCUUUGGAAUGCUGCUAUUGGAAAUGGCAGGCAAAAGGAAAAAUGUAAACGCGUUGGCAGAAAAUUCAAGUCAAAUCUACUGGCCAUAUUGGGUUCAUGACCAAGUAUCUGAUGGAAAGGCCAUAGAAAUCGGAGACGAUGCCACGGAGGAAGAACGUAAGAUCGUCAAGAAGAUGAUUAUGGUUGGAUUGUGGUGUAUACAAAUGAAACCUAUGGAGCGGCCUACAAUGAAGAAUGUUGUGGAGAUGCUUGAAGGAGAUUUGGAAAACUUGCAAUUGCCUCCUAAGCCUGUCUUCAAUCUAGAUGUGACGCCACCAAACAUUGAAGGAGAGUCAUCAUCGUUGUCAGGUGAUUCUACCGAAGCAACCAGUUUGGUUGAAAAUGCAUACUGAGUGAUAUGAUGUGGAAUGCUCUGCUUACAUGCAGGGAAAAUGAUAGAAUAAUGGUGCUUUCGGACUUGGUUAUGAUGAUUUGGUCUGCAAACAUUAUGAUAAUUUGAAGUCCUUCCUUUUAUCUGAUUUGUGUUUAGCUAAUUUAGAGUUCAAGCUGCGGUUUGUUUCUUCGGUGUGGUCUAUAUAAUAAUCAUACAAAGAUGUUAUGUAUUGUGUUUAACAAUCAGAUUACUGUUACAGAAGUAUGAAGUAUGAAGUAUUAUCCUUAUUCUAUUAUCUAGGCUGACUAGCAGCCCUUUCCCCUGAUCGAGGCUGACUAGCAGCCCAUACCUAUACUAAUAUGAUUUAACUCAAGACUUUUUAAAUUCUCUAGAUUGUCAUCAAUUAGGGUUGUUGAUGGUGGUUGAUUGUUGAACUGCUGAGAAAAAAAAACUAUGAGAGGCUAGGGUAAAUGCUGUAUGUGGCAAGUGGCUAGUGUUGAGAGAGACAAAGAACAUUUAUCUUUACACUAACACUCAUCUCUCCGGAACACAAAAGGGACUUGCCUCUUUAUUUGGAGGACUCUAAAGAACAUUGAGAGAACCCUUAUUUUUACACUACACACAACGUGCAAAACACCUCUUUCAUCUUCUUCAUCUUUUUACCUACUUAUUUAUUUAGAAAUCAAACUAAAAAAACUAACUUGAGCAUUAAUAGAGGAUUUCCAAAAUGAAAUAGUUGGGGACUAGAUAAUUGCCUUGCAUUAUAUUUGAUCAAUUUUUCUAACAUAAAAAAUUAUUUAGACAUUGCUAAUGUUUUUUUUUAAUGGCACUUUAAACUUUGUGAGGUUGACUUGAGAUGACCUGAUCUACUUGACAGGUCUAAAAACAAUCUAGACGGUUAAUAAAAAUAUAAUUUAACUUAAAAUAAAUAUUCAAGAUGAUUUAUUAAGACAUCGACAUAUUAGAUCGAUUUUGAUCAAUUUAAGUUAACUUGUUUAUCUGGUCAUGAAAUCACAAUAAUUUCAUAGAAAGAAAAUCAAAACAAAUUAUGAAGUGUAAGUUCCAACAAACUCAAUGUUAAUUAAUGAAAUUAAAAAAUAAAAUUAAUUAAAAAAAGAAUAAAAAAUUGAAAAAUUCAUCCUCUCAAAAAAAGGAUGAAUUUCAAACAGAUCAAACAGAAUGCGUUUUCUGUCAAGAAGUAUAAAACAUAAUGAAAUUUUAUCUCUACAGUAAUAGAACUUGAUGCAAGAGGAAGGAAAUGACAGGAGUAAAGAAAGAUGGGAGAGCGAAAUGAAGUCUCUUAGCCCCUAUUUAUAUAGGAAGCCAAUGGGUGUGAAAUUAAUUUGAAUUAAUUCGUAACAAUUCAUUGUAUUUGCAGAAUUAAUGAAUUUGAAAAGAUUUAAUGAAACUGAUCAAACAUUAAAGAAAUAAUUUAAUAGAUAUAAUAAAAAUAGUUGUAUCAAUUUUUUAUUCGUCCAUGAUUGAUUUUAAACAUGUUAACAUUCAAGAUAUACAAAGAUGUAAAUAAAUUGAUAGAUCACUAAAUUAAUUAGUACAAGUAGAUUUUGGUUUUAGACAUUUUAUAAUAAAAUAAUAUCAAAUUUAUUUGGCUAAUUAAUUAAUUUAAUGUUUUAAACUAAUCCACUGUUCAUAUAUGUCAUAACCCAAUUUUUUAUUUUUAUUUUUUUUAUUUUUAUCUUUAUAAAUUAAAAAAAAUAAAGUGGAAAAAUUGGAAUGAAUGAAGAAAAAUUAAGGUUUAGAUCAAGACAAUACAAAUGAGAAGUUUUUGAGGAUCAAUCAGGGAGGAAUUGUAAAUUUGAGGUUUAUUUUUGCUUGAAAUUGGAAGAAUCAAUGAAUUUGAGGAUUUAAUUAAGCUUAAAAUUAGUUUAAUUAACAAAAUCAUGAGCUUAAUUGAAGAAAUAUUAAAAAUAGCUGAUUUAGGUCUAAAUUGCAAGAAAUAAAGUUCAAGGACCGUUGUGCAAAAGGCACCGCAAUGCAGGGGUCUACUUAAAAUUUAGCCCAGGGGUCCGUUUAAAACAUGUUAAAACCUCGAGGACUAAAUUGAAAAAGGCCGCCCCAAUCUAGAAACGGCGCUGUUUUUCAAUUCCAUUCAUCGUCUUCUUCCUCUGGAAGCAGAGGAGACCCCCUGCAAAGGAAAAUAUCAAUCGCCGCACACAUGCCAAAUUCAAGACCGCAUUGUCUACCCACGGAACCCAUGGGAUUUGGUUGGUCUCCCUCACCCUCAUAACUCUCCCCUGACGCGAGGAUAAGCACCACCAAUAAUCCAGCAACGGCAGGACUGUUGGUGUUUCCAUUCUACCCAAACACGGAGCCAAUUCACUCUACACAAGAUGACGAUCACAGGGAAUAUAAGGAUAAGAAUCCCUCUCAAGGUCUGACUCUAUAAAAGUGGGAGAGAAGGAAGAACAGGGGAUCGAAAAAGAGAGACGAUACAGAGAUAAAAACCAAAAAAUAAAAUAAAAAGAAUAGAGAGCAGAAGGGAGGAGAGGACUAGGUCUUGAGAAAGCAAAAACAUAAAAGACAAAAAAGAGAAGCCGAGGAAAAGAAAGGGCGUCCGAGGAGUGCUUCAUCCAGCACCUGCAUUUUGCCGCUCAAGGUCGCUGCAAAAACAGGCAAGUCACUUUCAAUUCUCCCCCUCUCUGCAAUUUAAUUACUCUGCUUUUGUAGUAAGCGUGCGCGAACAAUUCAAUAAAAAUUACAAUAGUUGAUUUAGAUUUUUUUUUAAUUUUUUUUUAAUUAAAUUUUUUAAUAUUGAUUUAAUUGAAAAUUAAAUUUUAUGAUUUGUUUUGUUUACUUUUUAUUAAGUUAUCUUUAUCUUAUGACCCGAGAAUUAACUAUAAAUUAAAAGAGGAUGGGAUUUUACUCAUAGUUUUAAGACCCGGCCCGGUCGUCGGCCCGGUCCAAGCCCCGGAUUCCGGGUUUUGACCGGGUCAUUGGGUCUUGACCGGGUCGCCGGGUCAAAAAAAAAAUUUAAUUUUUUUUAAAAAAAAUCAAAACGACGUCGUUUUAGCAAAAAAAACAAAAAAAUAAAAGUCAACGGGUUUGUGCCCGGGUCUUGCCGGGUCAACAAGGUCCCGGGUCGCCCGGGUCUGGCCGGGCCAAUUCCCAAGCGGGUUUUGACCUUCACCAGGACCGGUCCCAUGCCUGGGUCGACCGGGUCCCGGGUCAACCCGUCGGGCCAGUCCGGGUUUUAAAACUAUGGUUUUACUGUACCCCUCCUUACAAAACACUAUUUAUUGGAAUAAUGUUUUGCUUUGCUCUUUUCUUUUUUUUUCCUUUCUUUGAUUGUUUUUUUCAAUCAAUUUUUCUUGUUUAAUUUUUCUUUUAAUAUUAGAUUUUUUUUCUAUUUAGUUAUCACACUCUAAUGACAUGGAUCUCAGGUUUGAUGGGUUAAUCUGGUUUGGCCGGUUAAUUUGGUUUGGCGGGUUAACUUGGUUGGCUUAUAUUUUUUUCUUUUUCUAUUUUAUUUUAAUUUCAUCAUUUCAUAUUGAUUUGAUUGAGAUUUAAAUUUCAUGAAUUGUUUUGUUUACUUCUUAUUAGGUUAUCAUGGUCUUAUAACUCGACAAUAGUGUUAACAAGUUAAUCUGAGUUGACUCGAGGUGUUUUUUGUGUUUUUUAUUUAAUUGAUUUUUUUAAUUUUAUCAUUUAAUAUUAGGUCAAUGGGGAAUUGAGUUUCAUAAUCUGUUUUGAUUUGCUUUCUUAUGAGAAUAUCUUGGUCUCACGAUCAAGAUAACGAGUGUUGAUAUUUUAACCCUAGUUAAAACAAGUUAUUUUUUCUUUUUAUUUUUUUUCCAAGAUGUUAUAUUGGUCUCAUGACCUGGGUCACAUGUCUUUCAACAUUAGACUUGCUUUUUAUUGGGUUGUUCCUGUCUUAUGACCCGAGUCGCAAAUUUGACGGGUUAACCUAAUUGAUUCAUUUUCUCUCUCUCUCUCUUUUAAUUGAUUUUUUUUUCAAUUUCAUCAAUUAAUAUUAUGUUUGAUUGAUAAUUGGACUUCAUGAUUUGUUUCGGUUUAUUUUUUAUUAGGUUAUCUUGGUCUUAUGACCUAAGAAUAAUGCUUAAUAGUUAACUCGAGUUGACUUGGUUUAUUUUUUAUGUUAUUUUUUUAAUUAAUAUUUUUAAAAUUUUCAUUGUUUAAUAUUAGUUUAAUGCGGGUGAUUUAGAAUCGAGCCUUAUAAGUUAUUUUGAUUUUCUCUCUAUGGGGUUAUCCUAGUCUCAAGACCAAAGUCACAGAUUUGACAAGUUAACCUAAGUUAAAUUCAAUUAUUAUUUUUUUAUUUUUUUCUAUAAGGUUAUCUUGGUCCAUUGAACCGAUUUAUGAGUUUGAUGGAUUGACUCAGGUUGUUUUUUAUAAUAUUUUUUAAUUGAUUUUUUAAAUCUCAUCCUUUAUAUAUGAAGUUUGAAUGGAUUGAUUCAGAUUGGGGAUUGAAAUUCAUUUUUUGUUUCGAAUUGUUUUUCAUGGGGUUAUCUUGGUCUUAUGAUCUGGGUUGCAAGUUUGAUUUGUAAACUCAUGUUAUUUUUUAGUUCUUUUUUUAAUUGAUUUUUUUUUUCAAUUUCAUCCUUUAUUAUUGGGUUGAUUGAAAAUUAGGCUUCAUAACUUAUUUUAAUUUGCUUUCUAUAGGCUUAUCAUAGUUUCAUUAUAAACCGGGUCAUGAAUUUGACAUGUUAACCCGAGUUGUCUCAGGUCAAUCCAAUAUGUUGUUGUUUUAAUAUUAGAAAAAAAUAUUAUCUUGAAAUUUUAUUUCGUCAAAUAUUGUUUUCAUGAGUUGUAUGAGUUGUUUUUUGACCAAUAAAAUCAAUCGGGUUAUAUUAGAAAAACCCCACACAAUUUAAUUUUUUUUCAGAAAAAAAUAUUAACAACAGUUGAAUAUUUGUCUUUAUAUUCAAGAAAAAAAUGAUUUUACCCACAGGUUAAAGUUUAUUACUAGUUAUUUUGGGAGGCUCGAAAUUUUGCUAGAUGUGCAGACUAUUUCCUUAAUAUUAAUGAUUGAUCACAAAGAUAACUUAUGUCCAGUCAUGAGCUGCUAAAAUUUGAACUGCCAUGGUUUAUAAUUAUUUUUUUGGAGAUGUGAAAGUAUGAAUCCUGACCAGUUGCAGUGACAAACUACUGUUUGUUGGGAGAAAUGGCAAAUUAGUGCUAGCCAUAUUUACUUGAAUAAUUCUUGAACUUUUCUUGGGCCAUCUAACAUUUUAUUUAUGAUAGAUUUUCUAAAAUUUAUUUAUGCUGCCUUCUGUCUUAAGGAAUUUGACAAGAAAUGAUCGGUAGAAAUUUAUAAAAAUUUUACAUUUUACUUUUUAAAUUUUGAUUUUUGAUUUAAAUAGAUAUUAUUAAACUUGACUGGAUACAUCAACUAGGAAUCUAGUCGUUUUCUUCUAAAACUUGACUUAAAUUAGGUUAAAUAAGAGAUUUUGUAACUCGUGAUCCUAUCAUUUUGAUUAAAAUUUAAUUUGAUUAUUAAAGUUGCUUUUCUUAAAGCAAUGACAUUUUAUUUAAAAAAAAAAAAAUUUAAAUAGUGAACUAAUAUUAUUAUGAAUUCACCGAGUAAACUUUAGUUUAAACUUGAAAAUCUUGAAACAAUUAACUUGAAACUUUGGAUUGAGCCUUUUGAGACCGUGAUCUUGGAUUGGUGGAGUGAUGGGCUUGCCCACAAGUCUUGUGGGUUGAUGGAUAACUUUCAUAAACUUGCAUGUAAAACAAGUUAUUUUUAUCAGAAUUCAGGGUCCUUUUAUUCUUAUGUUAGUAAACAUAGAAAGAGUAAUUUAUAAGAAAGAAAAGAAAAUGAAAAAUAUAGAGAGUUUGUAAAUCGGUGAAGCUGAUGAAUAAACUUGGAUUAUCUAAAUAUUUAAUUAAUAAUUCAAGAUAUUUAUAUACCUCACUUACAUAAUUUCACCUGUGAAGUGUGAUGUAGUAAGAAAGAGUAUCUAAAAAUUCAAGUUGUUUGUUAUUGAAUUUUGUCAUGUUAUUAAUGAAAAAAUUACUCGUUUUAUGGUGCUCUCUAAGUAGGAGAGUUUAUUAAAUUCAUUAGAGCUAAUUACCUGUAUAUUAUAUAUAUUUUUUAUUUUUUAAAAAAAUAUUUAUCUCUACUUAAUAAUUUUUAUUCUAAAAAAACAUAUAUGACAAGUCACCUAACCUAACUAGUCUUAACUAUCAACAUAUCAUCUUAUCCCAUCUCAUGUCACGUAUCAUCUUAUCCUUCACUCUGAUGCAACCUGUGAUCAAUAAUUUAAUAUUUCAGUGCUUUGUGACAUCAACAAUGUCAUGUUACUGAUUGAAACAUUGGUCCACCACCUUUAAUUUCUUUCAUGGCAAGACUUUCCCCCCUAUGCGCAUUUAAAGUAGGUCAGACUACUAUAUGUUAAAUAAUAUUUAUGUAAUUUUAUUUAUUAAAGGUAGAAUAAUUUUUUUAAUUUAAUUAUAAUUUUUUUAGUUUAAUUAAUAUAUAUUUUAUUUAUAUUUAGAUUAGAAUUAUGCACUCAUAAUAUACAGAUUAUUUAAAAUUUUAAUUUUAUUUUUAUAUUUGAUCUUAAUUAUUUCCACUGAAUUGCCUAAAUAUGAUGAAUAAAGGGUUGGAUUUGCAAAAUUAUUUACACAUUUUAAUUUGUUGAUCGCCAUUUUCUACUGUAUCAUCGACGUUCUUCCUUCCUCCAACCAUUUCCAGCACUAACAUACCAAAGCUGUAAACAUGUGAUUUACAGGAAACAUUCCCGAAGUUCCUCGAAAACACUUUUAUCCUUGGAACACGUUUAUUUUUAUAUUGAAUCAUUACUUUUUUCCCGUUUUAUUUAUUGUAAAAAUAAAAAUAUAGUUCCAUAAUAUUUAUAAUUAUUCUAUUCUCAUUGAAUCAUGGUAAAAAUAAUUGGCCCGUGGCGCGACAUCCUAAGUAGUCUUAUCUAUAAACAUAUCAUGUUAUGCCACGUACUCAUUUAAAGCUUGACACAUUGGUCAAUUAUUUUAUACUGAUUGGGACGUUUAAGAGCCGGUCAAUUAUUUUAUAUUUCAGUGUUUUGUGACAUUAACAAUGAAGUUACUGAUUGAAAUAUUAUUUGUAAUUUGUUUUUAUGAUUUAAAAAUAUUUUUAAAAUUUUAAAAUUUAUUUUUUUUACUUCAAAUUAAUAUAUAUUUUAAUAUUUUUAAAUUAUUUUAAUGCACUAAUAUUAAAAAUAAUUUUUAAAAACUAAAAAAAUAUAUAUUAUUUUACUAUAUUUUUAAAUAAAAUAUUUUAAAAAAUAAUUAUAAUCAAACUUUCAAAUAAACUCAUAUAGUUGCUUUCAUGACAAAGACAUUUCACCGUGCCGCACUCAAGUUAAUGAUGAAGAAUUGUAGGGUUCUUGGUAAUUACGCGUCAAUGAGUUGUUUGUGUCCCCAACAUUGGAGGUGCCAUCAUAUUUUAUUUCUUUUUCUUUUUUAAAGAUGUGAGCACGAUAACAUGUGAUUAUUGAAUUGUCGCUGCUGUUUCCUUAUUAUUUUUGAUAUUUUAUUUUUAUUUUUAUUUUUAUUUUUAUAUUUUAUAUCAAGAUUUUAUUUAUUUUCAGUUUUAUUUUUUAAUUAUAAUUUUUUAUAUUUUUUAUUUCAGUUUUUAUUCUAUUAAUUUUAAUUUUUUAUUUGAUACUUUUAUUUAAAAUUUUAAUCGCUUUCAAUAAAGUUUGUCGGUGGUCAGACACACCGACGCAACCUGUGGUUCAACGACAAAAAUAUAUGGUCUUUCUUUUCUGUUUUUUUCCGUGAUCCGCUACCUUUAAUUUCUUUCAUAGCUGAUCUUUCCCCCAUGCUUACUCAGGUCCAUAAAGUUUGGCUUUUCCCUUUUUCGUAAAAAUACAUAUUUCAUCUUAGAAAAAGAUAAAAAAAAAAUAAUAAAGCAUGCAUUUGAGGUAUUUUUUUUUUCUUUUACACUGAUCAUUUUGUAAUUAUCAUGAUAAUGAGGGAUAUUUAUGUAUUUUUACAUUGAAAUUUUAGUUUUUUAAUUAAAAAAAUUGAUGGCAUGUAUACAUGAUGCACCAAUGAGUUGGUGGGGUCUAUACCAUUUGAAUGACGUGUGUGAUAUUUUUUUGUAGCCGAACUUGACGUUCCAACGUCUCUUUAAAAGUGACAUCAAGUUCUACUUUUUAUAGUGUGGCACGUGAUGAUAUAUGGUUGUCGGAUUGUCCUUUUAUUUUUUGUAUUUUAAUUUUAGUUUUAAUUUUUUAAUUUUGUUCUUAUUCUUUAUAUAAUGAUUUUAUUUAUUUUUAAUUUAAUAUUUUAAUUAUAAUUUGUUAUAUGUUUUUUUUUAUUUCAUUUCAAUCUUUUAUUUUUUUUAUUAAAAUAUUUUUUGAUUUCAAUAAAAAUUUUAAGUGGUAAGACACUCCGCAGCAACCUGUGCUUCAACGAUAAAAAAAUAUGAGUUCUUUUUUUCUUUUGUCAUUGGUUCUCGAGCCACAAAACAAAGAAUCUUUUUCCUUAUGGAAGCAUUGGUCCACCACUCUUAAAUUAUUUCACAGCAAGACUUUUCCCGCAUGCACCCUCAGGUCAAAGAUGAAGAAUAUUUGUAGGGUUCUUGGUUAUUCCUUCUUGUCGAGAAGCUUGUGCCUUGUAGCAAUCUUUCACGGUAUUACAAGGAUGAAAGAAGAAGGAUUAAUGCCAACCUAUUCAUCUCGUUGUUGAUCAACAAGGAAGGAACUUGAUAGAAAUAGACCCUUGAUAUUACUAUCCUAUCCAUCAAAAUCCUUCUAUCCUCCCUGCAAUUCCUUCCAAAUUAUGAGUUACAUUGAUUUUCUUCGCAAUUGAAGUAAGUUAGACAGGAUUGCCUAAAUAUGAUGAAUUAAUAAAUGGUUGGAUUUGCAAAAUUAUUUACACAGUUUAAUUUGUUGUUUUGAUACAUCUCAAACAUAUUAGACCGAUAAGUUUACACAUAAUCCAUGAACGUAUCUCACAGGUCACAACAAUUUCCUUCGUUAUUGCUCACUAAUAUUUAUUACUGAAAAGAGUAACUUAACAGUGGUCUCUAGGGUCUUUUCUAGAUGUUUUGGGGCAGUUUAUUGGGGUUUUUUGUGGCCAUAAAUUAACUUUAAGUGAUGCCUAAUCCUUUGAUCUCCCACCAACAAUCUUUUAGCAAUAUUUUGUUGAAAACGUGUACCUCUGAUCUUACAGUUUUGUUCUUAGUUUUAUUGUCUUUAUUUGUAUUCUAUCAUUUGAGUUUUCAGACUAGUAGGUAAACAUAAAUGCUUCUAGCAACAAUUUCUCUAAGUUUUUUUUUUUAUUGAAUCUAUGAAGAGAAUUUCAAGAAUUUAAUUACAAAUUUAUAUAAACUCUUGUAUUAAAACAAUCAAAUUAUAUAAAAUUAAUUUUGUUAUUAAUACUGUGUUGAACUCAGAAUUUGUGAUCUAAAUGGUUAAUUUGACCAUGGUUUUGAAGAGUUUUUUUACCUUUUUUGAUCCAUAAAAUCCAUAUAUCCAUAAAAUCUUCUAAAUGAAUAAAAAAAGAAAAGAAAAGAAAAGAGAAGAGAAGAGAGGAGAAGAAAGAAAGCUAAGCCUUACAACUGGAAGAGACAUUAUCUGCACUGGCGUUGUAGACUGUCGAAAUUCUGAAAUGUUAAUUUCUAUGUAGGAGGUAAAUAGCAUAAAUAAAUAGCAUGACAUCAUACCUUUACUAGGAGGUAAAGGUUCCAAUACCACAAAUAAACAACAAAAGUAUAAACAAAAAGUAAAUUUAAAAUUUUUUAAAAUAUUUUUGAACCAGAAAUACAGACAGUUAGUAUUGCAUUGACAUGGUCUAGAUGAUGACUUGCCAAAAUAAUUUUCAAUUGUCGAUGCUCCAUAGAGUGUUUAAGGCACAAGCCACUCUCUCCCAGUGAAGCAAUGAUUUUUAGUCCAAGUUAUCAUGUGCGUGCUUGAAGUUUUUUUGUCCCGUAAUUGCAGCAAAAUUUGAAUUUUGCACCUAAAACGAUCGAUAGCAAAAACAAUCUGUAAUUUUUCUUGCAAAGAUCUGUAAAGUAAUUAUAAGAUCUGGACUUGGAUUUAGAACUAGAAAAAUCUUCUAAAUGAAUAAUAGAAAAGAAAAGAGAAGAGAAGAGAAGAGAAGAAAGAAAGCUAAGCUUUACAACUGGAAAAAACAUUAUCAGCACUGGAUAAAUAUGAAAUGUUUAAGUUAAGUUGAUGCUGAAAUUCUGAAAUGUUUAUUUCUAUCACUCCUUACAUAAAUUGCGUGACGUCAUACCUUACUAUGAGGUAAAGGUUCCAAUACCAAAAUACAAAACAAUCCCUAGAAAUCAUAAAAUCCUAAUUUCAUCCCCGGAAUAAUAGCAAAGACUAGAAAUCAUGGAACAUGCUCAACUGUGUUCAACAAACUUUCAGGAUCUACUUCAAUUUUCUUAAGAGAACGGGAAAUAGUGAUCGGGAUCCUCGUUAGCUGCGGGCAAUCACCCACAGUAAUUUCUUCGAGAGAAUCGCAAAGAAGUCUUCCAGAAUAAAUGCUAUUCAAAUUUGGUAAUUUCUUCAAUACCAAAACCCUCAAUUUAUCAAAUCUACGAAAAGGAGAGGAAUGCUCAUCACUUCCCAUUAUCUCCUGCAUGUUGUAACAAUCUUCGACUACAAUCACUUCCAAUCGGGCAGUGAGACAACAACCAAGGAGGGAGCAGCACCUUCAUCCUAUGACAUUUAUGUAUCACCAUCUCUCUGAGAUUGAAAAAGACUACUUCUGAAGGGCUUCAAAAAGGUUUCUAAGAUUAUCAAACCAUCAAGGUGUAGAAUCUCAAGCCUCCUCCAAAUACAUAUGAUGGACAUAAGCUUCUCAUGUUUUGACAACUCACAAAAACUACUUUUGUAAUGAAGCACGGGGGCAGAGAUUGCAUUGUCAAUCAUGAGGUCAUAAAACCAAGCCUCUUUAAUUAACCCUGACUUCGAUCUUGUAUAAUUUAGAUCUUCGAGUGAAGAGAAACAAGGUCGUCCUACAGUAACCUUGCAUGCAAUUAGUGAAAAUCUCCGUCCACGACGGAAAUAUCCGAAAUCAUCUAGAUCACGGAAGUUGCAUUCCAAAGUUUCCAAAUCAUAUAAUCUGGAAACUUCAUCUCCUCUAACUGAGAGAACAACUUCAGAUUUCUGAUGAAGCUUGAGGAACUGUAAUUUUGAGAGUUGGGGUAAAAUACCCGACCGUAAAACACGCACCCCACUUCCAUCAAGAUUAAGAUACCUGAGAUCCUUCAGCCUUUCCAUUCCCUCGGGCAAAUCUUCAAGUCCAGUGUAACUGAGAUCCAACUUCUCCAAUGCCUUAAGCUUUGCUAAUGAUGGUACAUAACUCAGCUUUGCACACCAUCCCAGCAACAAUGCAGUGAGUCUCGUCAGAUGAGAAAUAGAAUCCGGCAACUUCUCUAUAUCUGUGUCGGAAAGAUCAAGAACCUUGAGUCCGAUGAGGUGCUGGAAAAAAGAAUCCUCACCAAAUUCAAUUUGUAGUUUCUGCAUAACAAUAAUGUUGAGAGACGGGGGCACAUUGGUGAAAAGCCUGUUGGAAUAUUCUCGAUUCUAUUUUCCAUGAGUGAAACUCUUAACAGAUCCUCUCUCCACAAUCUUACACCGGGUAAUUCUGUUAGCUGUGCACCUGCUUGAACCAUAGCCCCCCACUUUCGUUCAAUAUUUUCCAAGCCAUAUCCCAAAUCAAAUCAUGCAUCUUGACAUAUCUGUAAUCUUCAUCGUCCCUGGAACCUUCUAAUAAGCUGGCAUCUUCAAGUUGAUCAAGCAUGGUAUGGCCCCUAUCAAAUCGUGCAUGCCUUCCCCAUUUCUUUGACUAUACCCUCGUCAAUCAAAUACUCUAUCAAGUCCUCUCUCAAGAUGAUCUUGCCUUUUGGAAAUAGUGUGAUAUGUAAGAAGCACUCUUGAAGUGCUGAAUCGUUCAACUGGCAUAGCUAAAUUCAACUCGAAAUACAUUGGCUUCCAUCUCACCUGGUCCAACUUCUAAUCUUCUCAGUUUUAGCAAUGCAUCUCUCCAACGAUAUUCACAUCCACUCCCUUCAUGCUUCGAGCCAUUGUCAUGAUUCCAAGGGCAAACCAGCACACUCCUUCACAAUAGACUCUGCGAUCUCAGGAUAGGUGCACCACCACGCCCUAAUCUGUCUUGAACAGAUCCCAAGCCUCACCCUCAGAAAGAGGCUCCACUUUGAUUAUCCUUUGGCAAUCCAUUUUUCGACAUAUCUCCGUGAUCUCGUUGUGAGAAUCAACUUCCACCCGUCUGUUCUAAGAGGUAUUCCCACUUCAUCAGGAAGAAAAUGACCCCACAAAUUAUCAAGAAUUAAAAAACCUUUUUUUUUCACAUUCAACUCUGUCAACAGCUCCCCAGUUCUCACCAUCGCAUCAUUUUCAUCCAAAGGUUUUAAAUCCAAAACCUCAGCAAUGCGACCCUGCAAUGCAUGAAUGCUAAAAUCUUGUGACAUAGUAAUCCACCGAACAGGAUGAAACAUGCCUAGUUUAUCGUGAAGCUGAUUAUAGAUGUGUGUAGCCAAAGCUGUCUUUCCCACCCCCCCCAUCCCACAGAUGCCAAUGCAUGAGACCUCAUCAUUCAACAACCCAGACCAGACAGCAUUCAUGUUUCUUUCCAUAGCUUGGCCCACUAGCUUUGUUGUCGGCAAUACAUAUCUUUCAGUCCUACGUUUCUUAUGCACAGGCCUUUUAGAAGAGGGUUGUCUCUCAACAACAGACUGCAUCAAUUCCGGACUCGUGGUCAGUCUACCAAUUCUUAACUCAAAAUCCCUCAUUGAUGAGGAUGAGAUGUUAUUCAAGUUCAUUUCAAAUGACUGAUGUGCUUGCUCUGUUCUUUGUACUCUAGUCUCGGGUUCAUCUGGCAUAAGAACGAUAGGAGCUCUAGGUUCCUCGACAAGCUCAGUCUCCCCCCCAAUCAGAAGACCCUUCCGUUCUCGUUCAUCCGAAAGAGGUUGUUCUUCUUGUUCCAUUUCUAAGCCCCGCAAAGCAGUUGAAGCUGCAUUAAUUCCCUCGUUAUUGCUUGAACUUGGCACACUCUUAUCUACAGGCAUUUUAGAACAGCUUCCUCUCUCAGUAACAGCCUGCAUCCAUUCCCGACUCUCUAUACUAUGAAGAGUGAUGUUAUUCGUAUCCGUUUCAAAUGCUUGAACUGCUGGCUCUAUUCCCAAUCCAGUCACAGGUGCAUCGGGCAUAAGCAUGCUAGGAACCAUGGUCUCCUCAGGAAGCACAAUAUUCUCUUCCCAAAACUCAAAAUCCCUCAUUGAUGAGGAUGAGAUGUUAUUCAUCUGGUGUGCUUGCUCUGUUCGUUGUCUAGUCUCGGGUUCAUCUGGCAUAAGAACGACAGGAGCUCUAUGAAGAGUGAUGUUAUUCGUAUCCGUUUCAAAUGCUUGAACUGCUGGCUCUAUUCCCAAUCCAGUCACAGGUGCAUCGGGCAUAAGCAUGCUAGGAACCAUGGUCUCCUCAGACAGGAAAAACUCUCCCCCAGUUAUCCCAUCCAUCCAUGACAGUCCAUCAUCCAAAAGAGAUUGUCCUUGUUGUUGCAUUUCUAAAUCUUGCGCAGGAUCUGAAUCUGCACUUGGCAUGCUCCCACGCAUUCUGCCAGGAAGCUUAUCAAACGCUGCUCGUUGAACAUCUGGAGUUACUUUUUCACAAAUUUUAACACCACCACCUCCAACUCUUGCCAGAUGAUAUUUCAUCCUUGUAGUGGAAGUACUUCCAGCCAAUGUCUUCUCACAAAAAAUGCACUUCAAUAAACCACCAUCCACUUUCUCAAAAUAACUCUGAAAUGGAUCACUUCCUCCAGCCAUUUUUUCUUCUGUGUCCCUACAUACAGACAUAACAAAGAACUUUCAGAAUAUUGAAUUAAAAUGGAACUUAAACUAAUUGAAAAAAAGAAGAAGCUAAGUUUAAGAUAAAAAGAAAAAUUGAUUACAGGUGUUUCACUGUCUAAACCAAAGUCAAGUUAAACCACUCCAAAGAUCAAAGUGUUCUUUUCUUUUUACUUUCCCAAUAAUUCUACAACUGGUCAUAUCAGUAAUUUAAUAACCAGUAUGUUUCUUUAGCUUAGAAGAAUCAAAGUACAUGAGUUGGAAAAGAAAUGGUAUGAAAUUAGAGCUAAAAUUAAUCAAACUUAAUUACCUGAACAGCAGAUGCAGCAAGAUGUUAUCCAAUUAUUUGAUUAAAUCAGAAGAAAGAAGAUGGACGGGGGAGAGUAAGUGUGUUGGAGACGCCGGACGCGUGAUAGAGCUUCGGCUUGUGUGGUUGUGGAUAAGGAUAGAUUCAGACAGUCAGAGAAGCAGAUGACAGUGAAAAAAAGUAAAAUGGAUUUCUGUCGUUCAUGGAUGUCAUAUGGACAUGUUGUUGGUCUUCCAGGAAGCGGAUCCGGCGAGGGGUGCUCUAGUGAAGGCGUGGGGGUAGGCGGUUGCUGAUGAUAGUCUCCUCGUGUGAUGGACAGCACGCCAACUUUGCAAACGAUGAGAAAGAGCACGAUCCACCACAAAACAGCAGAAGAGAAAGCAGUAGGCCGAGGGAAGAAAAGGGAGCAGAGUCGACCAAGAGAGAAGUAGAGAGCGGUAUCUUCACAAAUGGAGAGGUUUGUGUUUUCUGUAGGUGGUAGAAAAAAGAGACAGAGGAUGAGAGACAACAGAGAGGGAGGCUACCUGUUUGUUUGCUGGUUUUUAAAAAAAGAGUUAAUUUCCAGAAAUAACAAUGAAGUUACUGAUUCAAACAUUGGUCCACCACCCUCAGGUCAAUGAUGAAGAAUUGUAGGGUUCUUGGUUAUUUCUUCUGGUCGAGGAGAAGUCUGUAACAACCUAUCACGGUAUGAAAGAUGCACGUAUUAUAAGUCUCAGAUGGUACAAUUCAAGUUGCCAUUUUGAUAUUAAAAUAACACAUUUCCAGGCCUUAUAUUUAAUAUUUUUAUGCUAAAAAAAAAAAAGCUUAGCGUAUCACAGCCACCUAAUUAGUAUUACCUAUAAACAUAUCAUCUGAUCCCAUCCCAUACAAUUGCACCUGCGGAGUGUGAGGUAGUAAAACAGAGUAUCUAAAAAUUGAAGUAGUUGGUUGUUGAGUCUUGUCAUGUUAUUGAUGAAGAAGUUACUCGUUUCAUGGUGCUCACUAAGUGGGUGAGUUUAUUAAAUUUCUUAGAGCCAAUUACCUGUGUUUUAUAUAUUUUUUAUUUUUUAAAAUAUUUAUCUUCUUUUAAUAUUUUUAUUUUAAGAAAACAUGUAUCACAAGUCACCUAACCUAACCAGUCUUAACUAUGAACAUAUGAUCUUACUAGAGAAUAAUAUAAAUCAUAUACUAGGAUCUCAUCUAAUAAUCUAAAUUAUUGGGUUGAGAUUGUUUUUUAACAUGGUAUCAGAGCUUUGAUGACCAAGUGAUCAUAAGUUCAAAUCUCAUCAUCCCCAUUUAUUUUGAUAAAAAUUAUGCAUAAGAUAAAAUAAACUUGUGCAAGUUUCAAGCCCAAAAAACUUUCACAUGAAAAAAUAUAUUAAAAAAUAAUAUAAAUUAUAUAUUAAAAUUUCAUCUAAUAAUUUAAAUUAUUAAAUUAAAAUAAUUUUUCAAGAUAUGUUAUCCAUCUCAUGUCACAUAUCAUCUCCUUCACUCUGAUGCAACCUGUGAUCAAUUAUUUUAUAUUUCAGUGCUUUGUGACAUCAACAAUGUCAUGUUACUGAUUGAAACAUUGGUCCACCACCUUUAAUUUCUUUCAUGGCAAGACUUUCCCCCCAAUGCGCAAGCAGGUCAAUGAUGACAGAAGGAGGAUGAAAACACAUGAUCUCUCUAGGAAUUCUAUGUACAAUUAAUGCUCGAUAAUCAACUUCUUUUCACGGUUAAAAGAUUAAAGAAUUAAUUUUUAUUAUUAAUAAUUUUUUCUCUUUAAAUAGAGAAUGGCUUUAGAUUAAGUUUUUAUUUAUUCAUAAUUUAUUUAAAUUAUAUUAAAGAAAACAAAUUUCCAGCGCAAAGCACAACAACACACCUUUUCAUUUAUUUUUUCUUAUUUUGUUUCUUUAAUUUAGUUUUCAAUUAUAUCUCUUUUUUUUAAAUAUGUUAGUUUAACUAUUUUUAAAUAGUAAUUAAUCUUUUGGAUGGGUUUUUAAAUUUCAUAAUAUCUCAAAGGGAUUAUUGUAAUUUAUUUAUUAAUUUUUUUUAUAACUAGAUAAGUUAUAUUUGCAUUAUAUGUUUUUAAUGAUGAAAAUAAAAUGUACUUAAUAACCAUAAUAAACCUUCAAGUCUUAAAAUGUACUUAACGACCCUCGAAUCAAUAACGAUAAAUUAUACGCUUCUUAGUUAUUUCUUGUUGAUAAUUUCGCAUCCAUCACAACUUCUAGUCUCUUCUGCAUAGGAUAAUUUAGGGAAUUAGUACACAAAAUUAAAAUAAAUGGUGCAAUGACACAAAAGCAAAAUGGUUUGGUGAAAUAACACUUUCAUUUUGUCGUCCUUUAGAAAUACAACAUUUACUAAAUGUUGUUAUUCCAAAGCACUAUAAGAUUAUUGUGAUGCUUUAGAAUAGUGAUAUUUAGUAGAUGUCGCAUUUCUGAACCGCAAAAAGAUAGUUGUCAUGCUCAACAAAUUGACUUGUUCAUAAUGGUUAGUGAAACUAGUCGAAAAGUUCCGAAAAUAACAAGAAAAAUCACAAAACUAUCAAAAUUAGGGGGCCUCGGUGAUAUUUUUUAUGUCUAAAGAUAUAAUGUUCAUAUGGCACAGUAAGGUUACCCUGGGUAAAAUAGCCUUCAAAAAAUCUUAUAAAAAUUUGAACGCGAUCCAAUAGUGAAAUCAAAAGUUAUGAUCCUUUUGAGAUGUUAUUUUGAUCUGGCAUGACCAUACCUCCUCUUGGGCCUAAACAUGUCUCAUUAGUCCAUAAAUACAUCUGUUAGGCCAUCCAAGUAAUGUUUUUAAGGAAAAUUCUCAUUUAGUUAUGGCAGACCCACACCUGACUACUUAGAAUCACAUGUUAUCGCAAGUCCGAUUAAAAUAACUUUUUUGAGAUUUCUUAGUCUACAAGUUGGACAAAGAUGUAUAUUUUGACUCAUAAAACAUAUUUGAAAUAAAAAAAUUAAUUAAAUUAUGGUUUUGUAUGAAACGAUUGACCAGUUAAUACAUCUAGAUUAAACAGGUCGACUAGAAGAUUUAAGUUUCAUAUUGUCGUGCCUCUGAAGUGCGACAUUAACUAAAUAUUGUUAUUCUAAAGCAGGACAACUAUCUUGUCAUGCGUUUUAAUAUCGACAUUUAGUAAAAUAUCAUAUUUUUGAAGCGCGACAAGUUAAAAGUAAGUUAUUUCAUCAAAAUUUUCUCAAACGGUGUUAUUCCUCUAAAUUUUUAAGUUUACUUUGCUAAUUUGACAAAAAAACAUUCCUUUGCCAUAAGCUUUAAGAGUGAGACCAUGUAAUUAAAAUUCACUUAAUAGAUUCUAGUUUUCUACUAAUUCUAUGCAAUCCAAACAGUUGAAUUUUUGAAUUUUUAAAUAUUUUUUAUUAUAAAAUUUAAAAACAGUUCAGUUUGAUUUUAAUUUUAAAAUUUUUUAAAAAAAUCAAUCCAAACCAAAUUAUAUCAAAUUGAAUCAAAACAAACCAAAUAAAUUUUUUUUAUAAAAAACUAAAGGUAUGUAUAAACUAAAAACUCCAUACAAUUUAAUUUUUUUCAGAAAAAAAUAUUAACAACAGUUGAAUAUUUGUCUUUAUAUUCAAGAAAAAAAUGAUUUUACCCACAGGUUAAAGUUUAUUACUAGUUAUUUUGGGAGGCUCGAAAAUUUUGCUAGAUGUGCAGACUAUUUCCUUAAUAUUAAUGAUUGAUCACAAAGAUAACUUAUGUCCAGUCAUGAGCUGCUAAAAUUUGAACUGCCAUGGUUUAUAAUUAUUUUUUUGGAGAUGUGAAAGUAUGAAUCCUGACCAGUUGCAGUGACAAACUACUGUUUGUUGGGAGAAAUGGCAAAUUAGUGCUAGACAUAUUUACUUGAAUAAUUCUUGAACUUUUCUUGGGCCAUCUGACAUUUUAAUUUAUGAUAGAUUUUCUAAAAUUUAUUUAUGCGGCCUUCUAUCUUAAAGAAUUUGACAAGAAAUGAUCGGUAGAAAUUUAUAAAAAUUUUACUUUUUAAAUUUUGAUUUUUGGUUUAAAUAGAUGUUAUUAAACCUGGUUGGAUACAUCAACUAGGAAUCUAGUCGUUCUCAUCUAAAACUUGGCUUAAACUAGGUUAAAUAAGAGAUUUUGUAACUCGUGAUCAUAUCAUUUUGGUUAAAAUUUAAUUUGAUUAUUAAAGUUGUUUUUCUUAAAGCAAUGACAUUUUAUUUUCUUUUUAAAAUUUUUUAAAUAGUAAACUAAUAUUAUUAUGAAUUCACCGAGUAAACUUUAGUUUAAACUUGAAAAUCUUGAAACAAUUAACUUGAAACUUUGGAUUGAGCCUUUUGAGACCGUGAUCUUGGAUUGGUGGAGUGAUGGGCUUGCCCACAAGUCUUGUGGGUUGAUGGAUAACUUUCAUAAACUUGCAUGUAAAACAAGUUAUUUUUAUCAGAAUUCAGGGUCCUUUUAUUCUUAUGUUAGUAAACAUAGAAAGAGUAAUUUAUAAGAAAGAAAAGAAAAUGAAAAAUAUAGAGAGUUUGUAAAUCGGUGAAGCUGAUGAAUAAACUUGGAUUAUCUAAAUAUUUAAUUAAUAAUUCAAGAUAUUUAUAUACCUCACUUACAUAAUUUCACCUGUGAAGUGUGAUGUAGUAAGAAAGAGUAUCUAAAAAUUCAAGUUGUUUGUUAUUGAAUUUUGUCAUGUUAUUAAUGAAAAAAUUACUCGUUUUAUGGUGCUCUCUAAGUAGGAGAGUUUAUUAAAUUCAUUAGAGCUAAUUACCUGUAUAUUAUAUAUAUUUUUUAUUUUUUAAAAAAAUAUUUAUCUCUACUUAAUAAUUUUUAUUCUAAAAAAACAUAUAUGACAAGUCACCUAACCUAACUAGUCUUAACUAUCAACAUAUCAUCUUAUCCCAUCUCAUGUCACGUAUCAUCUUAUCCUUCACUCUGAUGCAACCUGUGAUCAAUAAUUUAAUAUUUCAGUGCUUUGUGACAUCAACAAUGUCAUGUUACUGAUUGAAACAUUGGUCCACCACCUUUAAUUUCUUUCAUGGCAAGACUUUCCCCCCUAUGCGCAUUUAAAGUAGGUCAGACUACUAUAUGUUAAAUAAUAUUUAUGUAAUUUUAUUUAUUAAAGGUAGAAUAAUUUUUUUAAUUUAAUUAUAAUUUUUUUAGUUUAAUUAAUAUAUUUUAUUUAUAUUUAGAUUAGAAUUAUGCACUCAUAAUAUACAGAUUAUUUAAAAUUUUAAUUUUAUUUUUAUAUUUGAUCUUAAUUAUUUCCACUGAAUUGCCUAAAUAUGAUGAAUAAAGGGUUGGAUUUGCAAAAUUAUUUACACAUUUUAAUUUGUUGAUCGCCAUUUUCUACUGUAUCAUCGACGUUCUUCCUUCCUCCAACCAUUUCCAGCACUAACAUACCAAAGCUGUAAACAUGUGAUUUACAGGAAACAUUCCCGAAGUUCCUCGAAAACACUUUUAUCCUUGGAACACGUUUAUUUUUAUAUUGAAUCAUUACUUUUUUCCCGUUUUAUUUAUUGUAAAAAUAAAAAUAUAGUUCCAUAAUAUUUAUAAUUAUUCUAUUCUCAUUGAAUCAUGGUAAAAAUAAUUGGCCCGUGGCGCGACAUCCUAAGUAGUCUUAUCUAUAAACAUAUCAUGUUAUGCCACGUACUCAUUUAAAGCUUGACACAUUGGUCAAUUAUUUUAUACUGAUUGGGACGUUUAAGAGCCGGUCAAUUAUUUUAUAUUUCAGUGUUUUGUGACAUUAACAAUGAAGUUACUGAUUGAAAUAUUAUUUGUAAUUUGUUUUUAUGAUUUAAAAAUAUUUUUAAAAUUUUAAAAUUUAUUUUUUUUACUUCAAAUUAAUAUAUAUUUUAAUAUUUUUAAAUUAUUUUAAUGCACUAAUAUUAAAAAUAAUUUUUAAAAACUAAAAAAAUAUAUAUUAUUUUACUAUAUUUUUAAAUAAAAUAUUUUAAAAAAUAAUUAUAAUCAAACUUUCAAAUAAACUCAUAUAGUUGCUUUCAUGACAAAGACAUUUCACCGUGCGCACUCAAGUUAAUGAUGAAGAAUUGUAGGGUUCUUGGUAAUUACGCGUCAAUGAGUUGUUUGUGUCCCCAACAUUGGAGGUGCCAUCAUAUUUUAUUUCUUUUUCUUUUUUAAAGAUGUGAGCACGAUAACAUGUGAUUAUUGAAUUGUCGCUGCUGUUUCCUUAUUAUUUUUGAUAUUUUAUUUUUAUUUUUUAUUUUUAUUUUUAUAUUUUAUAUCAAGAUUUUAUUUAUUUUCAGUUUUAUUUUUUAAUUAUAAUUUUUUAUAUUUUUUUAUUUCAGUUUUUAUUCUAUUAAUUUUUAAUUUUUUUAUUUGAUACUUUUAUUUAAAAUUUUAAUCGCUUUCAAUAAAGUUUGUCGGUGGUCAGACACACCGACGCAACCUGUGGUUCAACGACAAAAAUAUAUGGUCUUUCUUUUCUGUUUUUUUCCGUGAUCCGCUACCUUUAAUUUCUUUCAUAGCUGAUCUUUCCCCCAUGCUUACUCAGGUCCAUAAAGUUUGGCUUUUCCCUUUUUCGUAAAAAUACAUAUUUCAUCUUAGAAAAAGAUAAAAAAAAAUUAAUAAUAAAGCAUGCAUUUGAGGUAUUUUUUUUUUCUUUUACACUGAUCAUUUUGUAAUUAUCAUGAUAAUGAGGGAUAUUUAUGUAUUUUUACAUUGAAAUUUUAGUUUUUUAAUUAAAAAAAUUGAUGGCAUGUAUACAUCAUGCACCAAUGAGUUGGUGGGGUCUAUACCAUUUGAAUGACGUGUGUGAUAUUUUUUUGUAGCCGAACUUGACGUUCCAACGUCUCUUUAAAAGUGACAUCAAGUUCUACUUUUUAUAGUGUGGCACGUGAUGAUAUAUGGUUGUCGGAUUGUCCUUUUAUUUUUUGUAUUUUAAUUUUAGUUUUAAUUUUUUAAUUUUGUUCUUAUUCUUUAUAUAAUGAUUUUAUUUAUUUUUAAUUUAAUAUUUUAAUUAUAAUUUGUUAUAUGUUUUUUUUUAUUUCAUUUCAAUCUUUUAUUUUUUUUAUUAAAAUAUUUUUUGAUUUCAAUAAAAAUUUUAAGUGGUAAGACACUCCGCAGCAACCUGUGCUUCAACGAUAAAAAAAUAUGAGUUCUUUUUUUCUUUUGUCAUUGGUUCUCGAGCCACAAAACAAAGAAUCUUUUUCCUUAUGGAAGCAUUGGUCCACCACUCUUAAAUUAUUUCACAGCAAGACUUUUCCCGCAUGCACCCUCAGGUCAAAGAUGAAGAAUAUUUGUAGGGUUCUUGGUUAUUCCUUCUUGUCGAGAAGCUUGUGCCUUGUAGCAAUCUUUCACGGUAUUACAAGGAUGAAAGAAGAAGGAUUAAUGCCAACCUAUUCAUCUCGUUGUUGAUCAACAAGGAAGGAACUUGAUAGAAAUAGACCCUUGAUAUUACUAUCCUAUCCAUCAAAAUCCUUCUAUCCUCCCUGCAAUUCCUUCCAAAUUAUGAGUUACAUUGAUUUUCUUCGCAAUUGAAGUAAGUUAGACAGGAUUGCCUAAAUAUGAUGAAUUAAUAAAUGGUUGGAUUUGCAAAAUUAUUUACACAGUUUAAUUUGUUGUUUUGAUACAUCUCAAACAUAUUAGACCGAUAAGUUUACACAUAAUCCAUGAACGUAUCUCACAGGUCACAACAAUUUCCUUCGUUAUUGCUCACUAAUAUUUAUUACUGAAAAGAGUAACUUAACAGUGGUCUCUAGGGUCUUUUCUAGAUGUUUUGGGGCAGUUUAUUGGGGUUUUUUGUGGCCAUAAAUUAACUUUAAGUGAUGCCUAAUCCUUUGAUCUCCCACCAACAAUCUUUUAGCAAUAUUUUGUUGAAAACGUGUACCUCUGAUCUUACAGUUUUGUUCUUAGUUUUAUUGUCUUUAUUUGUAUUCUAUCAUUUGAGUUUUCAGACUAGUAGGUAAACAUAAAUGCUUCUAGCAACAAUUUCUCUAAGUUUUUUUUUUUAUUGAAUCUAUGAAGAGAAUUUCAAGAAUUUAAUUACAAAUUUAUAUAAACUCUUGUAUUAAAACAAUCAAAUUAUAUUAUAAAAUUAAUUUUGUUAUUAAUACUGUGUUGAACUCAGAAUUUGUGAUCUAAAUGGUUAAUUUGACCAUGGUUUUGAAGAGUUUUUUUACCUUUUUUGAUCCAUAAAAUCCAUAUAUCCAUAAAAUCUUCUAAAUGAAUAAUAAAAAAGAAAAGAAAAGAAAAGAGAAGAGAAGAGAGGAGAAGAAAGAAAGCUAAGCCUUACAACUGGAAGAGACAUUAUCUGCACUGGCGUUGUAGACUGUCGAAAUUCUGAAAUGUUAAUUUCUAUGUAGGAGGUAAAUAGCAUAAAUAAAUAGCAUGACAUCAUACCUUUACUAGGAGGUAAAGGUUCCAAUACCACAAAUAAACAACAAAAGUAUAAACAAAAAGUAAAUUUAAAAUUUUUUAAAAUAUUUUUGAACCAGAAAUACAGACAGUUAGUAUUGCAUUGACAUGGUCUAGAUGAUGACUUGCCAAAAUAAUUUUCAAUUGUCGAUGCUCCAUAGAGUGUUUAAGGCACAAGCCACUCUCUCCCAGUGAAGCAAUGAUUUUUAGUCCAAGUUAUCAUGUGCGUGCUUGAAAGUUUUUUUGUCCCGUAAUUGCAGCAAAAUUUGAAUUUUGCACCUAAAACGAUCGAUAGCAAAAACAAUCUGUAAUUUUUCUUGCAAAGAUCUGUAAAGUAAUUAUAAGAUCUGGACUUGGAUUUAGAACUAGAAAAAUCUUCUAAAUGAAUAAUAGAAAAGAAAAGAGAAGAGAAGAAAGCUAAGCUUCACAACUGGAAAAAACAUUAUCAGCACUGGAUAAAUAUGAAAUGUUUAAGUUAAGUUGAUGCUGAAAUUCUGAAAUGUUUAUUUCUAUCACUCCUUACAUAAAUUGCGUGACGUCAUACCUCUACUAUGAGGUAAAGGUUCCAAUACCAAAAUACAAAACAAUCCCUAGAAAUCAUAAAAUCCUAAUUUCAUCCCCGGAAUAAUAGCAAAUGACUAGAAAUCAUGGAACAUGCUCAACUGUGUUCAACAAACUUUCAGGAUCUACUUCAAUUUUCUUAAUAGAACGGGAAAUAGUGAUCGGGAUCCUCGUUAGCUGCGGGCAAUCACCCACAGUAAUUUCUUCGAGAGAAUCGCAAAGAAGUCUUCCAGAAUAAAUGCUAUUCAAAUUUGGUAAUUUCUUCAAUACCAAAACCCUCAAUUUAUCAAAUGUACGAAAAGGAGAGGAAUGCUCAUCACUUCCCAUUAUCUCCUGCAUGUUGUAACAAUCUUCGACUACAAUCACUUCCAAUCGGCGCAACAACCAUGAUUUUGAAGUUUCAUUAUGUAUCAACCAAGGAGGGAGCAGCACCUUCAUCCCAUGACAUUUAUGUAUCACCAUCUCUCUGAGAUUGAAAAAGACUCGCUCUGAAGGUGCUUCAAAAACGGUUUCUAAGAUUAUCAAACCAUCAAGGUGUAGAAUCUCAAGCCCAUGCCCUCCAAAUACAUAUGAUGGACAUAAGCUUCUCAUGUUUUGACAACUCACAAAAACUACUUUUGUAAUGAAGCACGGGGGCAGAGAAGUUGCAUUGUCAAUCAUGAGGUCAUAAAACCAAGCCUCUUUAAUUAACCCAAACUUCGAUCUUGUAUAAUUUAGAUCUUCGAGUGAAGAGAAACAAGGUCGUCCUACAGUAACCUUGUAUGCACUUAGUGAAAAUCGCCGUCCACCACAGAAAUAUCUGAAAUCAUCUAGAUCACGGAAGUUGCAUUCCAAAGUUUCCAAAUCAUAUAAUGUGGAAACUUCAUCUCCUCUAACUGAGAGAACAACUUCGGAUUUCUGAUGAAGCUUGAGGAACUGUAAUUUUGAGAGUUGGGGUAAAAUACCCGACCGUAAAACACGCACCCCACUUCCAUCAAGAUUAAGAUACCUGAGAUCCUCCAGCCUUUCCAUUCCCUCGGGCAAAUCUUCAAGUCCAGUGUAACUGAGAUCCAACUUCUCCAAUGCCUUAAGCUUUGCUAAUGAUGGUACAUAACUCAGCUUUGCACACCAUCCCAGCAACAAUGCAGUGAGUCUCGUUAGAUGAGAAAUAGAAUCCGGCAACUUCUCUAUAUCUGUGUCGGAAAGAUCAAGAACCUUGAGUCCGAUGAGGUGCUGGAAAAAAUAAUCCUCGACCAAAUUCAAUUUGUAGUUUCUGCACAACAAUAAUGUUGAGAGACGGGGGCACGUUGGUGAAAAGCCUGUUGGAAUAUUCUCGAUUCUAUUUUCCAUGAGUGAAACUCUUAACAGAUCCUCUCUCCACAAUCUUACACCGGGUAAUUCUGUUAGCUGUGCACCUGCUUGAACCAUAGCCCCCCCACUUUCGUUCAAUAUUUUCGAAGCCAUAUCCCAAAUCAAAUCAUGCAUCUUGACAUAUCUGCAAUCUUCAUCGUCCCUGGAACCUUCUAACAAGCUGGCAUCUUCAAGCUGAUCAAGCAUGGUAUGGCCCUAUCAAAUCGUACAUGCCUUCGCAUUCCUUUGACUAUACCUCGUCAAAUCAUACUCUAUCAAGUCCUCUCUCAAGAUGAUCUUGCCUUUUGGAAAUAGUGUGAUAUGUAAGAAGCACUUUUGCAGUGCUGAAUAGGUCAACUGGGGAUAGCUAAAUUCCAACACUGGAAAUACUUUGGCUUCCAUCUCACCUGGUCCAUCUUCUAAUCUUCUCAGUUUUAGCAAUGCAUCUCUCCAAACAUAUUCAACAUACACUCCCUUCAUGCAUCGAGCCAUUGUCACGAUUCCAAGAGGCAAACCAGCACACUCCUUCACAAUAGACUCUGCGAUCUCAGGAUAGGGUGCACCACCAGGCCCUAAUCUGUAUUUGAACAGAUCCCAAGCCUCACCCUCAGAAAGAGGCUCCACUUUGAUUAUCCUUUGGCAAUCCAUUUUUCGACAUAUCUCCGGUGAUCUCGUUGUGAGAAUCAACUUCCACCCGUCUGUUCUAAGAGGUAUUCCCACUUCAUCAGGAAGAAAAUGAUCCCACAAAUUAUCAAGAAUUAAAAAACCUUUUUUUUUCACAUUCAACUCUGUCAACAGCUCCCCAGUUCUCUUUGGUGUGGUCUAUAUAAUCAUCAUACAAAGAUGUUCUGUAUUGUGUUUAACUAUCAGAUUUCCACUCUCUUUGGAAAUCAUAGCAGUUAGCGAGGAUGGUACAUCCUCCAUGAUAACUGUAACAUGUUCUACAUAUUAAUUAUCGUAUUUGUCACCAGCAAGAGUAAUAUUUUGGCUGCAAAUUAACAAGAGACUAUCAUAGGGAUUAUAUAAACAAGUUGAUGCAUGAAAAGACGAGUCUCUAUUUAUAGGUAGCCACUACAGGUAGCUUCGGAGACCACUAAUACAAGGUAAGUCUUGUUAGUAAUUCCACAACCUCUACAUUAGAAAUAAAUAAUCUGUAAAUAUUUACUUUCCUAUUGUAAUGACUACCUCAUAUGAAGAUAACUUACAAUGUAGUAAUUGAUUCCUAAUAGAAAGGAAAGUCUGGAAUCCUACCUGUGUAAGAAAUUCUGCUUGUAUAAGAAAUUCAACUUGUAGAAAUACAUGCAGAGAUCAAUAAUAAUAUAGUUCCAGCAGAUUCAAUCCUCUUUGUCUUUUAAAUUUUUUAUGGUAUCAGAGCUUGACAAAAAAUCCUGAUCCACUAUCACAUCCUAAAACUCUUCCAUUGAUGUUUCAAAGGCAAAUCUCUCAAGCCCUUACUUUAAUUUUAGUAAAAAAAAAAAAAUUUAAAUUUAGGCAAAACACCGUUUGAAACGCAAUGCCAAACGGUGGUGUCUUAGUGACAGUUUAUGCAUGCCUUGACAUGUCUUGCAGAGGAAACAGAAGCACCCUACUUUGCAUUCAGCUGGUUAAACGACAACAACACGUUCCAAACAGAAGAUGCUUCAACUAAACUGACCUAAGAGAGCUUAGACAAACAUCUCGAUAGACUUUGUUGAAGGCUUCAAAUGGUAAAUCUCGAUAGACCUAAGCAAUUUUUAUUCACAAAGAUAAAAUCUGGAAAGAACUAUUUAAGAUAUUAGGGGUGAAAUUGCUUUUGAGUUUAGCUUAUCACCCACAAACUGUUAGACAAUCAAAAAACAGGUUAGGUUUUUUUUUUUUUUUUUUUUUUUUUUGUGUUUCAGCACCUCGAUUUUGCUUACUGUAGCUCCUGUUGUUGCCCCUUUUUUUAUUUUAAUAUAGCUGGUUUUUUCAAACUUGGAUGCAAUUUUUAAUUUUUGCUUUUCCCAGGAUCGAAUUAGGUUGCUCGCUAUCUUGCACGCCCUUUCUUUUCCUAUGCUUGUUUUCCUGCAGAUUGGUUGUUUUGUAGCAACGGUAUUUCACCUCUUUUUGUUCGUCUCAACAAAAAGAAAAUAUAUAUUAAAAAAAUAUUUUUUAUAUAUUUUUUAAAAAUUAUUUUUAAUAUCGAUAUAUUAAAAAUUUGAUUGUUAUUAUUAAUUAUGAUGUCUUAUCACAUCAUUGGGGAGAGGUGAGUUUCCUUUUAGGUGACAUGUGGGAAAAAAAGUAACCAUGGACGAGAAAUGAGGUGCCUUGCUCUACAUAUAGAGAAUGAAUUUGGCGUGCGUUAGUGGGUGGUUUGUGACAUUGUUAAAACUUCAUAUGUUUAGAGGUUGGUAUUAGGUCAAGACCCAAAAAACAUGGUGGAAAACCCAUUUGGGCUUUGUCUGCAGGCAUUCAAGGUAGCAGGGGAAUCCAAUUAAUGAAUUGUUAUUGACUUAAUCUCUAUGUUCUUCAUGGCGGGAUUUUAGUUCAGAAGCUUUUUGUUAACUCAGAGUUGUCAUGUUCAAUAUAGAAGCGUUUGAACUGCUCAGGCACUUCAAAUGAAGAUGAAAGUGCGGAGGAAACUUCAUGGAUAGAUUGCAGGUAUGAAGACAUUUACAGCUGAGAAUUGAAGCUCGAGGGGAACUACUUGCAGUCAGUGUUGAAGAAAGCGCAAGAAACACUGCCUAAACACUUCAAAAGACAGGAGGCUCAAGCUUAAAGGAUGCUAGAUGUUAUCUAAUUGAUUUUUACUAGAGAUUUUCAGAUUGAUUCGCUUAAUGGAAGAACUUGCUUGCACUGUCCUGCUUAUUAUGGCCAUUUUGAUUACCUUCAAGCUACUCUUUCUGCUGCCAUCAAUCCAACCUGUUACUGUUUCUUGUUAACUAUAUCUUCAUUCUAAUUGAUUUCGCUUUCUCUUCUCUUCUGUUUUUUUUAUCAGAGUUAUCUCUGCAUGGACAAUGAACUUCGGGUGAGCCCAACAGGUUACAGCCAAGUAAACAACGAGAAUGCAUGCUCCCGCCAGCCUGCAAAAUCUAGCACAAAGCAAUCGUUUGGGUCAUAGUCUCCUUAGCCCACAGCCAAUCUCGAAAAGGAAUGAUUCUUUUAUUUAUUUUUUGUUUUUUGCAUUUAGGACUCUCAUUUCUUCGUAUGUUUACUUUGUUUAAUUUUUUAAUCAAAGCUAAAGCUCGAUUGACUUGAUCAUGAUGAUCGGAUUCACAGUCUAAAAGCCCUCAUCAACAUAAAUUAUCAUUUUAAAUUUGUUUUUUUUUAAUAUUUAUUUUUGUAUCAGAUUUUUUAUAUCUGUAGCCUUGCAUAAUUUUUUUUUUAAUUAUUAUUCAAUAAAUUUUAUGUGUGUUAGUUUCUAUUAUAAAUAUUAUGUUUUUUUUAUUACAAAUUUAUUUUGAUAAAGAGGUUCAUUAAACAUAAUUAGGUAAAUUAUCCGUGUUGCGAUAUUAGAUAUCCUGAUCUUUAUUUUUUGCUUGGUUUUCUCAAUUUUAUUUUUGUUUAUUGUUGAUGAAUCUUUUUUUCAUUGCUUUACACAAUUGGUUAUUGAUUUAUUUAAUUAGAUGCGUGCAUAAGCUUUUCAAUUAACAUCUAAGAGUUUUUUUUAGUGUAAAAAAACAUGUUGAAUAAUUUUGUAUAUUCAUUUUUUUAUAUUAUGUUUUGAUGUUUAAGAUUUGAUGCUUAUUCUUAUGAAUUUUUUUUUUAAUAUUUUUUCCCUUGAAUCUUUUAUAAAAGUUUUAUUGUUUUUAGUUUCACCCUUCAAUUCAAGUCUAUAGUGUAUUUUUUUUUAUAUGUCUUUGUUCUUUUGAUUUUUGUCAUUUUGUUAAUGUUUUUAUUUUUUUCAAUUCAACUCUCAAAUUUAAAAUUUAUUGUUGCCGUUUGAUUUAUUUUUUAUUGCAAUUUUAACACUCAUUAUUUUUAUUGUAUUUUCUUGAUUUUGAAUUUUUUCUGUGAUUUUAACCCUCACACUUUUUUCAUGUAUAGUGCUUUCGAUUUUAUAACCUGGGUCACGGUUUAAAAAGUCAACAAUAAUUGAUUUUUUUAUCUUUUUUUUUUAUUUCUCUUUCUACGCAAUUAUCUUAUUUUCAUUAGUUUUUUUUACUUUAUUAACAAAUAAGAUCAUUGAUAUAUUUUAAGAAUAUUAUGAAGAUAUAGUUCCGUAAUAUUGGCAAACUCAUCUUUUACAUUGAAUCGUUGUUUUUUUUUUUUUCCGUUUUAUUUGUUGUCGAUAUUUUAUUUUCUAAUGAUAUUAUUAAAUUAACCAAGUCAAUUGAACUCAUUAGAGCCAAUUACCUUAAGGCUUUAUUGUUCUUCACUUGUGCAACUAGGAUGUUUAUAAUAUGUUUUUUAAGAUUCUAAUAGCACCACCAUAAUUUAGAUGCACUUCUAAAUAAAGUACUCAAAUAUAAAAAAAUAUAGAGUUGUUAACUAAUGUUUUAAAUAAAGUAAAAAUACAUGUUUGACCUUAGAAAAUACAAAAACAUAUGGUAUGCAUCUGAGGAUUUUUUUUUUUCCUUUCACACAUCUUUUUUGUAAUUAUCAAGGUCAUGGGGGACAUUUAGGUAUUUUUAUAUUGAAAUUUUAAUUUUCUUUUAAAGAAAGUUGUUGGCAUGUGCUCAUUACGGGCUAAUGAGUUGUUGGCAUCUGUGUCAUUUGGAUGGUGUGUGUGGCACCUCCUGGUGGUCAAACCUGACUUUCCGACAUGUUUUUGGAGGUGCCACCAUGUCCUUCUUUAUGGUGUGGCGCGUGAUGGCAUAUGGUUGCCAACUCUUGGUGAAGACGUCUCGCUGGCAUGCGGCCUGCGCUGCUUCUCUUAGGGACAGAGGAGCUAAAAGGAUCAGGAGGCUUUGUUAAGUUUUCUCCUUCCCCUUCAAGCAUUUGGACAACAGUUUUCAUGGAAGGACGCUCUGCUGGGUUCCACUGAAUGCACCAUAGCCCCACAAUUGCUAGUUUCUUCGCAAUUUUAGCAUCUUCUUCUCCAUCGAUAUGAAACCGCAGGUCUUCUUCCUUUUCUAAGAGAUUAUAAAUCCAUUCCGGGAAGUAUAUCUGGUCGCCAUUUUCUGCUGUAUCAUCGACGUUCUUCCUUCCUCCAACCAUUUCCAACACUAACAUCCCAAAGCUGUAAACAUCUGAUUUAUAGGAAACAUUCCCGAAGUUCCUUGAGAACACUUCUGGGGCAAUGUAGCCAACAGUCCCCCUAGCAGUCGUCAUGGAAAUAGCACUUUUAUCCUUGGAACACAGCUUUGCCAUCCCAAAAUCGGCGAUUUUGGGAUUGAAUUCGUUGUCAAGCAGGAUAUUCUGUGGUUUGAUAUCAAAAUGGAGGAUUCUUUGAUCACACCCCUGGUGAAGAUAUUCAAUCCCCUUGGCUAUGCCUAGAGCAACACGAUUCAACCUUUCCCAGCCAAGGAAAUGGUUCCUUGAGUCUGCUGAGGUUAUGAACUUCUGUAAUGAACCAUUUGGCAAGUACUCAUAAACCAGAGCUCGUCUAAAUCCAUCAGCACAGAAACCGAUCAAGCGAACAACAUUGACAUGGUGGAUCCUUGCCAUUGUUCCCACUUCAUUGAUGAAUUCCUCCCCUUUUCCUAUGGAAUUAUUGAGGAGCUUCACAGCUACAGCAAUUUCAUUGGUUAGCUUUCCUUUGAACACGGUUCCAUAAGCUCCUUGGCCCAAUUCAUCACCGAAUUGAUUUGUGAUCCUCUUGAGGUCAGCGUAGGAGUACCUAGUGGGAUUCAGUGAUCUGUAAUCAUCCAAAAACAUAUCAACUCUCGCUUGAUAUUCUCUUUGUGUUUUAUCGUUGCUAUAGGCGCGGUAGAGUGCAGUAAUCACUAUAGCAAAAAGGAAGAAUCCUAAAAUCACACCUGCAUAUCAACAUUCUGAGUCAGGAAAUUCUGUUUUUUGGGACGUGAUGUAUUGAACCAAGUGUAAAAUUGAGAUGGAGAUUUGAGCUGACUACUAACCAGUAAUCAGUAGCUUUCGCCGCACAUCUGUAAGGGAUUGAAUACUUAUUAGCUUCUCCCUUUGAUGCAAAUGGUAAAAUCAUGAAAGCAACAAAAACGGAAAGAGUUUCUUUAUUAAUUUGAAAAACCCUUAUUGUUUUUUAUUUACGUAUUCAAAUGCCAAUUAUUAAUUUGAAAAAAGGAAGAAAGAUAGAAAAGCAUACCUUUAGUGUGCGGAAGAAUGCUGUAGCAUUCAGCUUCAGAAGAUCCACAAGUUGGAUUGGACCAAGACAUAGUAAGAACAUAAUUUUCUUCAAGCAAGAUACUAUAUGAAAUUCCAUAAAUGUUGUACAUCUUGGUACAAGAUAACAAAUCAGAGUAACUGAUGGGAAUACUUGAGUAAACGGCAUAAACUUCAUGCUUAAAAGUACUCAGACAUGGGAUUUUAUCCAUGUACGAAGGAGGCCUUUUCUCACUAGAAAGAGAACAAUUGAACAAGGUCCAACCAUACGGCAAAUCCUUCUGAAUUUGGAAGUGAGAAGCCCCUAAACUGAAGUUUAAACGUUGCCUUGGAAAGCAACCUUGAGGAUACCUUGCAUAAAUGAGUUGAUGUCCAUAGUCAAUUCCUUCGAUGUGGAGACUCAAUCCAGUUGGCAGAUUAAGCACUGUGCUGUUGUCCUCUGAGCAGGAUAGAUCAAACCCAGGAUAGCCACAGUCUGGUUGUUUGUCCUUGAUUCGGAAAGGAAAUCGGAUGUCAGGGCCACGGUUUCCACAUGAUCCUGUGCAGUUCAAGCUUGCUACAUGGCCUGCAAGGAAGACAAUGAAAAAGAAGAACAAACACGUAACCAUUUCUGAUGAAUAAUUCAUCAUCUCCACACUCCUCCUACGAUUUUAUCUGCAUGUGCUGAUAUAGUUUUGGCCUUUCAGAAAACUCAUGGAGUCCUUAGACGGGCGAUUCCUUUACAGAAUUUAUUUACUCCAUCGAUCUAGUGUGAUGCUCGUCCCUUUGACAUUCCUCCACUCACAAACAUGUGGGAUCCAAUUAUUCCGUUUUAUUUAGGGGUGAGCAUAAUUUCAAACGGUUUGGUUUGGAUAAAAAAAUAUAUAUAACAGAAGUUUUUUUAAAAAAAUAUUUAGUUCAAACGGUUUGGUUUGGAUAAAAAAAAUAUAUAACAGAACUAAUUUUUGUUAAUUGUUUUUUGAAUUGAAUCAAAUAAAAGAACCAAAUUAAUUGGUAUUUGUUUUUUUUUGUUUGAGUUAAUGGACCUUUAGUUGAGCAAUUUUGACAAGUUUCAGGGGCACUUGUUUACACCGCCUCAUUAUAUUUUAUAAAAAAAUAUAUUUUUUAAAAUUAAGUUUUUGUGUUUCUGAAUUGUUUUAAUAUGUUAAUAUUACAAAUAAAUUUUUAAAAAUAAAAAAAUUAUUUUGAUAUAUUUCUAAGUAAAAAAAACUUUAAAAAACAAUCACUACCACAAUGUCAAACACUACUUAAUUUAAUGAGUUUUGAGCUUAUAACAUACCUUUAGUUUCUAAUAAGUUUUUUUUAUUUGGUUUGGAUUAAUUUUUUAAAAAAGAUUUAAAAUUGAAACUCAAUUGAAACGUUUUUAAUUUUUCUAACAAAAAAAAAUUAAAAAUUCAAAAAAUUGUUUGGUUAAUUUUUGGUCAAUUUCUAUGAUUAAUGUUCUCAUCCCUAAUAAUAAUAAUCUCUCUAUUUACAUAGUAUUCACAUUGUAUAUGGUAAUAUGUUUAAUUUGGAAACCUAGAAUUAGCCAAAAAAAACUAGAUUCUAUCGUAUGAAUUUUAAUUACAUGAUCGCACUUAUGCCAAAAGACUGUUUUUUUUUUUUUUGUCAAAUUAGCAGAGUAAAUAUAAAAAUUCAAGGGAAUAACACCGUUUGAGAAAGAUUUAACAAAAUAAUUUACUUUCAACUUGUCACGCUUCAAAAGCAUGAUAUUUACUAAAUGUCGUUAUUCCAACACAUGGCAAGUAGUUGUCCUUUAGAAUAGCAACAUUUAGUAAAUGUUGUUAUUCUGAAGCAUGACAAUAUGAAACUCCAAUUUACAGGCUGACUGGUUUGAUUCAGUUAUAUUAAUCGGUUUAUUGUUUCACAUAAAACGAUAAUUUUAUAAUUUUGUUUCUUCCAAAUAUGUUUUAUGAGUUAAAAUAUAUAUCUCUAUCCAAUUUGUAGACUAAAAAAUCUCAAAACGUUAUUGUAAUUGGGCUUAUGAUAAUGAGUGAUUCUAGGUAGUCAGAUGUAAGUUUGACAUAACUAAAUAAGAAUCUACUCCAAACAAAUUACAUGGAUGAUUGUAUUUAUGGACUAGUAAGAUAUAUCUAGACCCAAGAGGAGGUCUAGUCAUGCAACAUUUAAUAAAUGUUGUGUUUUUAAAGCGCAAUAAGGUGAAGUGUGCUAUUUCAUAAAUUGUUUUUGCUUUUGUGUCAUUUCAUCAUUUAUUUUAAUUUGUGUGCUAAUUUCCUAAUUUAUCCUAUGCCAAAAAGGACUUGGAGUUGUGAUGGAUGCAAAAUUCUCAACAAAAAAUAACUAAGAAGCAUAUAAUUCAUCGUCAUUGACACGGGGUGGUUGAGGGGAAAAGUCUUGCUAUGUGAAACUUCGAGUGACGGACCAAUGUUUCCAUCAAUGACUUAAGUGUCUGAGAAGGAAACGAAAAUAAUGGGGCUUCGACAAGUCCUUUAACCUCUCAAGCAGUAUUUAAGUCCUGUUUGUCUACAUGGCCAACUCGCUAUCAGUCGAGAAGGGAGGAAAGUAAAGUAAAGGGCUCUUUCCUGUUGUCUUGCUCGAGAUACCGUGAACGAAACGGUCCAUAUUUUUGUCAUUAGACUAGAGGAGGUUACACGAGAUUGUAGCUCUCCUACGCGAAACUUCACAUGAGGACCCAUUCAUUUAUUUUAUGUUAUUGGGACAAUUGUAUAUUUACAAGACGCGGCACUAGAGUUGACUUGGUUAAAAGUCUGAGUUAAUAUAAUUUUUUAAAAAAUUAUAUUAUAUUUUUAUAUUUUUUAGAUUUGAUUUAUAUUAUUUUGAUUAUUUUUUAUUUUAUCUGAGAUAAUUUAUGAAAUUAUAUUUUUUUUUCAAUUUCAUUCUCAUUCAAAUUUUUAAUUUGUAAGAUUUGUUCCUCGUUAUUUUAAUAAACUUGAGAAAAAUAAAAUAUUAAUAAGUUAAUUUCUAGCUCAUUUUCCAUGACAUAACAAAAUACUAGAAAGUAUUUUCCAAUUUAUUUUUCAUUACACUACCAAACAUCAAAAAAUAAUUCACUUUCCCGGAAUUCGCUUUCCAAAAAAAACUACUUUCCAGCAAACAAACGAAGCCUAAAUGAAUACAAUAUUAAGAUUAAGAGUCAUAUUGUCUUAAAACAUCUAAUGUAUUCUAUAUUUUAUAUUAUAAACUUAUCUUAUCAUUUUGAAAAUGAUUUAGCCAUACUAACAUCUAUACAUAUAUAUAAUACCUCCAUUACAUCCUACACAUUUUUUUAUUUUUACACCACAAAGGUUUUCAAAGAAAAUAAAGACAUAUAAAUGUUACAUUUUAAAAUGAUAAUUCAUAAACAAAAAAUCCUACAUCUAACGAUCUGCAUCAUCUCGUGGUGUAUGUAUUUCAACAAUAACCACAUUAAUUAAUUUACUCAAUAUCUUAGUCAUAUAUUAAUUAUUUUACUCUUAACUUUUAAAAUUUAAUACUUCUAACUUCAAUCAAUAAUUUACAUAAUCUUUUCAAAAUUUAAAUAUCCAGCUAACUCAUCUCGAUUACCAAUAAUUCUAACACUUUCAUAUAAUUACCCACAAAUUUGGUUAUUCUUCCUCGGUUACCAGUAAAUCAAUAAUUCCAUCUAAAUUACCCAUCAUCUAGUUAACUACUUUUGUUUGCCAAUCAAUCUGGUAAUUCCAUAUGAAUUACCUCAUAUCCAGUUAACCUCUUUGUUAACCAAUAAACCGGGUAAUUCUCUUAAUUACCCAAGAAAUUCGGGUAACCCAUUUUGGUUGCCAAAAUCAAUCCGGUAAUUCCAUAUGAAUUACCCAGCAUCCGACUAACCUUUUUUGUUAGCCAAUUAAUAAUUCCGGUAAUUUCACAUAAAUUACCAAUAAUUCUCAUUUGUAAUAAUCACUCAAUUUAUUCAUGUGCUUCAUUCUUUUAACAUCAAUUAAAUAAACAAAUAUGUGGUUGUAUGUGAAAUGAUGAUGUUAUGUUUGAGAAUGACUUUUUAUCUGAAUGAAUUAAAAAACAUUACAUGCUUUGCAUUUCGGCACAUAAGAAAAAUAUUAAUGAACUAAUGAUAUAAUGACAUUUGAUUGAUUUAGGAGUUGUGUCUGGAGCUGGUUAUCAGAUAAGAGGAGUUGGGUUAUCACGAGCAGAAGGUAGGUGAUUUGUCACCUUAUUUUAUAAUUAUUAGUUUUCCUUAAAGAUUUAUGUUGUUUAUUUAAUUAAUGUUAAAAGAAUAAGCAAAUGAAUAAAUUGAGUGAUUAUUACCAAUAAAAAUUAUUGGUAAUUUAUGUGAAAUUACUAGAAUUAUGUAAAAGAUCGCUUCAACUUUUUUAACUUGGUUGCUCUUUCUCAACUAGACAACCACUUCAACUAAUUUCUAGAAAUCAGUUUCGAUAUUUUCACUAUCUUUCCCUUACAACCGAAGGAAGCAUAUCUUGGAAUAUCUCAUGGAUUUGGACUGGAUUGGGUGUUUUGGUUUCUGAUGAGAUGCUCCAUGAAAAAUAUCAGGCUCGCUGGAUGUCGUUGUUUGUGGUAUUGACAGUUGAUGACUUUUUUUUUUUACUUUUCAAAGUUAAUGAUUCUGACAUUUCGAAGGAGGUGGGAAAUUAUCUUCGUCUGUGAAGUAGUGUUGAAUGUUGGAUCAAUAACUCACUGUCUGCUUUGCUACUAUUCCUAUCCGAUGACUCUGACAUUUCAAAGGACGACCAGGUAGGGGUGUUCUCCUUCACCUUUCAUUGCAUUAUCAGUAGCUUCCACUCCGAAAUUCAAUAGUUUUUGUUGGAGAAAAAAGAAAAGGAAAAAAGAAGAAUAGUUUAUGCAAAAUUGCGUAUACACUGUGUAUCACUUCAGCCUUCCCCAUGUUUAGAGGAAUGAACGUCCUUUUUGCUUGCUACAUAGCUUUUCUUUUACAGCUAUUAGUCUUCCAAACUUGCCAUUCUAGCAACUUCACUGCUCAUUGUGCUCCUUCUUCAUGCGGCAAUAUCCAAAACAUAAGCUUCCCUUUCAGACUAGACACUGAUCCACAAAGCUGCGGAAACAAUAAUUAUACUCUGAUUUGCGAGAACAAUAUUGCUACAGUAUUAUAUUUGUAUUCAGGUAAAUACUACGUGCAGGCAAUCGACUACGGUAACUUCACAAUCCGAGUGGUAGAUGCUGGUGUACAUGAUAAUUCCUGCUCCAUCCCUCGUUAUUCUUUGGCACCUGAUGACUUCAGUGACGGAGAUCCAUACACAUGGUAUAACUACAAGCAGGUGCCGCCAGGAGUGAGUGAAAGUUUCGUGUACUACUGGGGCCACUGGUUCUUACCUCCACUAUCACAGCCUAUGAUUUUCAUGAGCUGUGAAAAUACGGUGAAUUCUCCUCUUUAUGUGGACACGGCUCCCUACGGCCUUAAGUAUGGAUCAGGAAAUUAUUCCAACUCUUCUCUUGUGAGUCAUUCGAAUUAUGUGGCUCUUGGGGGCAUGACUGCCUCGGAUUUGAUGGAACUGUGCAGCAUAGAGAAAAUAUUUUUGCUUCCAAAGAAGAGCUACACAUACAAGUCCUUUGAAGAAAUACACAGUGACCUGGCAUACGGGUUUGAGCUUUCAUGGUACAACAUCUACUGUGAAAAUUGCACAAGGGGUUGCUACAUCGACAGCUCAGACCGUCGUCAAUGCAUUAGCAGCUGUAUGUAACACUUGAUGAUUAAGUUGCAUCACUUUGAUUCAUAAGACCAUAUAUAACUUGUGAUUUGAGGUGGUUUCAUAUAUUUUCUCUGGCUUACUUUUCAAUUUUCCUUUUUUUCGGGCAUUAGCACAAUAUUGCACUGUCCCCAGAUCGAUGUUCAUGUACAAAUUCUGUGCAUCCAUUACCUGUGAAUUCUACUAUAGUGGACUGAUUAUGAGAUUCAUUCAUGUUCAUAUUGUAAAAUAUUCUGACUAUAAUGUGGUUGAAGGUAGUUGGACAGAUUCAUUGGUCUUUUGCAAUUUCAGGAUUGACACAGUGAAACGUUUGGUUCAUCUUAACUUGACCAUGGAUACACAUUAAUUAGUUCAAGGCACAUUAUUAAUUAAAUUGUGUGUGCUCUUAUCUAUUUUCUUUCGCAUUUACUGUUGCGUAUACCAUUAGAACUCUUUGUAAACCUAAAUUCUCGACAGAUUUUGGUGAAAGCUUCUGGGAAACACUACUCCUCGCAGUGAUAGGUGCGAAUUCUCUUUCUGCAUCUCACCUUGUUUGUGUAUUCUUAAGUGUUUCUUCAAACGACUUAUUUGUGAAAUAAGGAUUGUUGUUUCUUGAAUAGUAAUUGUAAUUUUGUUCACCAUUUUCUGCAGAUCCCCUAUAUAUCCAUUUUAUUUGGUAAGAGAUUCCAUCAUUUCUUUAGUUUCGCAACAAAUUUCUAGUGGAGACAACAAAUAAGAUCACAAAACUUGAUUGUUUUCUGGAAAUUUCCUACACAGCACUGCUUCAUGGGCCAAAAGUUGUUUGUGGGACUCCAUGUGUGAUUAUAUUUUUGAUCUACAAAUUGCGAAGGAGACAUUUAUCAGCAUAUGAUAUAGUUGAACAAUUCCUACAGGGUCAGAAUAACCUUAUGCCAGUAAGGUAUUCCUACUCAGAUAUCAAGAAGAUUACUAGAGGUUUCAAGGAGAAAUUAGGUGAAGGAGGCUUUGGUACAGUUUACAAAGGAAAGCUUCGCAGUGGACAUUUUGCAGCAGUAAAAUUGUUGGGAAAAUCAAAAGCUAAUGGACAGGAUUUCAUAAAUGAAGUUGCUACCAUAGGAAGGAUUCACCAUACUAACGUGGUGCAGCUAAUUGGUUUUUGCGCUGAAGGAUCAAAGCGAGCUCUUGUAUAUGAUUUCAUGCCUAAUGGAUCUCUUGAUAAACACUUGUUUACUUGAGAAGGAUCAAUCUCUUUAAGCUGGCAAAAACUGCAUCAGAUUUCCCUUGGAGUGGCUCGUGGUAUCGACUAUCUUCAUUUAGACUGUGACAUGCAAAUACUUCAUUUUGAUAUUAAGCCUCACAACAUUCUUCUUGACGAAAAUUUCAGUCCAAAAGUUUCUGACUUCGGGCUCGCUAGGUUGUACCCCACUAAUGGCAGCAUAACAUCUCUUACUGCAGCAAGGGGCACCAUAGGAUACAUGGCUCCUGAACUGUUCUACAAAAACAUUGGACGUGUCUCCUAUAAAGCUGAUGUAUAUAGCUUUGGAAUGCUGCUAUUGGAAAUGGCAGGCAAAAGGAAGAAUGUAAACGCAUUGGCAGAAAAUUCAAGUCAAAUCUACUGGCCAUAUUGGGUUCAUGACCAAGUAUCUGAUGGAAAGGCCAUAGAAAUCGGAGACGAUGCCACGGAGGAAGAACGUAAGAUCGUCAAGAAGAUGAUUAUGGUUGGAUUGUGGUGUAUACAAAUGAAACCCAUGGAGCGGCCUACAAUGAAGAAUGUUGUGGAGAUGCUUGAAGGAGAUUUGGAAAACUUGCAAUUGCCUCCUAAGCCUGUCUUCAAUCUAGAUGUGACGCCACCAAACAUUGAAGGAGAGUCAUCAUCGUUGUCAGGUGAUUCUACCGCAUCAACCAGUUUGAUUGAAAAUGCAUACUAAGUUAUAUGAUGUGGAAUGCUCUGCUUACAUGCAGGGAAAAUGAUAGAAUAAUGGUGCUUUCGGACUUGGUUGUGAUGAUUUAGUCUGCAACACAUUAUGAUAAUUUGCAAUACUUCCUUUUAUCUGAUUUGUGUUUAGCUAAUUUAGAGUUCAAGCUGCGGCUUGUUUCUUCGGUGUGGUCUAUAUAAUCAUCAUACAAAGAUGUUCUGUAUUGUGUUUAACUAUCAGAUUUCCACUCUGUUUGGCAAUCAUAGCAGUUGGCGAGGAUGGAACAUCCUCCAUGAUAACUGUUCCAUGUUCUACAUAUUAAUUAUCCUAUAUUUUUCUCCAACAGAAUAAUAUUUUGGCUACAAAUUAACAAGAGACUAUCACAGGGAUUAUAUAAACAAGUUUAUGCAUGAAAAGACGAGUCUCUAUUUAUAGGUAGCCACUACAAGUAGCUUCGGAGACCACAAAUACAAGUCAAGUCUCUCUAGUAAUCCUUCCACUAUAAGUAGCUUCGGAGAUAGAAAAUAGCGAUUUAUUUGCUAUCAUAGGGAUGAUUCUGAACAGAGGGGCUUAAUUUCAUUUUCUUCCACCAACAAUGCCUUCGUGUCAAUGUUCAGCCCCAUGAUAAUCGAUCUAGCGUCACCAUUUGCACAUUACCAUAUCUUGCAUAAGCCACGAGGAACCAAUCACAACAAAACAGGAUUGAAAACCAUGACCAUAACGGGUGCUGUGAAAUGAAUAUUGAAACAGAUGGGUGAAUUUGAUGCAGAAAAGUAGAGAGGAGACAAUGAAGCUUGCUUACCGGUCAUGGCAUUUCACCAGGGAGCUCUGCUUCUUCAAAAAUGCUCAACUGUGCUCAACAACCUUUCAGGAUCUGCUUCAAUUUUCUCAAGAGAAUGGGAAACAGUGAACGGGAUCCUCGUUAGCUGCGGGCAAUCACCCACAGUAAUUUCCUCAAGAGAAUUGCAUAGAAGACUUCCAGAAUAAAUGCUAUUCAAAUUAUGACAUUUGUUCUGCGAGAUAUUCCCACUUUAUCAGGAUGAAAAUCAUCCCACAAAUCAUCAAGAAUGAUGACAUGGUUUUGUAUCACACUCAAUGCUGUCCAUAGCUCCCCAGCUCUACUCGUCACAUCUUUUCCUCUCGGAAGACAUAAACCAAAAGCUUCGGCAAUGAGAUCCUGCGAGGCAUGAAUGCUAAAUUUCUGUUCAUAUGCUGUGUGAUGAAGGUGUUGCUUUCUGUGACAUAGUAAUCCAACAAACAUGAAAAAAAAAAAUGUCUGGUUUCUCUUGAAGCUGAUUAUGGAUAUGUGCAGCCAAAGUUGUCUUUCCCACUCCCCCAUCCCGUACAUGCCAAUGCAUGAGACCUCACCAUUCAACAACAAGACCAGACAUCCUUCAUAUUUCUUUCAAUAGCUUGACCCACUAGCUUCGUUGUCGGGACUACAUAUCUUUUAGUCCUACGUCGCUUAUGUACAGGCCUUUUAGAAUAGCUUACCGUGUCAAUUCUCAAGUCAUGUUCUCUAUAUAAACUCUUAACAAAACAUCCCUCGUUGAUGAGGAUGAGAUGUUAUUCAAGAUCAUUUCAAAUGCCUGACAUGUUUUCUCUGUUCUCUGUCCAGGCUCGGGUUCAUCUGGCACAAGUACAACAUGAGCUCUAGGUUCCUCAACAAUCUCGGUCUCCCCCGUCAAGAACUGCUCUGUUGAUCACCCCAUCUUCAUCACUUUCAAAAGAAACAUGCAAUAAUUUUGCUAACUUUGAGUUUCUAUCGUCAAAAUUCACUACAAAUCACUUCUUUUCAUUGCACCAUUGGCUUCCCAGCUGCAAAUUCAAGUACCCUUUUUAUAUAUAUAAAAUCAUCAUUUUUUUGGGCUAAAAACAACAAGUUAAUAACAGGUUUAUGUAUAUCGACAACGUCAAUUUAUUUUAUUUAUUUAUUUAAAAUUAAUACUUUUUGGUAUUUAAUUUUUUUUAUCUAUUUAUUUGCUUAAAAAUAAAAAAUUUGUGUUUUUAAAUUAUUUUAAUGUGAUGAUAUCUAAAAUAAUUUUUAAAAAAUAAAAUAAAUAUUAUUUAAUAUAUUUUUGAAUAAAAAAACACUUUAAAAAAUAACCACAACCAUACUUUCAAAUACACCGUUAAUUAUUUUGACAUUUAAAAAUUACAAUCUAAACUGAACUUGUUUGUCAUUCAAAUUUAAAAUUUUUAUUUUGUUUGGAAUUAAUAUAUUAAUAAUAAAAAUAAUUUUUUAAAAAUAAAAUAAAAAAAAUCAUUUUAAUAUAUUUUUAAAUUAAAAAAAUUCUGAAAUAUUAAUUUUUAUCAAACUCACAAGCACUCCUUACAUAUUUACUAUUAGGUAAAGGUUCCGAUACCAAAAUACAAAACAGUCCCUAGAAAUCAUAAAAUCCUAAUUUCAUCCCCGGAAUGAUAGCAAAUGGUUUUGAUAGCUUUGCCAAACCUUAAAUAUUAAAAAUAUUUCACACCGUAUAAGAUUCCUUACAUUUACUAUUAGGAAAAUACACGCUGCAAUUACAACUGAAGAUGCAUGGAUUUUGGAGAGAGGGUACGAACGCCUUCUUGUCAAUGUGCAGCCCCAUGAUCAUCGAUCUAGCGUCACCAUUUACACAUUACCAUACCUUGCAGAAGCCACGAGGAAACAAUCACAACCAAACAGGAUUGGAAACCGUGACCAUAAUGGGUGCUGUGAAAUGAAUAUUGAAACAGAGGAGAAAAUGAAGCUUGCUUACCGGUCAUGGCAUUUCACCAGAGAGCUCUGCUUCUAACUGUGAAAUGCGUCUUCUUGUGGGUAAGAGGCAAGGUCUUCAAACAUGCUCAACUGUGUUCAACAAACUUUCAGAAUCUACUUCAAUUUUCUUAAGAGAAUGGGAAAUAGCGAACGGGAUCCUCGUUAGCUGCGGGCAAUUACCCACUGUAAUUUCUUCGAGAGAAGUGCAUUGAAGUCUUCGAGAAUAAAUGCUUUUCAAAUUUGGUAAUUUCUUCAAUUUAUCAAAACUACGAAAAGGAGAGGAAUGCUCCUCUCCAGGCACCAAAACUUCACAACUUCCCAUUAUCUCUCGCAUGUUGUAACAAUCUUCGACUACAAUCACUUCCAAUCGGAGUGUAGACAAAAACCGUGGGAGCAGCACCUUUAUCCUAUGACACUUAUGUAUCACCAUCUCUCUGAGAUCGAAAAAGACACCAACAGUACCUAGCUUUGAAGGUACUUCAAAAGGGGUUUCUAAGAUUAUCAAACCAUCAAGGUGUAGAAUCUCAAGCCCAUAUGAUGGACAUAAGCUUCUCAUGUUUUGACAACUAACAAAAACUACUUUUGCCCAUAUCAAACCACCUGUUGUUUUGCCCCUCACUACUUCCACCAUUUGUGCUCCACUGGAUCAGUCUGCAAUUCCAUUGCCUGCCUCUGCCCCAACUCCGCUGAUUUCCAAUCACCAUCCUAUGACUACUCGUGCAAAGUAUGGCAUCAGUAAGCCUCGUGCUCUUUGUGCCAGUAAUUAUCCCUUGCCUCAAAAAUAUGUUGCACUACUUAUCUCCUCCAUCCCUCGUGAACCUUCAUCUUUCAAAGCUGCCAGCCUUGAUUCACAUUGGAUUUCUGCAAUGACAGAUGAGUAUCGUGCACUCCUUGAUAAUCAGACGUGGUCUUUAGUGCCUCGUACAUCCUCUAUGAACGUUGUCGGCUGCCGUUGGGUUUACAAAAUCAAAGAACAUGCUGAUGGUUCCAUUGAACGCUAUAAAGCGCGUCUUGUCGCUAAAGGCUUCAAUCAAGAGUAGGGUGUUGAUUUUACAAACACUUUCAGUCCAGUUGCUAAAGCAACAAUAGUUCGUCUACUUCUCUCAAUUGGUCUCUCUCGUUAAUGGAGUAUUCGGCAGCUUGACGUUAAAAACGCUUUUCUACAUGGUGCUUUAACUGAAGAGGUUUUUAUGUCUCAACCUCUGGUUUUAUCCACUCUUCUUUUCCUAACCAUUUGCAACUUCACCGCUCCAUUUAUGGUUUAUGUCAAGCACCGCGUGUGUGGUUCCAGAGUUUUAGUAAUGCCUUAAUUUCUCUUGGCUUUAAAUCUAGCAAGGCUGAUCAUUCUCUUUUUACAUAUCAUUCAUCUACUGGUACAGUGUUGCUGCUUGUCUACAUCGACGAUAUUAUUAUUAUGGGUUCUACAGAUUCUCUUAUUAAUCACUUGUCACUAAGCUCUCUCAACGCUUCCAUAUGAAAGAUCUUGGUGACCUUCAUUAUUUCCUUGGUCUUGAAGUUCAUCGUACCCCCACUCAUUUUCGACUCACGCAAACUAAGUAUCUGCUGUCUAUAUUUAAGUCUUCCAGCAUGCUUGACUAUAAACCUCAAUCUACUCUUGUCGUCUCUGGACGCAAACUUUCCAUGUCUGAUGGCCUUUUAUUAUCUGAUCCUCAUGAAUAUCGUCGUCUUGUGGGAGCUCUUCAAUACCUUACAUUUACACGACCGAAUAUAUCUUAUUAUGUUCAACAAGUUUGCCAAUUCAUGCACUCUCCACGUGAUGCUCAUCUCCAAGCUGUUAAACGAAUUUUACGAUACCUAAGAGGUACAAUUGGUUCUGGUAUUUGCUUCUCUGCCAACUUGUAUCCCACUUUAUCCUGCUUUCUUGAUGCCGAUUGGGCAGGAUGUCCUGAUACUCAUCGCUCCACCAUGGGCCACUGUGUUUUUCUUGGCUCUCAUUUAAUCUCCUGGAGUGCCAAGAAACAAUUAACCGUUGCACUCUCUAGCACAGAAUCUGAAUAUAAAGCUCUUACUCAUGCUUCUGCAGAUCUCUUGUGGAUUUCUUAUGUUCUUCGGGACAUUGGUUUUCACAACCUCCCUGCCUUGCACACUCUACUCUGACAACAUGGGUGCUACUCAAUUGGCCCACAAUCCUGUUUUCCAUGCCCGCACCAAACACAUUGAGCUUUCUUAUCAUUUCACACGUGAACUUGUCUCCACUGGUUUCCUUAAAGUCUCCUUUGUUCGCUCAACGAAUCAACUUGCUGAUCUCUUUAACAAAGGAUUAUCCUUGACUACAUUUUGCUUCUUUCGUGACAAGUUAUUGUGGCAUCCUCUCCAUCAACUUGCGGGGGCAUUAUAGAAUACAAGAUAUUGACAGAUAUUGUAACAGAUUGCAUAGCUAUAAUCAAGGCUUUUGAAUACAUUCUUAGCUAAUGUUGAGGCUAUAAAGUAGGCAAGUGAUAUGCUAUUGUAUAACUAAUUGCAUAUUUACAGGGCUUUGUAAAAUAACUAUAAAUACAUAGAAUCAACUAUUAAAGGUUGAGCCAUUCUUCUACAAUUUUUUCGCAUUCUUUCUUUAUUGAUCAGAAAGAUCUAGAAUUUGAACUGCCAUGGUUUAUAAUUAUUUUUGGAGAUCUGAAAGUAUGAAUCCUUACCAGUUGCGGUGACAAACUACUGUUUAUUGGGAGAAAUGGCCAAUUAGAGCUAGCCAUAUUUACUUGAAUGAUUCUUGAACUUUUCUUGGGCCAUCUGACAGCCUAUGAUAGAUUUCCUAAAAUUUAUUUAUGCGGCCUUCUGUCUCAAAGAAUUUGGCAAGAAACGAUCGGUAGAAAUUUAUAAAAAAUUUACUUUUUAAAAUUUGAUUUAUAGUUUAAAUAGAUGGUAUUAAACUUGGCUAGCUGGAUUCAUCAACUUAGAAUCUAGUUAAAUUCAACAAUUUAUAAAAAAUCUAGUUAUCGUCUAAAACUUGGCUUAAACUAGGUUAAAAAAAUUAAAUAAAAAUUGAUUUAAUCAAAUUAAAAAUCAAGUAAAUUAACUCGCAAUUCAAUCAUCUUAAUUAAAAUUUAAUUUAAUUAUUAAAGUUGUUUUUCUUAAAGUAAUGACAUUUCUUUUUUUUUAAAAUUAUGAAAUAAUUCACCCGAGUAAACUUUGUUUUUCUUAAAACAAUGACAUUAUAUUUUCGUUUAAUUUUUUUUAAAUAGUGAAAUAAUUCACUCGAGUAAACUUUGAUUUAAAAUUGAAAAUCUUGAAAUAAUUAACUUGAAAUUAAUUAUUAGUACUCUCAUUCAAUUCUCAAUUAUAAUCAUGGCACAUGUAACUGUUUUUAUUAUAUAAAGGCUUAUUUAUUUUUAUGUUUUAAAAGGAUUUUUUUUUAAAAAAAAUUAUUUUUAAUUAAUUUUUUUUUGAUAAUUUUAAAUUGUUUUAAUGUGUUAAUAUCAAAACUAAAUUUUAAAAACUAAAAAAUAUUAUUUCGAUACAACACAGUUAGCAUACUCUCAAACAUACAAAGUAUUUUGUCAAAAAACUUCACAUAAAAUCAGGACAACACACAAGCAAUUCAUUCCAUCAAUCUGGAAUUGCAUUACAAAAACGUGAAAAAAAAUAAAAUCUGGAGUUAACUCAGAAUCUACUAUUAUAAGUAAUUAAGUAUACAUGCAUCAGCCAGCGUUAAUUUGAUUCCAAUCACACCUUAGAAUCCAACCUCUGUGCUUCUUUUCCUGCGCAAUCCUUCAGCACAGCUCGGGGUGGAAGGACUUUCUUGAAGAUGGAUAAGAAACAGUUCACUUCGAGAUCAAGCUCGUCAUCGUCAUCGUCAUCCAUCUUAGCCUUCUCCUCUUCCAUUCUCUUCAAUUUAUCGUUGUGUAAUCUUCUCAGAACAUAUGCUUCAGCUAGACAGUACCCAUGAGUUGCCAUGGCCCAAAAACAUGUUCCAGGUGUCUUUGUUGAGAGACCAGUGGAAAUGAACUAGGGUUGAUGAUGAGCUGAGAGGCUCUGUUUAGGUCAUUUUAUAAGGGUCUGUCGGCUUGGGGAGGAAGGAAGUCGUGUGAUGUUCAGUGGUCCAAAUGGAACUUGAGAGUGAAAUAUUUGUAAUUUUUUGGUGGACAAUGUCAUGGCAGCGUAGAAACUUUGUGGAAAUGGACAAUUAAAAAAACAGGGGAUGUAAGAAACCCUUGUUUUUAGUUAUUAGUGAUUAUGUGUGCAACAUCCGGAAUUUUGCAUUGAAAGAAAGGAAGAAAUUAUGUAGAGGAAACACACCCUUGGACUUGUAAAUGUUAUACAUACUUAAUACAUGAACUCCUAACCAGUUACCGAAGGUAACCUCAACUUAUAAUUACUCUGUUUUAGAGAAAGCUGCCAACUCUUGUUGAAGCCAUUGCAUGCAUUCUUAUGAACUUGGACUGGGCUUUCCACUAUUGCAAUCUUGGGCUGCAAGCUCUAGGAUGCUUCUAACAGACACACAAUAAUGGGAGAAAUGAGUAUGUAGCUCUUGAAGACAAAAUGUCAAAUCUUUCAUGUGGUAAGGGUGAUCGAUGUUUGUUCUUCGAAGAUCAUGCAGUUAUUGAUCCUGUCUUGCAUCUUAAACUUUUUCGACGACGAGCUUGCGUGCGAGAUUCAGAGGAAGAUUGAUGAAGUUGGACCGGGCUUUCCACGAUUGCAAUCUUGGGCUUCUUCUAGGUUUGUAAUUCCAUUGUAAUCGUUCAAGUUGGCCAGGACAAAGACACAAUCAUUGAAGAAAUAAGUGUGUAGCACUUGAAGAUUAAAUGAAGAAUCUUUCAUUUUGUAGGGGUGAUCGUAGUUUGUUCUUUGAAGAUGAUGCAAUUAUUGAUUUGGUCUUGCAUCUUGAUGUCGGUAAAUGAUUUUUUUGUUUUUCCAACCAAUAUAACGAUAAAAUUUGGAAUCACCGACAAAAAAAAAGCCGACGCACAUAUUCCGUCAAUAAUAUAGUCGGUAAAUAAUUUACCGAUGAACUCCUAAUCACACACCGACAUAAUAUUUUCAUCGGUAAAACUUCGAAAUCUUGUAGUGUGAAUAUGACUUGCUAAGAAAUGCUGUUUAUAACGAGAGAGACUCUUUCAGAGAGUUGGAGAAUGAGUUUUCUCAUGAGCUAGAUGUUGUGUUUUUCAUAAAGAAAGUGAAAAAAUCCGAAGCUAUUGUUGUAUUGAUACAACACCAUUGUUGAGCACUUUCACCUUAUAAAUUAUUUAUUAGAGAUUUUGAGCAGUUGGAGUAUUGGGAGAUUUGUUAUUAUCUCAUGUUCUGAAGUUUCAAGUCGUUAUCCAUUAAAAGAAUUUUUGGUGACUCUUACUAGCUUUCCACUAAUAAAGUCAAGAAAACUUCAUGGUUGAAUUAAGCUUUUUGAAACUUCGAUCUUGGAUCGGUGGAGUGAUAGGCUUUGUGAGAGCGAGCCCGUUUAUAGGAUUUGUAAAUACGUGUUGUUACUUUCAAUAUAUAUAUAUAUAUAUAUAUAUAUAUAUAUAUAUAUAUAUAUAUAUAUAAGUUACAUUUAUGAAAUGAUUAUUUUAUAUUUAUAGUAAUGUUAGAUCUUAACUUGUAUUGGUGUAAAUAUUUUAUAUGACAUAUAAUUGGUUAAUUAUUGAUUUUAUUCUUAAAUAUAUUUGGAUAAAUGAUUUAAUAACUAAAUAAAUCUUAAUUUCAUUAUAUUAUCUUCUUAGCCAUAAGUUUUUUUUUUUUUUUUUUAUGAUGAGUAUAAUAAAUACUCAUAUAAAAUAAUUAUAUUAUCAUUUUUUUUUUACCUUAAAAACACCUAAAAAAGAUCUAAAAAAGAUCUGAGCUUUGGUAGAAUUUUUGUUUUGGUUGGAUUUUAGGUUUUGGGGUGUUUUAUUGGGUUUUUGGUGGCAAUGGAUUGACUUAACAAGGUCUCUAGAGUUUUUUCUAGGUGUCUUGGGUAAAAAAUAAGUUGAAAAUUGAUUUUUAGGUAAAAAAAUAAAGGACCAUAUUUUUCCGGCCAUCAUAAUAGCCGAAUUCUAGGUUGCGCAAACGACGCAUCAUUGUUUUAUAUACUCGAGGCAUUAUAAUUUUUUUUCUAAAUAAAUGCUCGCGCAUUAGCCGUUGUUUUAUUGGGUCAGAUGUUAGGUGUAGCUUGCUUGGCCCAACAGUGCCUAUCCUGAUUUUUUUUUUUUUUUAGUUUUGUGUGUAUUUUAUCAAAUAAAUUUUUGGUUUAUAUUUUAAUUAGAUUGUGAUUAAUUUUAAAUGAUAUUGAGUAUAUUUAAUUUUUAAAGAGGUAAGUAUGAUUCAUCUGUGAUUUUUUCUUAAUUUUAUAUAGAUUAAAUUUGUUUUUUAAUAUUGUUUUUUUAAUAAGAUUUUUUAUAUGUGCAACCUUACAUUGUUUUUUUAAUUAUUAUUCAAAAAUUUUUAUGUGUGUAUCAGUUUCUAUUACAAAUUUAGUUUAAUAGAGAGGUUCAUUAAACACAAUCAUAUAAAUUACCCAUAUUGCAAUUACCCAAAUUUAUGUAUAGUGCUUUUGUUCCUAUAACCUAGGUCAUUGUUUAAAAAGUUAGUCUUAUUUUUUUAUAUUUAUUUUUUUCUAUAUAAUUAUUCUAUUUUCUUUUAAUUUUUACUUUAUUAACAAAUAAAAUUAUUGAGAUGAUUUGAAAAUAUUAUAAAGAUAUAGUUAUAUAAUAUUGACAAAUAUUUAUCUUUUGUAUUGAGUCAUUGUUUUUUUUCUCGCUUUAUUUACUGUCAACAUCAUUAAAUUAACUAAUUUUAUUAAAUUUAUUAGAGCAAAUUACCUAUAUAUUAUUUUAAAAAUAAUAUUUUUAUAGUAAUUGGUACUUGUGGUGCGACCCGCCUAACUAGUCUUACCUGUAAACAUAUCAUGUUAUGCCAUCCAUGUCACAAACUCAUUUAAAGCUUGACGCAUUGGUCAAUUAUUUUAUAUUUCAGUGUUUUGUGGCAUUAACAAUGAAGUUAGUGAUUGAAGCAUUAGUCCACACUCUUAGUGUCUUUCAUGGCGAAGACUUCCCCCCCAUGCGCACUCAGGUCAAUGAUGAACAAUUGUAGGGUUCUUGGUUAUUACGCAAUAUUUUUUUUUGGUCACCAAACCUGACCUUCGAAGAUGUCAUUAAAAGUGCCGCCACAUCUUUUUCUUUAUGGUAUGGGUGGCGUGAUGACUUAUGAUCGUUGGAUUUUGGUGGAUUGUUCUCAUAAUUUUUUAUAUCUUUUUUUUAUUUCAGUUUUUAUUCUAUUAAUUUUUUAUUUGAUACUUUUAUUUAAAAUUUUAAUCGCUUUCAAUAAAGCUUGUCGGUGGUAAAACACACUCCGAAGCAACCUGUGGUUCAAACUUCAACGACAAAAAUAUGAGCUCUUUCUUUUCUGUUCGUUUCUGUGGUCCACCACCUUUAAUUUCUUUCAUGGCAAGACUUUUCCCCUAUGAGCAAGCAGGUCAAUGACGAAGAAUUGUAGGGUUCUUGGUUAUUUCUUCUGGUCCAGAAGUCUCUGCCGUGUAACAAUCUAUGGGUAGAAAUUAAUGGCAAAGGGAAGAGAUGAAAGAAGAAGGACCUUCAAAAUCCUUCUUUCCUCCCUGCAAUUCCUUCACAAUUAUGUGUUACAUUGAUUUUCUUCGCAUUUGAAGUGAGUUAGAGUACUGGAUGUUAAAUAAUAUUUAUGUAGUCUUAUUUAUUAAGGAUAGAAUAAUACUUUAAGUUUAAUUUAUAUAUAUUUUAAUUGUAUUUAGGUUAUAACUAUACAAUCAUAAUAUACAAAUUAUUCAAAAUUUUAAUAUUUUUUUAUGUGUUUGAUUUUAAUUAUUUCAACACUAAAUUGCUUAAAUAUGAUGAAUAAAGGGUUGGAUUUGUAAAAUUAUUUACACAUUUUCUGCUGUAUCAUCGACGUUCUUCCUUCCUCCAACCAUUUCCAGCACUAACAUACCAAAGCUGUAAACAUCUGAUUUACAGGAAACGUUCCCGAAGUUCCUCGAGAACACUUGUAUCCUUGGAACACAACUUAGCCAUCCCAAAAUCGGCGAUUUUGGGAAUGAUUUAGUUGUCAAGCAGGAUAUUCUGUGGUUUGAUAUCAAAAUGGAGGAUUCUUUGAUCACACCCCUGGUGAAGAUAUUCAAUCCCCUUGGCUAUGCCUAUAGCAAUUAUUCUUUAUAUAUAUAUAUAUAUAUAUAUAUAUAUAUAUAGAGUAAUUGGCUUUUUUUGUUUCAUUGUUUUUAUAUUCAUUUUUUUUUCUUUUUAUACAAUUAUUAUAUUCGUAUUUAAUUUUUAUUUUACUAACAAAUAAGAUCAAUGAGAUAUUUUAAAAAUAUUAUAAAGAUAUUGUUUUAUAAUAUUGACAAACAUUUAUUUUUUAUAUUGAAUCAUUAUUUUUUCCCGUUUUAUUUAUUAUAAAAAUAAAAUAUACUUCCAUAAUAUUUAUAAUUAUUCUAUUAUCAUUGAAUCAUGCUAAAAAUAAUUGGCCCGGGACGGCGCGGCAUCCUAACUAGUCUUAUCUAUAAACCUAUCAUGUUAUGCCACAUACUCAUUUAAAGCUUGAUACAUUGGUCAAUUAUUUUAUACUGAUUGGGACGUUAAAGAGCCGGUCAAUUAUUUUAUAUUUCAGUGUUUUGUGACAUUAGCAAUGAAGUUACUUAUUGUAUUUUAAAAAUAUUUUUAAAAUUUUUAAAAUUUGUUAAAUUUAUUUAUUAAAAAAAUUAAUAUAUUUAGAUUAUUUUAAUAUAUUGAUAUAAAAAAUAAUUUUUAAAAAUUAAAACAAAAUUAUUAUUUUAAAAUAUUUUUAAAUAAAAAUAUUUUAAAAAAUAACUAUAAUUAUACUUUCAAAUAAAUUCUUGCUUUCAUGACGAAGACAUUUCCCCGUGCGCACCCAAGUUAAUAAUGAUGAAGAAUUGUAGGGCUCUGGGUUAUUACGCGUUAACGAGUUGUUGGUGUCCCCAACAUGGGAGAUGCCACCAUAUCUUUUUCUUUUUCUCUUUUAAAGUUGUGAGCGUGAUAACAUGUGAUUAUUGAAUUGUCGCUUAUUAUUUUUUAUAUUUUAUUUUUAAUUUUAUUUUUAUAUUUUAUAUCAACAUUUUAUUUAUUUUCAAAUUUAUUUUUCAAUUAUAUAUUUUUUUAUUUUUUUAUUUCAGUUUUUAUUCUAUUAAUUUUAAAUUUUUUUAUUUGAUACUUUUAUUUGAAACUUUAAUAACUUUUAAUAAAGUUUGUCGGUGGUCAGAGACACUCCGACGCAACCUGUGGUUCAACGACAAAAUAUAUGGUCUUUCUUUCCUAUUCUUUUCCGUGGUCCGCUACCUUUAAUUUCUUUCAUAGUUGAUCUAUCCCCAUGCUCACUCAGGUCCAUAAAGUUUGGCUUUUCCCUUUUUCAUAAAAAUACAUAUUUCAUCUUAGAAAAAGAUAAAAAAUAAAUAAAGCAUGCAUUCGGGGUAUUUUUUUUCCUUUUACGCUGAUCUUUUGUAAUUAUCAUGAUAAUGAGGGAUAUUUAUGUACUUUUACGUUGAAUUUUUGGUUUUUUAAUUAAGACCAUGUUUGUUUCCCGGAAAAUAGUUUCCGGGAAACCAUUUUUUAAAUCUUCUUGUGUUUGUUUGUCAUUAGAAAAGUUGAUCAACGGAAAAUACUUUCUAAUUAAUGGAAAGCACUUUCCAGUCAAAGAAAAAUUUGGCUUGGUUUUUAGAAAAGUGUUUUCCCUUUAACUGUGUUUGUUUUCUGGAAAGUGGUUUCCAGGAAAUCACUUUCCAAACUUUCUUGUGUUUAUUUACCAUUAGGAAAGUUGGUCAAUGAAAAACACUUUUUAGUAAAAGAAAAAUUUGACUUGGUUUUCAGGAAAGUGUUUUCCUGAAAAAUUUGGGCGGAAAACACUUUCCGGAAGUUGUGAAAAAUUUAAAAAUAUCAUUAUUUGCUGAUUAUAUCAAAUUUGAUCCUCAAACUUUUGAUUGCUAUAUAUAUUUUGUUCUGAAUGUUUAUUUUUCAAUUUCAUCUCUUAAAAUUUUAUUUUUAUAUUAACUUUGGUCUUUAUUUUUAUAAUUGUUAUUUGCUUUUUUCUUAUCAUUUUUUUAUUGAAAUUUUUUAUCUAUCAAAUUUGGUCCUCAUUCUUUUGAUUGUUACUUAUUUUAUUUGAAAUAAUUUAUGAAAUAUUGAUUAUUAUUAUUUUAAUUUCUUCAUCUUUCAUUUGUUUUUAAUUUUUUAGAUUUGAUCUCUAUUAUUUUGAUUAUUAUUUAUUUUAUUUGAGAUAAUUUAUAAAAUUAUAUAUUUUUUUCAAUUUUAUUCUCACUCAACUUUUUAAUUUGUAAGAUUUGUUCCUCAUUAUUUUAAUAAACUUGAGAAAAAUAAAAUAUUAAUACGUUAUUUUCCAGCUUAUUUUCCAUGACAUAACCAAACACUGGAAAAUGUUUUCCAACUUAUUUUCCAUUACACUACAAAAUAUCAGAAAAUACUUUCUCGGAAUUCACUUUCCAAAAAAAAACUACUUUCCAGCAAACAAACGAGGCAUAAAGAAAGUUGAUGGUAUGUGUUCAUUAUGCACUAAUAAAUUGAUAGGGUCCGCGCCAUUUUGAAUAACGUGUGUGAUAUUUUUUGGUAGCUAAACUUGACCUUCCAACGUGUCUUUGAAAGUGGCAUCAUGUCCUAUUUUUUAUGGUGUGGCGGGUGAUAACAUAUAGUUGUUAGAUUGUUGUCGAUUGUCCUCUUUGUUAUGUAUUUUAGUUUUAGUUCUUAUUCUUUUGAUUUUUUAUUUCGUUUUUAUUUUUUAUAUAAAUAUUUUAUUUAUUUUCAAUUUAAUAUUUUAAUUAUAAUUUGUUAUAUGUAUUUCUUUUAUUUCAAUCCCUUUUUUUAUUUUUUUAUUUUUUUAUUAAAAUGUUUUUUGAUUUCAAAACUUUUUUUAAGAGCUAAGACAUACUCCGCAGCAAGCCAGCAACCCGUGCUUCAACGACAAAAAUAUGAGCUCUUUUUUUUUUUUUUUGUGUCAUUGGUUCUCGAGCCACAAAACAAAGAAUCUUUGUCCUUAUUGAAGCAUUGGUCCACCACUCUUAAAGUUUUUCACAGCAAGACUUUUCCCGCAUGCACCCUCAGGUUAAAGAUGAAGAAUAUUUGUAGGGUUCUUGGUUAUUCCUUCUUGUCGAGAAGCUUGUGCCUUGUAGCAAUCUAUCACGGUAUUACAAGGAUGAAAGAAGAAGGAUUAAUGCCAACCUUUUCAUCUCGUUGUUGAUCAACAAGGAAGGAACUUGAUAGAAAUAGACCCUUGAGAUUACUAUCCUAUUCAUCAAAAUCCUUCUAUCCUCCCUGCAAUUCCUUCAAAAUUAUGAGUUACAUUGAUUUUCUUCGCAAUUGAAGUAAGUUAGACUGGAUUGCCUAAAUAUGAUUAAUAAAGGGUUGGAUUUGCACAAUUAUUUACACAGUUUAAUUUGUUGAUUUGAUACAUCAUAAACUGUGAAUUGACAGAAAAGAAGAAGAAGCUAUCUCACAGGUCACAACAAUUUCCUUCAUUAUUGCUCACUAAUAUGUUAUUACUGAAAAGAGUAAAUUUCAGAUCACUCUAUUUCUGAGAUGGCUGCCAACUCUUGGUGAAGACGUCUCGCUGGCAUGCGGCCUGCGCUGGUUCUCUUAGAGACAGAGGAGCUAAAAGGAUCAGGAGGCUUUGUUAAGUUUUCUCCUUCCCCUUCAAGCAUCUGGACAACAGUUUUCAUGGAAGGACGCUCUGCUGGGUUCCACUGAAUGCACCAUAGCCCCACAAUUGCUAGUUUCUUCGCAAUUCUAGCAUCUUCUUCUCCAUCGAUAUGAAACCGCAGGUCUUCUUCCUUUUCUAAGAGAUUAUAAAUCCAUUCCGGGAAGUAUAUCUGGUCGCCAUUUUCUGCUGUAUCAUCGACGUUCUUCCUUCCUCCAACCAUUUCCAACACUAACAUGCCAAAGCUGUAAACAUCUGAUUUAUAGGAAACACUCCCGAAGUUCCUCGAGAACACUUCUGGGGCAAUGUAGCCAACAGUCCCCCUAGCAGUCGUCAUGGAAAUAGCACUUUUAUCCUUGGAACACAACUUAGCCAUCCCAAAAUCGGCGAUUUUGGGAUUGAAUUCGUUGUCAAGCAGGAUAUUCUGUGGUUUGAUAUCAAAAUGGAGGAUUCUUUGAUCGCACCCCUGGUGAAGAUAUUCAAUCCCCUUGGCUAUGCCUAGAGCAACACGAUUCAACCUUUCCCAGCCAAGGAAAUGGUUCCUUGAGUCUGCUGAGGUUAUGAACUUCUGUAAUGAACCAUUUGGCAAGUACUCAUAAACCAGAGCUCGUCUAAAUCCAUCAGCACAGAAACCGAUCAAGCGAACAACAUUGACAUGGUGGAUCCUUGCCAUUGUUCCCACUUCAUUGAUGAAUUCCUCCCCUUUUCCUAUGGAAUUAUUGAGGAGCUUCACAGCUACAGCAAUUUCAUUGGUCAGCUUUCCUUUGAACACGGUUCCAUAAGCUCCUUGGCCCAAUUCAUCACUGAAUUGAUUUGUGAUCCUCUUGAGAUCAGCGUAGGAGUACCUAGUGGGAUUCAGUGAUCUGUAAUCAUCCAAAAACAUUUCAACCCUGGCUUGAUAUUCUCUUUGUGUUUUAUCGUUGCUAUAGGCGCGGUAGAGUGCAGUAAUCACUAUAGCAAAAAGGAAGAAUCCUAAAAUCACACCUGCAUAUCAACAUUCUGAGUCAGGAAACUCUGUUUUUUGGGAAGUGAUGUAUUGAACCAAGUGUAAAAUUGAGAUGGAGAUUUGAGCAGACUACUAACCAGUAAUCAGUAGCUUUCGCCGCACAUCUGUAAGGGAUUGAAUACUUAUUAGCUUCUCCCUUUGAUGCAAUUGGUAAAAUCAUGAAAGCAACAAAGACGAAAAGAGUUUAAUUUGAAAAAAAGGAAGAAAGAUAGAAAGGCGUACCUUUAGUGUGCUGAAGGUAGCAUUCAGUUUCAGAAGAUCCACAAGUUAGAUUGGACCAAGACAUAGUAAGAACAUAAUUUUCUGCAUGCAACAUACUAUGUGGAAUUCCAUAAAUGUUGUACAUCUUGGUACAAGAUAACAAAUCAGUGUCACUGAUGGUGGUACUUGAUUCAACGGCAUAAACUUCAUGGUUAAAAGCACUCAGACAUGGGAUUUUAUGUGUGAGCCCAGACCUUUUCUCAUUAGAAGAACAGUUGAACAAGGUCCCAUCAUACAGCCAAUCGUUCUUAAUUUGGAAGUGAGAAGCCCCUAAACUGAGGUUUAAACGUUGCCUUAGAAAGCAACCUUGAGGAUCCCUUGCAUAAAUAAGUCGAUGUCUAUAGUCAAUUCUUUCGACGUGGAGACUCAAUCCAGUUGGCAGCUUAAGCAGUGUGUUGUUGUCCUCCGAGCAGGAUAGAUCAAAACCACAGUGGUCUGGUUGUUUGUCCAUGAUGCGGAAAGGAAAUCGGAUGUUAGGGCCACGGUUUCCACAUGAUCCUGUGCAGUUCAAGCUUGCUCCAUGGCCUGCAAGGAAGACAAUGAAAAAGAAGAACAAACACGUAACCAUUUCUGAUGAAUAAUUCAUCAUCUCCACACUCCACCUAAGAUUUUAUCUGCAUGUGCUGAUAUAGUUUUGGCCUUUCAGAAAACUCAUGGAGUCCUUAGAUGGGCGAGUCCUUCACACUAGUACACGCAUCCCUUCGACACUAAAAAAAAUUAAAAAAGAGUACUGUCUGGUUCAGGUAAUUUUGGGCGGUUUUUAUGAUUAAUUUGCUCAUCCCUAAUGAUAGUAAUAAUCUCUCUAUUUACAUAGUAUUCACAAUGCAUAUGGUAACAUGUUGGAAACCUAGAAUUAGCAGAAAAAUAGAUUCUAUCAAGUGAAUUUUAAUUACAUGGUCGCACUCUUAACGCUUAAUGCCAGAAGGGACUAGGGGUUGUGAUGGAUGCGAGAUUCUCAACAAGAAAUAACGAAGAAGCGUAUAAAUCUUCGUCAUUGACUCCAGGGUGGCUGAGGGCAAAAGUCUUGCUAUGUGAAACUUCGAGUGACAGACCAAUGUUUCAAUCAUUGACUUAAGUGUCAGUACAAUUUGUCCACACACUAUUUGAGAAGGAAAGUAAAGGGCUCUCUGUCCUGUUGUGUUGCUUGAGAUACAAUGAAUCAAGAAAGAAAAGGUCCAUAUUUUUGUCAGUAGCUUCCACUACGAAAUUCAAUAGUUUGUGCAAAAAUUAUGUAUACACUGUGUAUCACUUCAGCCUUCCCCAUGUUUAGAGGAAUGAACGUCCUUUUUGCUUGCUACAUAGCUUUUCUUUUACAGCUAUUAGUCUUCCAAACUUGCCAUUCUAGCACCAUCACUGCUCAUUGUGCUCCUUCUUCAUGCGGCAAUAUCCAAAACAUAAGCUUCCCUUUCAGACUAAACACUGAUCCACAAAGCUGCGGAAACUAUAAUUAUACUCUGAUUUGCGAGAACAAUAUUUCUACAGUAUUAUAUUUGUAUUCAGGUAAAUACUACGUGCAGGCAAUCGACUACGGCAACUUCACAAUCCGAGUGGUAGAUGCUGGUGUACAAGAUAAUUGCUGCUCCAUCCCUCGUUAUUCUUUGGCAUUUGAUAACUUCAGUGACGGAGAUCCAUACACAUCGUAUAACUACAAGCAGGUGCCGCCGCCGGGAGUGAGUGAGGGUUUCGUGUACUAUUGGGACCCUUACUUACCUCCACUAUCACAGCCUAUGAUUUUCAUGAGCUGUGAAAAUACGGUGAAUUCUCCUCUCUAUGUGGACACGGCUCCCUACGGCCUUAACUAUGGAUCAGUAAAUUAUUCGAAUUAUGUGACUCUUGGUAGCAUGACUGCCUCGGAUUUGAUGGAACUGUGCAGCAUAGAGAAAAUAUUUUUGCUUCCAAAGAAGAGCUACACAGACAAUUACUCCUUUGAAGAAAUACACAGUGACCUGGCAUAUGGGUUUGAGCUUUCAUGGUACAACAUAAACUGUGGAAAAUGCAGAAGUGGUUGCUACCUCGACAGUGCAGACCGUCGUUGGUGCUUUGGUAUGUAACACUUGAUGAUUAAGUUGCAUCACUUUGAUUCAUAAGACCAUAUAUAACUUGUGAUUUGAGGUGGUUUCAUAUAUUUUCUCUGGCUUACUUUUCAAUUUUCAUUUUUUUCUGCGCAUUAGCACAAUAUUGCACUGUCCCCAGAUCGAUGUUCAUGUACAAAUUCUGUGCAUCCAUUACCUGUGAAUUCUACUAUAGUGGACUGAUCAUGAGAUUCAUUCAUGUUAAUAUUGUAAAAUAUUCUGACUAUAAUGUGGUUUAAGGUAGUUGGACAGAUUCAUUGGUCUUUUGCAAUUUCAGGAUUGACACAGUGAACCGUUUGGUUCAUCUUAACUUGACCAUGGAUACACAUUAAUUAGUUCAAGUCACAUUAUUAAUUAAAUUGUGUGUGCUCUUAUCUAUUUUCUUUAGCAUUUACUGUUGCGUAUACCAUUAGAACUCGUUUUUAAACCUAAAUUCUCGACAGAUUUUGGUGAAAGCUACUGGGAAAGACUACUCUACGCAGUGAUAGGUGCGAAUUCUCUUUCUGCAUCUCACCUUGUUUGUGUAUUCUUAAGUGUUUCUUCAAACGACUUAUUUGUGAAAUAAGGAUUGUUGUUUCUUGAAUAGUAAUUGUAAUUUUGUUCACCAUUUUCUGCAGCUCCCUCUCUAUAUAUCCAUUUUAUUUGGUAAGAGAUUCCAUCAUUUCUUUAGUUUCGCAACAAAUUUCUAGUGGAGACAACAAAUAAGAUCACAAAACUUGAUUGUUUUCUGGAAAUUUCCUACACAGCACUGCUUCAUGGGCCAAAAGUUGUUUGUGGGACUCCAUGUGUGAUUAUAUUUUUGAUCUACAAAUGCGAAGGAGACAUUUAUCAGCAUACGAUAAAGUUGAACAAUUCCUACAGGGUCAGAAUAACCUAUGCCAGUAAGGUAUUCCUACUCAGAUAUCAAGAAGAUUACUAGAGGUUUCAAGGAGAAAUUAGGUGAAGGAGGCUUUGGUACAGUUUACAAAGGAAAGCUUCGCAGUGGGCGUUUUGCAGCAGUAAAAUUGUUGGGAAAAUCAAAAGCUAAUGGACAGGAUUUCAUAAAUGAAGUUGCUACCAUAGGAAGGAUUCACCAUACUAACGUGGUGCAGCUAAUUGGUUUUUGCGCUGAAGGAUCAAAGCGAGCUCUUGUAUAUGAUUUCAUGGCUAAUGGAUCUCUUGAUAGACACUUUUUCUCGAGAAGGAUCAAUCUCUUUAAGCUGGCAAAAACUGCAUCAGAUUUCCCUUGGAGUGGCUCGUGGUAUCGACUAUCUUCAUUUAGGCUGUGACAUGCAAAUACUUCAUUUUGAUAUCAAACCUCACAACAUUCUUCUCGACGAAAAUUUCACUCCAAAAGUCUCUGACUUCGGGCUCGCUAGGUUGUACCCAACGAAUGGCAGCAUAACAUCUCUUACUGCAGCAAGGGGCACCAUAGGAUACAUGGCUCCUGAAUUGUUCUACAAAAACAUUGGACGUGUCUCCUAUAAAGCUGAUGUUUAUAGCUUCGGAAUGCUGCUAUUGGAAAUGGCAGGCAAAAGGAAGAAUGUAAACGCAUUGGCAGAAAAUUCAAGUCAAAUCUACUGGCCAUAUUGGGUUCAUGACCAAGUAUCUGAUGGAAAGGCCAUAGAAAUCGGAGACGAUGCCACGGAGGAAGAACGUAAGAUCGUCAAGAAGAUGAUUAUGGUUGGAUUGUGGUGUAUACAAAUGAAACCCAUGGAUCGGCCUACAAUGAAGAAUGUUGUGGAGAUGCUUGAAGGAGAUUUGGAAAACUUGCAAUUGCCUCCUAAGCCUGUCUUCAAUCUAGAUGUGACGCCACCAAACAUUGAAGGAGAGUCAUCAUCGUUGUCAGGUGAUUCUACCGAAUCAACCAGUGUUGUUGAAAAUGCAUACUAAGUGAUAUGAUGUGGAAUGCUCUGCUUACAUGCAGGGAAAAUGCUAGAAUAAUGGUGCUUUCGGACUUGGUUAUGAUAAUUUAGUCUGCAAACAUUAUGAUAAUUUGCAAUACUUGCUUUUAUCUGAUCUGUGUUUAGCUAAUUUAGAGUUCAAGCUGCAGCUUGUUUCUUCGGUUUGGUCUAUAUAAUGAUCAUACAAAGAUGUUCUGUAUUGUGUUUAACUAUCAGAUUUCCACUAUCUAUGGCAAUCAUAGCAGUUAGCGAGGAUGGUACAUCCUCCAUGAUAACUGCUACAUGUUCUACAUAUUAAUUAUCGUAUUUGUCUCCAGCAAGAGUAAUAUUUUGGCUACAAAUCAACAAGAGACUGUCAUAGGCAUUAUAUAAACAAGUUGAUGCAUGAAAAGACGAGUCUCUAUUUAUAGGUAGCCACUACAAGUAACUUCGGAGACCACAAAUACAAGGCAAGUCUCUCUAGUAAUCCUUCCACUACAAGUAGCUUCGGAGAUAGAAAAUAGCGAUUUAUUUGCUGUCAUAGGGAUGAUUCUGAACAGAGGGGCUUAAUUUGAUUUUCUUCCACCAACAAUGCCUUCUUGUCAAUGUUCAGCCCCAUGAUAAUCGAUCUAGCGUCACCAUUUGCACAUUACCAUAUCUUGCAUAAGCCACGAGGAACCAAACACAACAAAACCGGAUUGAAAACCAUGACCAUAACGGGUGCUGUGAAAUGAAUAUUGAAACAGAUGGGUGAAUUUGAUGCAGAAAAGUAGAGAGGAGACAAUGAAGCUUGCUUACCGGUCAUGGCAUUUCACCAGGGAGCUCUGCUUCUUCAAAAAUGCUCAACUGUGUUCAACAACCUUUCAGGAUCUGCUUCAAUUUUCUUAAGAGAAUGGGAAAUAGUGAACGGGAUCCUCGUUAGCUGCGGGCAAUCACCCACAGUAAUUUUCUCAAGAGAAAUGCAUAGAAGACUUCCAGAAUAAAUGCUAUUCAAAUUAUGACAUUUGUUCUACGAGAUAUUCCCACUUUCUCAGGAUGAAAAUCAUCCCACAAAUCAUCAAGAAAGAUAACAUGGUUUUGUAUCGCACUCAAUGCUGUCCUUAGCUCCCCAGCUGUACUCAUCACAUCUUUUCCUUUCGGAAGACAUAAACCAAAAGCUUCGGCAAUGACAUCCUGCAAUGCAUGAAUGCUAAAUUCUUGUGACAUUGUUGUGACAAACAUGAAAAAAAAUGUCUGGUUUCUCUUGAAGCUGGUUAUGGAUAUGUGCAGCCAAAGUUGUCUUUCCCACUCCCCCAUCCCGUAAAUGCUAAUGCAUGAGACCUCACCACUCAACAACCAAGACCAGACAUCCUUCAUAUUUCUUUCAAUAGCUUGGCCCACUAGCUUCGUUGGAUUGUGGUGUAUACAAAUGAAACCCAUGGAUCGGCCUACAAUGAAGAAUGUUGUGGAGAUGCUUGAAGGAGAUUUGGAAAACUUGCAAUUGCCUCCUAGGCCUGUCUUCAAUCUUGAUGUGACGCCACCAAACAUUGAAGGAGAGUCAUCAUCGUUGUCAGGUGAUUAUACCGAAUCAACCAGUUUGGUUGAAAAUGCAUACUGAGUGAUAUGAUGUUGAAUGCUCUGCUUACAUGCAGGGAAAAUGAUAGAAUAAUAGCGCUUUCGGACGUGGUUAUGAUCGUUUAGUCUGCAAACAUUAUGAUAAUUUGCAGUCCUUGCUUUUAUCUGAUUUGUGUUUAGCUAAUUUAGAGUUCAAGCUGCGGCUUGUUUCUUCGGUGUGGUCUAUAUAAUAAUCAUACAAAGAUGUUCUGUAUUGUGUUUAACAAUCAGAUUACUGUUACAAAAGUAUGAAGUAUAAAGUAUUAUCCUUAUUCUGUUAUUUAGGCUGACUAGCAGCCCCUUCCCCUUAUACUAAUAUUAUUUAACUCAAGACUUUUUAAAUUCUCUAGAUUGUCAUCAAUUAGGGUUGUUGAUGGUGGUUGAUUGUUGAACUGCUGAGAAAAAAAAACUAAGAGAGGCUAGGGUAAAUGCUGUAUGUGGCAAGUGGUUAGUGUUGAGAGAGACAAAGAACAUUUAUCUUUACACUAACACUCAUCUCUCCGGAACACAAAAGGGACUUGCCUCUUUAUUUGGAGGACGCUAAAGAACAUUGAGAGAACCCUUAUUUUUACACUACACACAACGUGCAAAACACCUCUUUCAUCUUCUUCAUCUUUUUACCUACUUAUUUAUUUAGAAAUCAAACUAAAAAAACUAACUUGAGCAUUAAUAGAGGACUUCCAAAAUGAAAUAGUUGGGGACUAGAUAAUUGGCUUGCAAUUAUUUAAACAUUGCUAAUGCUUUUUUUAGUUACAUUUUAAACUAUGUGAGGUUGACUUGAGAUGAGCUGAUCUACUUGAUAGGUCUAAAAACAACUUAGACGGUUAAUAAAAAUAUAAUUUAACUCAAAAUAAAUAUUCAAGAUGAUUUAUUAAGAUAUCGAUAUAUUGGAUUGGUUUUGGUCAAUUUAAAUUAACAUGUUUAUCUGGUCAUGAGACCAUAAUAACUUCAUAGAAAGAAAAUCAAAACAAAUUAUGAAGUGUAAGUUCCAAUAAAUUCAAUGUUAAAUAAUAAAAUUAAAAAUUAAAUGAAUAAUAAAAAAAAAAAUUGAAAAAUUCAUCGGGGAGGAUGCGCUUUCUCUAAAAAAAAGAAUGAAUUUCAAACAGAUCAAAAGAAUGCGCUUUCUGUCAAGAAGUAUAAAACAUAUUGAAAUUUUAUCUCUACAAUAAUAGAACUUGAUGCAAGAGGAAGGAAAUGACAGGAGUAAAGCAAGAUGAGAAAGCGAAAUGAAGUCUCUCAACCCCUAUUUAUAUAGGAGGCCAAUGGGUGCGAAAUUAAUUUGAAUUAAUUCCUAACAAUUCAUUGUAAUCGCAGAAUCAAUGAAUUUGAAAAGAUUUAAUGAAACUAAUCAAACAUUAAAGAAAUAAUUUAAUAGAUAUAAUAAAAAUAGUUGUAUCAAUUUUUUAUUCGUCCAUGAUUGAUUUUAAACAUGUUAACAUUCAAGAUAUACAAAGAUGUAAAUAAAUUGAUUGAUCACUAAAUUAGUACAAGUAGAUUUUGGUUUUGGACAUUUUAUAAUAAAAUAAUAUCAAAUUUAUUUGGCUAAUUAAUGAUUUCAAUGUUUUAAACUAAUCCACUUUUCAUCUAUGUCAUAAUUUAAUUUUUGAUUUUUAUCUUUAUAAAAUAAAAAAAAUGAAGUGGGAAAAUUGGAAUGAAUGAAGAAAAAUUAAGAUUUAGAUCAAAACAAUACAAAUGAGAAGUUUUUGAGUAUCAAUCAGGGAGGAAUUGUAAAUUUGGGGUUUAAUUUUGCUUGAAAUUGAAAGAAUUGAUGAGUUUGAAGACUUAAUUAAGCUUAAAAUUAGUUUAAUUAACAAAAUCAUUAGCUUAAUUGAAGAAAUAUUAAAAAUAACUGAUUUAGGUCUAAAUUGCAAGAAAUAAAGUCCAAGGACCGUUGUGCAAAAGGCACCGCAAUGCAGGGGUCUACUUAAAAUUUAGCCCAGGGGUCCGUUUGAAACAUGUUAAAACCUCGAGGACUAAAUUGAAAAAUGGCCGCCCCAAUCUAGAAACGGCGCUGUUUUUCAAUUCCAUUCAUCGUCUUCUUCCUCUGGAAGCAGAGGAGACCCCCUGCAAAGGAAAAUAUCAAUCGCCGCACACAUGCCAAAUUCAAGACCGCGUUGUCUACCCACGGAACCCAUGGCAUUUGGUUGGUCUCCCUCACCCUCAUAACUCUCCCCUGACGCGAGGAUAAGCACCACCAAGAAUCCAGCAACGGCAGGACUGUUGGUGUUUCCAUUCUACCCAAACACGGAGCCAAUUCACUCUACACAAGAUGACGAUCCCAGGGAAUAUAAGGAUAAGAAUCCCUCUCAAGGUCUGACUCUAUAAAAGUGGGAGAGAAGGAAGAACAGGGGAUCGAAAAAGAGAGACGAUACAGAGAUAAAAACCAAAAAAUAAAAUAAAAAGAAUAGAGAGCAGAAGGGAGGAGAGGACUAGGUCUUGAGAAAGCAAAAACAUAAAGACAAAAAAGAGAAGCCGGGGAAAAGAAAGGGCGUCCGAGGAGUGCUUCAUCCAGCACCUGCAUUUUGCCGCUCAAGGUCGCUGCAAAAACAGGCAAGUCACUUUCAAUUCUCCCUCUCUCUGCAAUUUAAUUACUCUGAUUCUCUCUGCAAUUUAGUCACUUUGAAUUCUCUGAACAGUUCACGCACGCAUGCAAGUAAAAAAAAAGAGAGGAAAGAAAAGGGAGCCGGGUUACUGAUUUAGCUACGUCUGGCAUAGCCUGUACGGCUGGGUCUGAUCCCAGACCUAAUCAGUCCAAACUUUUUUUGCUAAGGGUAUAUUUGAUAAAAUAGACUCUCAUGCCUUGUUCAUGUAUUUUCAUUCCCCUUUUAUUUUGAGAGGCAUAGAAAAUUUAUUUCUUCUUAUUAAAAAUUUAAAAUUUUGUGAAUUUAUUUAGUGAUAUCAAAGACAGGAAUAUUAUAUUUUUUUGGAUUGUAUAAUAUUUAUAAAUAUCAGAGUUGAAAAUAUUCGUAGUUACUAUUUAUUGACGGUAGAGUCAGGAACAUAAUAUGAAAAAUUAAAAAAAAAAACAAAUUUUUAUCAAUUUUAAACAAAGCUAGCAAUACAACCUGUAUUAGGUAUAACGUUCAAGGAAUGAUAGUAUCUUUUAUUUGACAUAACCAAUUUCCUAUCAUAGAAUUUUUAUUGAUUAGUUAGAGUUUUUAAUAAUCAUAAUACUUAGUGGUAAUUAUUUAAACAUAGAUUUUUUUCUUUAAAAAAUAAGAUGCCAUAUACAUGUUUUUUUCAUUGAAAAUUUUUAUUGAUGGACGGCAAAAGUCAAGAGUGACAAUAUAAAUCAAAACAAUAUAAUACUUACAUAGUUACCUUUCUGUAAAAAGUAUUGAAUAUUAAUAUUAAUUUUUUUUAAUCAUGUUUCGAAGGCAAGUGUGCAAGCUUUACAUGUGAUAGCAAUCUCAAUGACUUCACUGCUACAUGCCUUCAUUAUCCUUGUAUUUGUUUUAGGUAAUAGAGGCAGUCGGCCUCUCCAUCAAUCUCUCUGUAUUUAUUGUAUCAGAUAAGAUAUUCCUGUUUUAGGAAUUUGUUUCUGUCAGAUUAUAUGUAUUAUUUUUGAAUUCCUUGUAACUUGAUAUCGAUGAAUGAAUGAAAGAAGAAUGUGGCCUUUACUCGAUCUAUUCUUCGUCCUGUUCUCAUCACAUGGUAUCAAAGCAAUUAAAUUUGCUGCUGCUGUUCUUCUCUAGGCACAACAACCAUGACAACAGACAACAACACUCUGCUUCCCUUCAUCAUCCAGAUUAUAGUCAAAAUGAUCAACUUCCUCCUCGUCUCUAUCUUGGCCACUGCCAAAUUUGUAGGAUUUAGGGACAUAACUAAAACCAAGAAGUGUCCAUCAUUUCGUUUUGUUUCAGUGCAGACACCCACCACCACAAAUGCUCCAAUGAUCACCUCUCCAACACCAUGGCAUCCUAGCUCGGGCACACUUCGCUGUCAACACCUCUUCUAUCACUCCAACGUUGCUGCUGGAAAAUGGUGCUUCUGAUCAUGUCAUUGCCGACUUAAGCAUUUUAUCAUUUCAUGCGUCCUACGAUGGUUUUGACGAAAUCAUGAUCGAUGAUUUUGUUGGGUUAUUUCCAGAACUCAAACACGCACAAUUUACGUGGUUCGGCAACUUGCCUACUCCACGGAGUUACUGGUUGUAUUAAUCAAGCUUACAAAGAAACAAUACAACAACAAGAGGAGGAGAAUCUUCUCAACUCAACUCUACACUCAAGCUCUCUCUCUGUGUUUCUCUCUUUCUCUUCUUCUCACUGUGUUCUUCGUGCUCUCUCAGUUCUUCACAUACACACACACACACACACACAGCUAUACAUAUACAAAUAAUGGGAGUGGGGGGUGUCCUCCACCAUGUGCUAAGUGGGAGAUUAUUCCCACUAGCACAUGGUGGGGCAAUUGUUGUCUCCAUAAUGCUAACAAUCUCCCACUUGGAGACAAACAAUGAAAUCCUUUUUUAUCCUUGAAGGCCAACUGAAGUUUUGCACAACUUCAGUUUCUCAAGUGUAACUCCUUUGGUUAACAUGUCAGCUGGAUUCUUGCUUCCACAGAUCUUUUCUAGCAUUAGUUGCUCGUCGUCCAGCAGUUGUCGGAUGAAGUGAUAUUUGAUCUGAAUAUGCUUCGUCCUGGAGUGAAAUGCUGGAUUCUUGGCAAGGAAGAUUGCACUCUGACUGUCGCUAUACAAAGUACCUUUUCCAUUCAACUUGCCCAAUUCUUUCAAGAAACUCUGCAACCAUACUAUCUCUUUUGCAAAUUCUGAGACUGCAACAUAUUCAGCUUCUGUUGUUGAAAGAGCAACGAUCUUUUGCAAGGUAGAACUCCAGGAAACAGCAGUACCUCCUAGAGUAUAAACAUAUCCUGUAGUGCUCUUUCUGCUAUCAACAUCUCCUGCUAGAUCAGCAUCUACAAAACCUUCAAGUUUCAAACCACCAGCUGUGAAACUGAGACAAGUUUCCGAUGAACCUUUUAAGUACCUCAUGAUCCAUUUCACCGCCUCCCAAUGCUGCUUUCCAGGAUUGCUCAUAUAUCGGCUUACAACUCCCACUGCAUGGGCAAUGUCUGGUCUGGUACAGACCAUAGCAUACAUCAAAGAGCCGAUAGCUGAGGCGUAUGGAAUCUUAUCCAUGUAUCCACUUUCUAGCUCAGUUUUUGGUGACUGAUCUUUGCUGAGCUUGAAAUGAUUCCCCAGUGGUGUACUUACUGGUUUAGCAUUAUCCAUACUAAACCUGCUGAGAACCUUCUUGACAUACUCUGUUUGUGAGAGCUUUAGUAUGCCUUUGUCUUUAUCUCUGAUGAUUCUCAUGCCAAGUAUUUGUUUAGCAGCUCCCAGAUCCUUCAUUUCAAACUGUUUCGACAACUGCUGUUUCAGCUUAUCAAUCUCCUCAAUGCUGGAUCCUGCAAUCAACAUAUCAUCUACAUAUAAUAGUAGAAUGAUGUAGGAGUUGUCAAAAUGUUUGACAUAGCAACAAUGAUCAGCUUGGCAUCUUGUAUACCCGGAACUGCACAUGAAGUUGUCAAACUUCUUGUACCACUGUCUUGGAGCUUGCUUCAAACCGUAUAGGCUUUUCUGUAGCUUGCAGACUUGAUUCUCCUUUCCUUGCAUUGCAAACCCCUCUGGCUGUUGCAUGUAAAUAUCUUCCUCCAAGUCACCAUGAAGGAAUGCUGUUUUUACAUCUAACUGUUCAAGAUGUAAAUUUUCUGCAGCUACUAUCCCCAGAACAACUCUGAUUGUUGUGAGCUUCACAACUGGAGAAAAAAUCUCAGAGUAGUCAAUGCCUUUCUUCUGUUGAAACCCUUUGACAACAAGUCUUGCCUUGAACCGUUUGCUUCCGUCAUGCUCAGUCUUCACUCUGUAAACCCACUUAUUUUGCAAGGCCUUCUUUCCUUCAGGUAAUGUUGUUAGCUCCCAAGUCUUGUUCUUCAACAACGAACUCAUCUCAUCCUUCAUGGCUAACUCCCACUUGCUUGAGUUUCCAUCUUGUAAGGAUUCUUCAUAAGAUAACGGUUCACCACCAUCUGUCAGCAAAAUAUAAUUCAGUAAAAGUGUGAACCGUUGCGGGGGCUUUAUCGUCCUCGAAGACCUGCGAACAGCUGGUUCAAGUUGCUCCGCAUCUUCUUGUGUGGAAGUGGGCACAGAUGUGCUUGAAUCUUCUUGUAAAGACUCUUGAUUGUUGUUCUGCUUAGUAACAUCGGGAAGCCCUUCUAAUCUUAUGAAUUCAGAUCUUUGUGGACUUGUAUCUGAAUCAGCCAUCUCUGUUUCUCCACUUGAUCUGUCUUUGUACAUAACUUUCUCAUUGAAGAUCACGUUCCUGCUUCUGAUAAUCUUUCUAUUCUGAUCAUCCCAGAACCGAAAUCCAAAUUCUUCAUCUCCAUAGCCAAUGAAGAAACAUUUCUUGGAUUUGGCAUCUAACUUGUUGCGAGCAUCAGAAUCUAUGUGAACAUAGGAAACACACCCAAAGACCUUCAAAUGAGAGAGUCGUACCUCUUUUCCUCUCCAUACUUCCUCGGGCAAUCUGAAUUCCAAAGGAACUGAUGGUCCACGGUUGAUCAAGUAAACUGCGGUAUGAACUGCGUCAGCCCAGAAUGUUUGAGGUAACCCUGAAUGCAACCUCAUGCUUCUAGCUCGUUCAUUGAUGGUCCUGUUCAUCCGUUCAGCAACGCCAUUCUGUUGCGGUGUGCCUGGAACGGUCUUUUCCAUUCUGAUACCAUUGACAGCACAAUACUCCUUGAAACCUCCAUCAAUGUAUUCUCCUCCAUUAUCAGAUCUCAAGCAUUUCAACUUUAGACCUGAUUCAGUCUCAACCAUAGCCUUCCAUUUCUUGAAUGUUUCAAACACAUCAGAUUUAUUUUUCAGAAAGUAACCCAUACCUUCCUGCUGAAGUCAUCAAUGAAAGUCACAUAAUACCGAGAACCUCCAAGAGAUGCUACUGGAGACGGUCCCCAUAAAUCUGUGUGUACCAGUUCUAGCUUUCUUGGUCUUAAGGUCCUGCCAACCUUCAAGAAACUGACCUUCUUCUGUUUUCCAAGAACACAGCUUUCACAAAUGUCUAGAUCGACAUUUUUUAACUCUGGCAGCUUUCCCUUCGACUGAAGUAUCUUCAUCCCCUUUUGACUCAUAUGGCCAAGUCUACAAUGCCAUAGCUGUGCUUGAUUUUCUGCUUCAGUUGAGGCAAUGAUGUCUGCAAAUCUUGUGGUCAUAUACAGGGUGCCGGUUUUCUUUCCACGAGCUAAAACCAUUGCUCCCUUUGAUACUUUCCACAUUCCUCCAGCAAAAAGUAUUGAAUGACCACUAUCAUCAAGUUGUCCGACAGAGAUCAACUUCUUCUUUAAUUCAGGAACAUGCCUUACAUUCUGCAAGGUCCAUAUAGAUCCAUUCAUUGUCUUGAUUUGCACAUCUCCUAUACCCACAAUAUUCAGUGGUGUUCCAUCGGCCAGAUAGACUACACCAUGAUCUCCUCCAACAUAAUUUUGCAGCAUUUCAUUGUGUGGCGUACAGUGGAAUGAAGCACCAGAAUCAAGAAUCCACUCAUCAAUUUGACUUUGUACAGCAAGAAUUAAAGCAUCUUGUACCUCAUCUGUGGUAGCGUUUGCAGAGUCAGCUUCAGGUUUCUUCGGUUUUGUGCAAUUCCUACUGAAAUGACCAGGUUUGCCACAAUUCCAACAUUCAACCUGCUUUCUGGAUCCAAACUUGCUUUUACUUCUGUAUCUGGAUUUUGAUCUGCCUCUGGAUGAGCCUCUAUCGUGUCUCCUCCCUCGAGUGUUGAUGUUGAGAGCUGAUCCUGAGCUUGAACUUUCACCCGAGUCUUUCCUUCGCACUUCUUCAGCCAAAAUCAAGUCUCGAAUGUCAUCAUACUUCAGUUUGGAUUUUCCAGCUGAAUUGCUCACGGCUGUCCUCAUGCCUUCCCAACUGCUUGGAAGUGAAGCUAGCAAGAUGAGUGCACGAAUCUCAUCAUCAAACUCAAUCGCAACAGAUGAUAAUUGAUUUGUGAUGGUAUUAAAGUUGUUGAGGUGUUGUGUCACAGAAGUUUUCGACCAUCUUCAAGUUGAACAACUUUUUCAUCAGGUGCACUUUAUUAUUUGCUGAUGGCUUCUCAUACAUCCCAGACAAGGCUUCCAUCAAUUUUGCAGUGGAUUUUUCUUUCGUAACAUUGUGAGCAACUCUUCUUGAUAACGAUAGCCGGAUAAUGCCCAGAACUUGUCUAUCAAGAAGUUGCCAUUCUUCUUCUUCCAUCUUUUCUGGUUUGCUUCCCAAUAAGGGAAGAUGAAGUUUCUUCCCAUAUAAAUAAUCUUCAAUUUGCAUUUUCCAGUAUCCAAAAUCUGUUCCGUCAAAUUUUUCAAUUCCAGCAGCCUUUAUUUCAUCUGCCAUUUUUACUUCUCCGAUUCGAAUUUCCCAAAUCUGACCUUACAGAUGUGUCCAGAACGGCCAAAAACCUUGGAAAUGACACUGAGAUCACCCCAAUCGGACUUCGGAUGGCUCAGAUUUUAGCAAUCAAAGUUUUGGAUUAACGGACGGUGCAGAUGCAGCCGCGUGUCAGCCAGAGUACCGCCUGCGUCACACCGGAUAAAAACUCAGUAGCGGUUCUGAUGAAGACACGUGUCAGCAGAUUACAGCCUGCGUCGCACCGGAUCAAAACUCAGUAACGGUGCAGAUUAAGCCACGUGUCCGCAGAUUAGAGCCUGCGUCACACCUGAUCAAACUCAGUAACGGUGCAGAUUCAGCCACGUGUCACAAGAUUAGAGCCUGAGUCGCACCGGAUCAAAACUCAGAAGCGGUCUAGAUUCAGCCACGUGUCAGCUGAUUAGCUCCUGCGUCGCACCAGAUUAAAACCCCUCAACGGUGAUGAUGUAGCCACGUGUCACACGAUUACCGUUUGCGGUGCACUGGAUCAAAACCCAGGUGGAUGACAUGUCAGGUGACGUGGACGUUGACCGUGCGACUUGCUGACGUGGCGGGUCAGACCCGACCCGUUUUGCAGAAACCGGGCGAAGAAGAAGCGUGGCGCGCGUGCGGCGCGUUGGUGCGCGUGGGCAGUGCUAGCGUCGGCGCGUGCGGGCAUGCAGGACGUCGAUUCUUCGCCGGGGUUUCAACAGUGGAUUCGUCCGGUUGUCCUCUACACGAUGGUAUGUUCAAAAACACAUUUUGAGAACUUUGAUUUUUGAGUUUGGAUCAAACACCCUCUUUGUCAAGAACAAGCUCUGAUACCAGUUGUUGGGUUAUUUCCAGAACUCAAACACGCACAAUUUACGUGGUUCGGCAACUUGCCUACUCCACGGAGCUACUGGUUGUAUUAAUCAAGCUUACAAAGAAACAAUACAACAACAAGAGGAGGAGAAUCUUCUCAACUCAACUCUACACUCAAGCUCUCUCUCUGUGUUUCUCUCUUUCUCUUCUUCUCACUGUGUUCUUCGUGCUCUCUGUGUUCUUCAUACAUAACACAGCACACACACACACAACUAUACAUAUACAAAUAAUGGGAGUGGGGGGUGUCCUCCACCAUGUGCUAAGUGGGAGAUUAUUCCCACUAGCACAUGGUGGGGCAAUUGUUGUCUCCAUAAUGCUAACAGAUUUCACCUUUCUUACAACUCACACUGAUUCCACCUUUCUUACAACUCCUAAGAACAUUUAAACACUGUACCAAACAUGAAGAAAAAUUUAAUAAUUUUACUUAUCAAAUAAUGCAUUCAUUGAAUUCUUACCCUUUUCCUUUCUUACGAAGGAAGUUCGUACAAGGGAGAUUCUUUUGAAGGGCAAAAUGAAGGAUGGGAUGCAUGAAUGGUAUGUUGAAAAAGAAGAGUAGGCUGUGGUAGUUAAUUUAUAAGAACAUAGCUAAAGAAUAAAGUUAAAAAACAAGAAGAAUAAUGAGAUGAAUGAUAUUUUAUUAAGAGUUUUCUUAAAAUAUAUAUAUUUUUAGCUUUUUUUUAUAUCUCUAUAUAAUGCUUAAGAUUACAUGACUUAUUAUAGACCUCAAGUUCUAUAUAAUAAUAAAAAUUAAACUAUUUUAAAAAAAAUUCUAAUCUAAUAAGAAAUUUAAUAUUCUAAUUAAAUACAGAUUCUAAUACACUAAUCUAUUACAAAUCUACAAAUCCUUUUUAAAUCGAGGGUUCUAAAUUGAAAUGGUUUAUUUUUUUGGUGGAAACUUUUGGUGAAUGUAUUGUUUGUUUUGGAUGAUCUUGUUGUCUAGAUUGAGUUUCCUGGUAGAGAACAGAAGGGGUUUCUUGCUGAUGUAAUGGCACUUGCAUUUAUCUAAAGUCAUAUGCACUCAUAUGCACAGGCCCUUCAAAGACUAAAGUUGAGUUUUCAGAGCUUCAGGUUCAGGACAAGUCAUAUGCACUCAUUGCACAGGCCCUUCAAAGACAGGCUAGGAAGUUCAAGACUAUAGUAGCCGUGGUGGAUGCUAGUGGCUUAGCAGGUAUUAGGAAACAUUGGAACACUCCUGUUCCUCCAGAAGUGAAGGAUUUGGUUGGGAAGCUUGUCACUGAUUGUGAAAGUGACGGAGAAGUUCCCAAUCAUGAUGAAAAGAGACGGCUACUUUCAAACAAACCUAUGGUGGCAGUUGGAGCUGGGGCAACAGCAAUUUUUGGAGCUUCGUCUCUUUCCAAAGUUGUUCAUGCAUCGACAUUCAUGAAGGUUGUUACAUUUAAAUUUCCUACUGCCCUUAAGCUUUUGCUGAUCCAAACUCAAAAGAUAAUGGCAAUAUCUAUGGGCAAGACUCUUGGUCCAACAAAACUGCUGGCCCCUGGACUGGCCAAUUCUGGAGCCAUGCAACAUCUGCGUUGAAAGCAGCUGUUUCUGCUGAGAAAAUCCGGACAGUGGUCCACAGUGUUAUAGCCUCUGCUGAGAAAACCAGUUUUUCAACUAUGAGAACAGCUUUCUAUGAAAUAAUGAGAAAACGGCAGGUUCAACCUAUUGGUGUCCUACCUUGGGCAGCAUUUGGUUGCAGUGUUGCAACUUGCUCAGCAUUGCUCAUGUAUGGAGAUGGGAUUGAAUGUGCUGUUGAGUCUCUUCCUGCAGCCCCGUCAAUCGCCAGUUUGGGUCGUGGGAUUCAAAGCUUGCACCAGGCAUCUCAAGUAGUUGGGCAGACAGAUGGCACCAGAAUACAAAAAUCUAUAGUCUUUGAUGAACAGGUUGAGGAAAGUAAAGAUGCAAUAAAGUAGGACUCGCAUCUUUUAUUUUGUUGUAUACAAGCUGAUACUGCUCAAAAGUUAUUAGUACUGGAAUUUAGAGAAAUCUUCUGUAUAUAAAUAGAAAGCAGGAGGGGUGAUUUGUAUUGUCAUGGGUGUUGAUCUUUUUUUGAAGUCAAUUUUCUAAAGGGUUCUUUACAAUGCUGCCUGGUAAACAUAUUACAAUUGUUUCCUCUCCCUGCUUCCCUCUCCCUUUAUCUCUAUGUUUAACUCCAUUUGACAAUUUCGCAUAGGUAUUACUUGAGAUUGCAUUGUUAAUUCUGACGCAGUCGAGAUUGGCUUUCUUUGCUCUCAAGCAAGGCUGCCAUUGUUAUGAAUAGCAGGCUGCUUGCCAGAAGCUCUUCUCCGGUUUCACAGUCCUUGAUUCGAUCUACUCUCCAUUACUAAAUUGUUUGUGUAAUUUAAAUCAUAACUGAAAGUUUUCGAAUCCUAUGAUGAAGCCAAGCACAUUAACUAUAAACCAAAAGAGGAGAUGGUUUUAGUGCAUCCCUCCUCACACAUCACUAUUUAUUAGAAUAUUAUUUUUGUUUUGUUUUUUAUUUCUUUGAUUUCUUUUUCAACUCCUCACACAUCACUAUUUAUUAGAAUAUUAUUUUAUUUUAUUUUAUUUUUAUUUCUUUUUCAAUUAUUUUUUUAUCCUUUAGUUUUUUUUUUUUUGCUAUUGUUUUUUUUCUUUUUUUUACAUGUUUUUUUUUCUUUUCUUUUUUCGCUGUUGUUUCUUCUUCUGUUUUUUUUUUACAUGUUUUUUUUCUUUUUUUUUUACCCAAAAUUGACUUUUUCUUCUUCUUUUUUUUUCAAAAUUAUCUUUGCUAAUUUUUUAAAAUAUUGAGCUGGUUGAAAAUUUAACUAUAUAGUUUUUUAAAAAAAACAUUGUGGAUUGCUAUAAUAUUCUCAUACAUUGUUUUUUUUUCUUUUUUAUGAUUUUUUUUAAAUGAUCUUUGUAGAUUUUAUUUUUUUUAUAUUAAGUUGGUUGAGAAUUUAGCUUUGUAGUUUUUUUUGUUAUUUUUUAAAAAACAAUAUGGAUUGCUACAGUGUUUCCCCUACAUAGUUUUUGUUUUGCUGCAGUGUUUUCCAACAUAUAUUUUUUAAAAAGUUAUCUUUAUUGAAUUUAUUUUUUCAAUAUUGAGCUGCUUGAUAAUCUAGCUUUAGCUUUUCCCACAUGUUUUUUUAUUUGUUUUUCUUUUUUUUCCAAAAUUGUCAUUUUUUACAUAUUUUCUUCUUCUUUUUUUCAAAAUUAUUUUUGUUGAUUUUUUUUCUUACUAUUGAGCUGGUUGAAAAUUUAGUUUUUUUGUUUUUUCUUAAAAUAUUGUAUCUUUCUCCACGUGUUUUUUUUUCUGCUUUUGUUUCCUUUUUUUUACAUGUUUUUUUUUCAUUUCUUUUACCCAAAAUUGACAUUUUUUUUUUAAAAUAGUCUUUGUCGGUUUUUUUUAUAUAUUGAGCUAGUUGAGAACUUAACUUUGUAGCUUUUUUUUUUUUUAAAAAAAAAAACACUAUGACAUUAAUGUUCACAAUAUCAGUGCUGGUACUAGCAGUUUGAUGGGGUUAUCUUGAUCUUAUGACCCGGGUUGCAAGUUUGACAUGUUAACUCAGGUUAUUUUUUUAAUUAUUUUUUUUCAAUUUCAUCCUUCAAUUUUGGGUUGAUUGAGAAUUAAAUUCAUAAUUUAUUUUGAUUUGUUUUCUAUAAGGUUAUCAUAAUCUCAUAACUCAGGUCAUGAAUUUGACUUGUUAAGCUGGAUUGUCCCAAGUCAAUCUAAUAUGUUGUUAUUUUAAUAUUAAAAAAGAUAUUAUCUUGAAAUUUUGUUUAGUCAAAUAUUAUUUUUACAGGUUAUAUGGGUUGUUUUUGAAUCAAUAAAGUUAACCGGGUUGAAUCAAUAAAGUUAACCGGGUUAUAUCAAGAAAAUUCUGACUUUGUCAGAAUUUAAUUUUUUUCAUGCUAGAAAAAAAAUAUUAACAUUUAAAUAUUUGUUUUAUAUUCAAGAAAAAUUUGACUUUGUCCAUAACGUAACACAAUUAAAGUUUAUUACUAGUUAUUUUGGGAGGCUAGAAAAUUCUGCUAGAUGUGCAGACUAUUUCCUUAAUAUUAAUUAUUGAUGACAAAUAUAACUUUAUGUCCAGUUAUAAGCUGCUAGAAUUUGAACUGCCUUGGUUUAUAAUUUUUUUUUUUUGUGGAGAUGUGAAAGUAUGAAUCCUCACCAGUUGAGUGACAAACUACUGUUUAUUGGGAGAAAUGAUUCUUGAACUUUUCUUGGCCAUCUGGCAGCCUAUGAUAGAUUUCCUAAAAUUUAUUUAUGCGGCCUUCUAUCUUAAAGAAUUUGACAAGAAACGAUCGGUAGAAAUUUAUAAAAAAUUUACUUUUUAAAAUUUGAUUUAUAGUUAAAUAGAUGUUAUUAAACUUGGCUGGAUACAUCAACUUAGAAUCUAGUUAAAUUCAUCCAUUUAUAAAAAAAUCUACUUCUCAUCUAAAACUUGGCUUAAACCUGAUUAAAAAAAUUAGGUAAAAAUUAAUCUAGUUAAAUAAGAGAUCCGGUAAAUUAACUUGCAAUCCAAUCAUCUUAGUUAAAAUUUAAUUUGAUUAUUAAAGUUGUUUUCCUUAAAGCAAUGACAUUUUUUUUUUAAAUUGUGAAAUAAUUCACCCGAGUAAACUUUGUUUUUCUUAAAGCAAAAACAUUUUUUUUAAAUAGUGAAAUAAUUCACCAGAGUAAACUUUGAUUUAAACUUGAAAAUCUUGAAAUAAUUAAUUUGAAGUUAAUUAUUAGUACUCUCAUCCAAUUCUCAAUUAUAAUCAUGACACAUGUAAUUGUUUUUAUUGUUUAAGGGCUAAUUAUUUUUAUGUUUUAAAAAUAUUUUAAAAAAAUAAUUUUUUUAAAUUUUUUUGUUUCAAAUUAAUUGGUAUUUGAUAAUUUCAUAUUGUUUUAAUGUGUUGAUGUCAAAAAUAAAUUUUAAAAAAUAAAAAAUAUUAUUUCGAUACAACACAGUUAUCAUAUUCUAAAACAUACAAAGUAUUUUGUCAAAAAACUUCACAUGAAAUCAAGACAACACACAAGCAAUUCAUUCUAUCAAUCUGGAAUUGCAUUACAAAAACGUGAAAAAAUAAAAUAAAAUUCUGGAGUUAACUCAGAAUCUAGUAUUAUAAGUAAUUAAUUAUACAUGCAUCAGCUAGCGUUAAUUUGAUUCCAAUCACACCUUAGAAUCCAACCUCCGUGCUUCUUUUCGUGCGAGAUGGAUAAGAAACAGUUCACUUCGAGAUCAAGCACAUAUGCUUCAGCUAGACAGUACCCAUGAGUUGCCAUGGCCUGAAAACAUGUUCCAGGUGUCUUUGUUGAGAGACCAGUGGAAAUGAACUAGGGUUGAUGAUGAGCUGAGAGGCUCUGUUUAGGUCAUUUUAUAAGGGUCUGUUGGCUUGGGGAGGAAGGACGUCGUGUGAUGUUUAGUGGUCCAAAUGGAACUUGAAAGUGAAGUAUUUGUAAUUUUUUAGUGGACAAUGUCAUGGCAGCGUAGAAACUUUGUGGAAAUGGACAAUUAAAAAAACAGGGGAUGUAAGAAACCCUUGUUUUUAGUUAUUAGUGAUUAUGUGUGCAACAUCCGGAAUUUUGCAUUGAAAGAAAGGAAGAAAUUAUGUAGAGGAAACACACCCUUGGACUUGUAAAUGUUAUACAUACUUAAUACAUGAACUCCUAACCAGUUACCGAAGGUAACCUCAACUUAUAAUUACUCUGUUUAGAGAAAGCUGCCAACUCUUGUUGAAGCCAUUGCAUGCAUUCUGAUGAACUUGGACUGGGCUUUCCACUAUUGCAAUCUUGGGCUACAAGCUCUGGGAUGCUUCUAACAGAGACACAAUAAUGGGAGAAAUGAGUGUGUAGCUCUUGAAGACAAAAUGUCAAAUCUUUCAUUUGGUAAGGGUGAUCGAUGUUUGUUCUUUGAAGAUCAUGCAGUUAUUGAUCCUGUCUUGCAUCUUAAACUCUUUUGACGAGGAGCUUGCGUGCGAGAUUCAGAGGAAGAUUGAUGAAGAUGGACCGGGCUUUCCACGAUUGCAAUCUUGGGCUUCUUCUAGGUUUGUAAUUCCAUUGUAAUCGUUCAAGUUGGCCAUGACAAAGACACAAUCAUUGAAGAAAUAAGUGUGUAGCACUGGAAGAUUGAAUGAAGAAUCUUUCAUUUUGUAGGGGUGAUCGUAGUUUUAUUUAUUGAUCGGGUCUUGCAUCUUGAUGUCGGCAAAUGCUUUUUUUGUUUUUCCGACCUAUAUAGCAAUAAAAUUUGAAAUCACCGACAAAAAAAAAACUGACGGACAUAUUCUAUCAGUAAAUAAUUUACCGAUGAACUCUUAAUCAUACACCGAUAGAAUAUUUUCAUCGGUAAAACUCCGAAAUCUUGUAGUGUGAAUAUGACUUGCUAAGGAAUGUUGUUUAUAACGAGAGAGACUCCUUCAGAGAGUUGGAGAAUGAGUUUUCUCAUGUCUGCUAGCUUGCACGUUGUUUUAUCCUGUUUCUUAAAGGAACUGAAGUUGUUUUUGUACACAUAAUAGAGCUAGAUGUUAUGUUUUUCAUAAAGAGAGUGAAAAAGUUCGAAGCUAUUGUUAUAUUGAUACAACACCAUUGUUGAGCACUUUCACCUGAUAUAUGAUUUACUGGAGAUUUUGAGCAGUUGGAAUAUUGAGAGAUUUGUUAUUAUUUCAUGUUCUGAAGUUUCAAAUCGUUAUCCAUUAAAAGAAUUUUUGGUUACUCUUACUAGCUUUCCACUAAUAAAGUCAAGAAAACUUCAUGGUUGAAUUAAGCUUUUUGAGACUUCAAUCUUGGAUCGGUGGAGUGAUAAGCUUUGUGAGGGCGAGCCCGUUUAUAGGAUUUGUACAUAUGUUUUGUUAACCCAGGUACUUUCAAUUUUAAUAUAUAUAUAUAUAUAUAUAUAUAUAUAUAUAUAUAUAUAAAAGUUACAUUUAAUUUAUGAAAUUAUUAUUUUAUAUUUAUAGUAAUGUUAGAUCUUAACUUGUAUUGGUGUAAAUAUUUUAUAUGACAUAUGAUUGGUUAAUUAUUGAUUUUAUUCUUAAACAUAUUUGGAUAAAUGAUUUAAUAACUAAAUAAAUCUUAAUUUAAUUAUAUUAUCUUCUUAGCCAUAAGUUUUUUUUUUUAUGAUAUAUAUAUAUAUAUAUAUAUAUAUAUAUAUAUAUAGACACACACACAUUUAUCAUUUUUGAUAGGUGUAGAAGUUGCUAUUUUAAAUUAUUUAAAAUAAAAAUUUUAAUACUCAUAUAAAAUAAUUAUAUUAUCAUUUUUCCUUAAAAAGAUCUAAAAAAGAUAUGAGCUUUGGUAGAAUUUUUGUUUUGGUAGGAUUUUAGGUUUUGGGGCGUUUUAUUGGGUUUUUGGUGGCCAUGGAUUGACUUAACAAGGUCUCUAGGGUCUUUUCUAGGUGUCUUGGAUAAAAUAUAAGUUGAAAAUUGAUUUUUGGGUAAAAAAAAUAAAAGACCUUGUUUUCCCGGCCAUCAUAAUAGCUGAAUUCUAGGUUGCGCAAACGACGCAUCAUUGUUUCGAGGCAAUAUAAUUUUUUUUUUAAAUAAAGACCUGCGCAUUAGCCGUUGCUUUAUUGGGUCAGAUGUUAGGUGUGGCUUGCCUGGCCCAACAGUGCCUGGCCUGAUUUUUUUUUUUUUAAUUUUUAGUUUUGUGUGUAAUUAAUCAAAUAAAUAUUAGGUUUAUGUUUUAAUUAGAUUGUGAUUAAUUUUAAAUGAUAUUGAUUAUGUUUAAUUUUUAAAGAGGUAAGUAUGAUUCAUUUGUGAUUUUUUUCUUAAUUUUAUAUAGAUUAAAUUUGUUUUUUUAAUAAGAAUUUUUAUAUGUGCAGCCUUACAUUGUUUUUUUUAAUUAUUAUUCAAAAAUUUUUAUGUGAGUGUUAGUUUCUAUUACAAAUUUAGUUUGAUAGAGGGGUUCAUUAAACACAAUCAUGUAAAUUACCCAUAUUGUAAUUUUAACACUCAUUAUUUUUAUUGUAGUUUCUUGAUUUUUUAUUUUUGUGUUGUUUUUCCUGUGAUUUUAACCCUCAUAUUUUUUCUAUGUAUAAUGCUUUUUUCCUAUAACCUAGUUCAUUGUUUAAAAAGUUAACAUGAAUUGACUUUUUUUGUCUUAUUUUUUUUAUAUUUAUUUAUUUUUCUUUUUAUAUAAUUAUUUUAUUCUCUUUUAAUUUUUAUUUUAUUAACAAAUAAGAUUAUUGAGAUGUUUUGAAAAUAUUAUGAAGAUAUAGUUAUAUAAUAUUGACAAACGUUCGCAUUGAAUUAUUUUUUUUUUCUUAUUUUAUUUGUUGUCAACAUCAUUAAAUUAACUAAUUUUAUUAAAUUUAUUAGAGCAAAUUACCUAUAUAUUAUUUUUAAAAAAAUAAUUUUUAAUAUUUUUAUAGUAAUUGGUACUUGUGGCUGGACCCGCCUAACUAGUCUUAGCUGUAAACAUAUCAUGUUAUGCCAUCCAUGUCACAAACUCAUUUAAAGCUUGACGCAUUGGUCAAUUAUUUUAUAUUUCAGUGUUUUGUGACAUUAACAAUGAAGUUAUUGAUUGAAGCAUUGGUCCACACUCUUAGUGUCUUUCAUGGCGAAGACCCCCCCCCCCCCUCCAUGUGCACUCAGGUCAAUGAUGAACAAUUGUAGGGUUCUUGGUUAUUACGCAAUAUUUUUUUUGGGCGCCAAACCUGACCUUUGAAGAUGUCAUUGACAGUGCCGCCCCAUCUUUUAUUUUUUUGUUUUUUUAUUGUGUGGGUGGCGCAAUAAUUUAAUAUAUGUUUAUUUUUAUAUUUCAAAAAUAUUUUUUAAAAAUUUAAAAAUUAAUAUAUUUUUAGUGUUUUUAAAUUAUUUUGAUAUGUUAGUAUUAAAAAUAAUUUUUAAAAAAUAAUAAAAAAUUAUUAAUAUAUAUUUUGACACGAAAAAUUAUUUGUAAAACAAUCACACUACUAAAUAAUAUCAAAUAAUUGUUGGAUUGUAGAGGAUUGUUCUCAUAAUUUUUUUUAUAUUUGUUUUUAUUUCAGUUUUUAUUCUAUUAAUUUUUUAUUUUUUUAUUUGAUACUUUUAUUUAAAAUUUUAAUCGCUUUCAAUAAAGCUUGUCGGUGGUAAGACACACUCCGAAGCAACCUGUGGUUCCACGACAAAAAUAUGAGCUCUUUCUUUUCCGUGGUCCACCACCUUUAAUUUCUUUCAUGGCAAGACUUUUGCCCCCAUGAGUAAGCAGGUCAAUGACGAAGAAUUGUAGGGUUCUUGGUUAUUUCUCCCUGCAAUUCCUUCACAAUUAUGUGAUAUAUUGAUUUUUUUCGCAUUUGAAAUGAGUUAGAGUAUUAGAUGUUAAAUAAUAUUUAUAUAGUUUUAUUUAAUAAAAAUAAAAUAAUACUUUCAGUUUGAAUCUAUAUAUAUUUUAUUUAUAUUUAGGUUAGGAUUAUACACUCAUAAUAUAUAAAUUAUUCAAAAUUUUAGUAUUUUUUAUAUAUUUGAUUUUAAUUAUUUUAACACUAAAUUACUUAAAUAUGAUGAAUAAAGGGUUGGAUUUGUAAAAUUAUUUACACAUUUUAAUUUGUCGAUCGUCAUUUUCUGCUGUAUCAUCGACGUUCUUCCUUCCUCCAACCAUUUCGAACACUAAUAUCCCAAAGCUGUAAACAUCUGAUUUAUAGGAAACACUCCCGAAGUUCCUCGAGAACACUUCUGGGGCAAUGUAGCCAACAGUCCCCCUAGCAGUCGUCAUGGAAAUGGCACUUUUAUCCUUGGAACACAACUUACCAUCCCAAAAUCGGCGAUUUUGGGAUUGAAUUCGUUGUCAAGCAGGAUAUUCUGUGGUUUGAUAUCAAAAUGGAGGAUUCUUUGAUCACACCCCUGGUGAAGAUAUUCAAUCCCCUUGGCUAUGCCUAUAGCAAUUAUUCUUUAUAUAUAUAUAUAUAUAUAUAGAGUAAUUGACUUUUUUUUUUCAUUUUUUUUCUUUCUAUACAAUUAUUAUAUUUUUUUUAAUUUUUAUUUUACUAACAAAUAAGAUCAAUGAGAUAUUUUAAAAAUAUUAUAAAGAUAUUGUUUUAUAAUAUUGACAAACAUUUAUUUUUUAUAUUGAAUCAUUAUUUUUUUCUCAUUUUAUUUAUUAUAAAAAUAAAAUAUACUUCCAUAAUAUUUAUAAUUAUUCUAUUCUCAUUAAUCAUGGUAAAAAUAAUUGGCCCGUGGCGCGACAUCCUAACUAGUCUUAUCUAUAAACAUAUCAUGUUAUGCCACAUACUCAUUACACAUUGGUCAAUUAUUUUAUACUGAUUGGAACGUUAAAGAGCCGGUCAAUUAUUUUAUAUUUCAGUGUUUUGUGACAUUAGCAAUGAAGUUACUGAUUGAAACAUUAUUCGUAAUUUAUUUUUGUGUUUUAAAAAUAUUUUUAAAAUUUUAAAAUUUAUUUAAUUUUUUAAAAAAUUAAUAUAUAUUUUUAAUAUUUUUAGAUUAUUUUAAUACAUUAAUAUCAAAAAUAAUUUUUAAAAAAUAAUAUAUAUAUAUAUAUAUAUUUUUAAAUAAAAAUAUUUUAAUAAAUAACUAUAAUUAUACUUUCAAACAAAUUCAGUUGCUUUCCUGACGAAGACAUUUCCCCGUGCGCACUCAAGUUAAUAAUGAUGAAGAAUUGUAGGGCUCUGGGUUAUUACGCGUUAACGAGUUGUUGGUGUCCCCAACAUUGGAGAUGCCACCAUAUCUUUUUCUUUUUCUCUUUUAAAGCUGUGAGCGUGAUAACAUGUGAUUAUUGAAUUGUCGCUUAUUGUUUCCUUAUUAUUUUUGAUAUUUUAUUUUUAAUUUUUAAUUUUUAAUUUUUAAUUUUUAAUUUUAUUCUUAUAUUUUAUAUCAAAAUUUUAUUUAUUUUUCAAUUAUAAUUUUAUUUAUUUCAGUUUUUAUUCUAUUAAUUUUUAAUUUUUUUAUUUGAUACUUUUAUUUAAAACUUUAAUCGCUUUCAAUAAAGCUUGUCGGUGGUAAAACACACUCCGAAGCAACCUGAGGUUCAACGACAAAAAUAUGAGCUCUUUCUUUUCUGUGGUCCACCACCUUUAAUUUCUUUCAUGGCAAGACUUUUGCCCCCAUGCGCAAGCAGGUCAAUGACGAAGAAUUGUAGGGUUCUUGCUUAUUUCUUCUGGUCCAGAAGUCUCUGCCGUGUAACAAUCUAUGGGUAGAAAUUAAUGGCAAAGGGAAGAGAUGAAAGAAGAAGGUCCAUCAAAAUCCUUCUAUCCUCCCUGCAAUUCCUUCAGAAUUCUAGGACUUGUUUAUUUUUGUAUUUUUAAAAUAUUUUAAAAAAAAUUAAUUUUUUUUAUUUGUUUAAAAUUAAAACACGUCAAUUACAAGAUAUUAAAUAAUCAAAGAAAACAUCCAAGUUUAACAUCAUAAAAUAAUAAUAAAUUAGUUCAUUGUAUAGAGAACAAUAAAUUUGUCUUAAUAAAAAAUUAAAUGAAAUCAAUCGUAUGAAAGUGAAAUAAAACAAUAAGUGAUGCCUAAUCCUUUGAUCUCCCACCAACAAUCUUUUAGCAAUAUUUUGUUGAAAACGUGUACCUCUGAUCUUACAGUUUUGUUCUUAGUUUUAUUGUCUUCAUUUGUAUUCUAUCAUUUGAAUUUUCAGACUAGUAGGUAAACAUAAAUGCAUCUAGCAACAAUUUCUCCAAGUUUUUUUUAUUGAAUCUAUGAAGAGAAUUUCAAGAAGUUAAUUAUAAAUUUAUAUAAACUCUUGUAUUAAAACAAUCAAAUUAUAUUAUAAAAUUAAUUUUGUUAUUAAUACUGUGUUGAAUUCAGAAUUUGUGAUCUAAAUAGUUAAUUUGAUCAUAGUUUGGCGAGUUUUUUUUAUCUUUUUUGAUCUGAAAAAUAUUUAUCUUGAAAUUUUGUUAGAAAAGAAUAUCAUUGCAUUGACAUGGUCUUGAUGAUGACUUACCAAAAUAAUUUUGAAUUGUCGAUGCUCCAUAGAGUGUUUAAGGCACAAGCCACUCUCUCCCAGGGAAGCAAUGAUUUUUAGUCCAAGUUAUCAUGUGCGUGCUUGAAAGUUUUUUUGUCCCGUAAUUGCAGCAAAAUUUGAAUUUUGCACCUAAAACGAUCGAUAGCAAAAACAAUCUGUAAUUUUUCUUGUAAAGAUCUGUAAAGUAAUUAUAAGAUCUGGACUUGGAUUUAGAACUUGAAAAAUCUUCUAAAUGAAUAAUAGAAAAGAAAAGAGAAGAGAAGAAAAGAAAGAAAGCUAAGCUUUACAACUGGAAAAAACAUUAUCAGCACUGGAUAAAUAUGAGAUGUUUAAGUUAAGUUGAUGCUGAAAUUCUGAAAUGUUUAUUUCUAUCACCCUCCCGAUCACUCCUUACAUAAAUAGCAUGACGUCAUAGCUUCACUAUGAGGUAAAGGUUCCAAUACCAAAAUACAAAACAAUCCCUAGAAAUAAUAAAAUCCUAAUUUCAUCCCCGGAAUAAUAGCAUAUGGCUAGAAAUCAUGGAACAUUGUCAACUGUGCUCAGCAAACUUUCAGGAUCUACUUCAAUUUUCUUAAGAGAAGGGGAAAUAGCGAUCGGGAUCCUCGUUAGCUGCGGGCAAUCACGCACAGUAAUUUCUUCGAGAGAAUCGCAUUGAAGUCUUCGAGAACAAAUGCUAUUCAAAUUUGGUAAUUUCUUCAAUACCAAAACCCUCAAUUUAUCAAUGGGAGUGCAUGUCGUCGGAACAGAACGACCCAAAAGAGUAAUGGGCAUGGAGCCACUUCCCAUUAUCUCCUGCAUGUUGUGACAAUCUUCGACUACAAUCACUUUCAAUCGGACUGUAGACAACAACCAAUGAGGGAGCAGCACCUUCAUCCUAUGACAUUUAUGUAUCACCAUCUCUCUGAGUCGGCGAAAGACACCAGCAUUACGUAGCUCUGAAGGUGCUUCAAAAAGGGUUUCUAAGAUUAUCAAACGAUCAAGGUGUAGAAUCUCAAGACCUGCACUUUCAUGUGAUCGAAAUAAGCUUCUCAUGUUUUGACAACUCACAAAAACUGCUUUUGUAGUGAAGUACAAAGAAGUUGCAUUUUCACUCAUGAGGUCAUAAAACCAAGCCUCUUUAAUUAACGUUGACUUCGAUCUUGUAUAAUUUAGAUCUUCGAGUGAAGAGAAAGAAGGUCGUCCUACAGUAACCUUGAAUGCAAUUUCUGAAAAUUUCUCUCCAGAUUGGAAAACUCUGAAAUCGUCUAGAUCACGGAAGUUGCAUUCCAAAGUUUCCAAACCAUAUAAUCUGGAAACUUCAUCUCCUCUAACUGAGAGAACAACUUCAUAUUUCUGAUGAAGCUUGAGGAACUUUAAUUUUAAGAGUUGGGGUAAAAUACCCGACCGUAAAACACGCACCCCGCGCUUCCAUCAAGAUUAAGAUACCUGAGAUCCUCCAGCCUUUCCAUUCCCUCGGGCAAAUCUUCAAGUCCAGUGUAACUGAGAUCCAACUUCUCCAAUGCCUUAAGCUUUGCUAAUGAUGGUACAUAACUCAGCUUUGCACACCAUCCCAGCAACAAUGCAGUGAGACUCGUCAGAUGAGAAAUAGAAUCCGGCAACUUCUCUAUAUCUGUGUCGGAAAGAUCAAGAACCUUGAGUCCGAUAAGGUGUUGGAAAAAAGAAUCCUCAACCAAAUUCAAUUUGUAGUUUCUGCAUAACAAUAAUGUUGAGAGACGGGGGCACAUUGGUGAAAAGCCUUUUGGAAUAUUCUCGAUUCUAUUUUCCAUUAGUGAAACUCUUAACAGUUUCUCUCUCCACCUUCUUACAGCGGGUAAUUCUGUUAGUUGUGCACCUGCUUGAACCAUAGCCCCCCCACUUUCGUUCAAUAUUUUCCAAGCCAUAUCCCAAAUCAAAUCAUGCAUCUUGACAUAUCUGUAAUCUUCAUCGUCCCUGGAACCUUCUAAUAAGCUGGCAUUUUCAAGUUGAUUAAGCAUGGUAUGGCCCCGAUCAAAUUGUGCUUGCCUACUCCACAUAUCUUGGACUAUACCCUCAACAAUCAAAUACUCUAUCAACUCCUCUCUCCUGAUCUUCUUGCCUUUUGGAAACAAUGCACAAUAUAAGAAGCAAUCUUUAAUCGCUUUAUGUUUUAACUGAACAUAGCUAAAUUUCAAUAUCUGAAAUACAUCAGUUUCCGUGUCACAUGUUCCAAUUUCUGAACUUGCCGGUUCCCGCAAUGCAUCUCUCCACUGAGAUACAUCAUCCACUCCCCUCAUGCUUCCAGCCUUGUCAUGAUUCCGAGAGGCAAACCAGAACACUUCUUCACAAUAGACACUGCAGUUUUUUUCAUUUCAGGACUAAGUGUAACACCAUGCCCUAAUCUGUCUAUAAACAAAUCCCAAGCCUCACUCUCAGAAAGAGGCUCCACUUUGAUUAUCCUUUGGCAAUCCAUUUUUCGACAUGUGUCCAAUGAUCUAGUUGUAAGAAUCAGCUUACACCCAUCUGUUUUAAGAGGUAUUCCCACUUUAUCAAGAGGAAAAUGAUUCCACAAAUUAUCAAUAAUUAAAACACAUUUUGUCACACUCAAUGUAGUCCAUAGCUUCCCGGCUCUAUUCACCUCAUCUUUUCCAUUCCCAAGAUGCAAACCAAAAGCUUCGGCAAUGAGAUCCUGCAAUACGUGAACGCUAAAUUCUUGAGGCACAGAAAUCCAACAAACACGAAGGAAAAUGUCUGGUUUCUCUUGAAGCUGAUUGUGGAUAUGUGUAGCCAAAGUUGUCUUUCCAAUUCCCCCCAUCCCGUAAAUGCCAAUGCAUAAGACCUCAUCAUUCAACAACCAAGAGCAGGCACCCUUCAUAUUUCUUUCAAACGCUUGGCCCACCACUAGCUUUGUUGUCGGCAAUACAUAUCUUCCAGUCCUACGUUUCUUUUGUACAGGCCUUCUAGAAGAGGGUCGUCUCUCAACAGCAGACUGCAUCAAUUCCGGACUCAUGGUCAGUCUACCAGUUCUUAACUCAAACUCCCUCAUUGAUGAGGAUGAGAUGUUAUUCAAGUUCAUUUCAAAUGACUGAUGUGCUUGCUCAGUUCUUUGUCUAGUCUCGGGUUCAUCUGGCAUAAGAACGACAGGAGCUCUAGGUUCCUCGACAAGCUCAGUCUCCCCCCCAUUCAGAAAACUCUUCCAUCCUUGUUCAUCCGAAAGAGGUUGUUCUUCUUGUUCCAUUUCAAAGCCCCGCAAAGCAGUUGAAGCUGCAUUAAUUCCCUCGUUAUUGCUUGAACUUGGCACACUCUUAUCUACAGGCAUUUUAGAACAGCUUCCUCUCUCGGUAACAGCCUGCAUCAAUUCCCGACUCCCUAUACCACUGCUUAACUCAACAUCCCUCGUCAAUGAAGAUGUGAUGUUAUUCAUAUCCAUUUCAAAUGGUUGAUCUGCUGUCUCUAUUCCCAAUCCAGUCUCAGGUGCAUCAGGCAUAAGCAUGCCAGGGGCUCUGGUUUCCUCAGUAAGCAAAAUCUCUCCCCCAAUCAAGCUAUCCAUCCAUGACAGUCCAUCAUCCAAAAGAGAUUGUCCUUGUUGCAUUUCUAAAUCUUGCGCAGGAUCUGAAUCUGCAGUAACUAUUAUAUUAUUGUUUGAAGUCGGCAUACUCCCACGCAUUCUGUCAGGAAGCUUAUCAAACGCUGCUCGUUGAACAUCUGGAGUUACUUUUUCACAAAUUUUAACACCACCACCUCCAACUCUUGCUAGAUGAUAUUUCAUCCUUGUACUGGAAGUACUUCCAGCCAAUAUCUUCUUGAAAAGGAGAAGAAGCUAAGUUUAAGAUAAAAAGAAAAAUUAAUUACAGGUGUUUCACUGUCUAAACCAAAGUCAAGUUAAACCACUCCAAAGAUCGUAGUGUUCUUUUCUCUUUACUUCCCCAAUAAUUCUACAACUGGUCAUAUCAGUAAUUUAAUAACCAGUAUGUUUCCUUUUGCUUAGAAGAAUCAAACUACAUGAGUUGGAAAAGAAAUGGUAUGAAAUUAUGCUAAAAUUAAUCAAACUUAAUUACCUGAGCAGCAGAAGCAGCAAAAUGUUAUCCAAUGCUUUGAUUAAAUCAGAAGAAAGAAGAUGGACGGGAAAGUGUGAGUGUGUUGGAGACGAGUGAUAGAGCUUAACGGCUUGCGUGGUUGUGGAUAAGGAUAGAUUCAGACAGUCAGAGAAGCAGAUGACAGUGAAAAAAGUAAAAUGGACUUCUGUCGUUCAUGGAUGUCAUAUGGACAUGUUGUUGGUCUUCCAGGAAGCGGAUCCGGCGAGGGGUGCUCUAGUGAAGGCGGUGGCUGAUGAUAGUCUCCUCGUGUGGUGGACAGCACGCCAGCUUUGCAAACGAUGAGAAAGAGCACGAUCCACCACAAAACAGCAGAAGAGAAAGCAGUAGGCCGAGGGAAGAAAAGGGAGCAGAGUCGACCGAGAGAGAAGUAGAGCUGACCUAGAGAGCGGUAUCUUCACAAAUGGAGAGGUUUGUGUUUUCUGUAGCUGGUAGAAAAAAGACACAGAGGAUGAUAGACAACUGAGAUGGAGAGCACCUGUUUGUUUGCUGGUUUAAAACAAAAAGAACUUAUUUUCUAGAAAAUAAAUUAUUUAUAUAUAUAUAUAUAUAUAUAUAUAUAUAUUCAAGAAAAAUUAUUUAUAAAAUAUUUUUCAAUACUAGGUUAUAUCAUAAAAAAUAGUAAAAAAUAGUUUAUUUAUUUAUAUUUUAAUAAUUUUUUAAGUUGAUUAAAAAAAUAAAAAUUACUAAAAAAAAUAGAAAAUAAAUUUGAUAAAUAAAAAAAAUUAAAAUAAUAAUUUCAUUAAUUAUUUUAAAUAAGAUAAAUAUCAAUUAAAUUAAUAAAAAUCAAAUCUAAUAAAUUAAAAAUUUCAAUUAAAAGAUAACAAUCAAAAGAAAAUAAAGACUAAAUUUAAUAUAAAAAUCGAAUUUUAAAUGAUAAAAUUAAAAAAAUUAAAAUAAAAUAUAUAGAAGCUUAAACAUUAAGGAUCAAAUUUGAUAUAAUUAAUAAAUAACAAGAUAUUUUUUAAAUUUAGUCAACUUUUUAUAUAUUAAUGUCAAAAAUUAAAAAUUAAUACUAAAAAACUAAUAAUUGAUUUAAUAUAUUUCAAAUAAAAAUUAUUUUAAAAAAUACCAUUUAUUUGAAUUCCAAGCACUUUUGUCAUUUUAGGUUUUAUUUCAAUCAUACCUCAACAAUAUUUAUUUACAACGCAUACAAUUAAUUUAGUUAUUUUAAUAUAUUUUAUUAUUUAAUUUAUUGAUAUGAAAAAUAAAUUUUUUAAAAUAAAAAUUUUAAAAAUUAAUUAUUACCUCUAUGUGAAACACCAUUAAUUUUCUCUUCUUUCCGUUGCAUCAUUGGCUUCUACGCCUGCAAAUCUAGGUACCUUUUUUAUAUAUAAAAAAAAAUUCAUUACUUUCUGCUAAAAACAACCAAGUUAGUGACAGUUUAUGCAUGCCUUGAAAUGAGAAUGAAUUUGGCGUGCGUUAGUGAGUGGUUUGUGACAUUGUUAAAACUUCAUAUGUUUAGAGGUUGGUUUCUUGGGGAGAGGUUCAUUCUAAAGAUUGAUUUAGCUUUCUCUUCUCUUCUCUUCUCUCCUGUUUUUUUAUCAGAGUUAUCUUUGCAUAGACAAUGAACUUCGGGUGAGCCCCACAGGUUACAGCCAAGUAAACAACGAGAAUGCAUGCUCCCGCCAGCCUGCAAAAUCUAGCACAAAGCAAUCGUUUGGGUCAUAGUCUAAGGCCUUAGCCCACAGCCAAUCUCGAAAUGGAAUGAUUCUUUUAUUUAUUUUUUGUUUUUUGCAUUUAGGACUCUCAUUUCUUCGUAUGUUUACUUUGUUUAAUUUUCUAAUCAAAGCUAAAGCUCGGUUGACUUGAUCAUGAUGAUCGGAUUCACAGUCUAAAAGUCCUCAUCAAUAUAAAUUAUCAUUUUAAAUUUGUUUUUUUAUAUAUAUUUAUUUUUUUAUAAGAUUUUUCAUAUGUGUAGCCUUGCAUUGUUUUUUUUAAUUAUUAUUCAAUAAAUUUUAUGUGUGUCAAUUUCUAUUAUAAAUAUUAUGUGUUUUUCUAUUACAAAUUUAUUUUGAUAAAAAAGUUCAUUAAACAUAAUUAGAUAAAUUAUCCGUGUUGCGAUGUUAGAUAUCUUGAUCUUCAUUUUUUGCUUGGUUUUCUCAAUUUCAUUUUUGUUUAUUGUUGAUGAAUCUUUUUUUCAUUGCUUUACACAAAUGGUUAUUGAUUUAUUUAAUUAGAUGCGUGCAUAAGCUUUUCGAUUAACAUCUAAGAGUUUUUUUUAGUGUAAAAAAACAUGUUGAAUAAUUUUAUAUAUUCAUUUUUUUAUAUUAUGUUUUGAUGUUUAAGAUUUGAUGCUUAUUCUUAUGAAUUUUUUUUUUAAUAUUUUUUCCCUUGAAUCUUUUAUAAAAGUUUUAUUGUUUUUAGUUUCACCCUUCAAUUCAAGUCUAUAGUGUAUUUUUUUUUAUGUCUUUGUUCUUUUGAUUUUUGUCAUUUUGUUAAUGUUUUUAUUUUUUUCAAUUCAACUCUCAAAUUUAAAAUUUAUUGUUGCCGUUUGAUUUAUUUUUUAUUGCAAUUUUAACACUCAUUAUUUUUAUUGUAUUUUCUUGAUUUUGGAUUUUUUCUGUGAUUUUAACCCUCACACUUUUUUCAUGUAUAGUGCUUUCGAUUUUAUAACCUGGGUCACGGUUUAAAAAGUCAACAAUAAUUGAUUUUUUUAUCUUUUUUUUUUAUUUCUCUUUCUACGCAAUUAUCUUAUUUUCAUUAGUUUUUUUUACUUUAUUAACAAAUAAGAUCAUUGAGAUAUUUUAAGAAUAUUAUGAAGAUAUAGUUCCAUAAUAUUGGCAAACUCAUCUUUUACAUUGAAUCGUUGUUUUUUUUUUUUUCGUUUUAUUUGUUGUCGAUAUUUUAUUUUCUAAUGAUAUUAUUAAAUUAACCGAGUCAAUUGAACUCAUUAGAGCCAAUUACCUUAAGGCUUUAUUGUUCUUCACUUGUGCAACUAGGAUGUUUAUAAUAUGUUUUUUAAGAUUCUAACAGCACCACCAUAAUUUAAAUGCACUUCUAAAUAAAGUACUCAAAUAUAAAAAAAUAUAGAGUUGUUAACUAAUGUUUUAAAUGAAGUAAAAAUACAUGUUUGACCUUAGAAAAUACAAAAACAUAUGGUAUGCAUCCGAGGAUUUUUUUUUUCCUUUCACACAUCUUUUUUGUAAUUAUCAAGGUCAUGGGGAACAUUUAGGUAUUUUUAUAUUGAAUUUUUAAUUUUUUUUUAAAGAAAGUUGUUGCCAUGUGCUCAUUACGGGCUAAUGAGUUGUUGGCAUCUGUGUCAUUUGGAUGGUGUGUGUGGCACCUCCUGGUGGUCAAACCUGACUUUCCGACAUGUUUUUGGAGGUGCCACCAUGUCCUUUUUUAUGGUGUGGCGCGUGAUGGCAUAUGGUUGUCGGAUUAUUGCUGACUGUCCUUUUUGUUUUUGAUAUUUUAAUUUUCAUCUUUAUUUUUUUAAUUUUUUAUUUCGUUUUUAUUUUUUAUAUAAAGAUUUAAUUUGUUUUUAAUUUAAAUAUUUAAUUAUAAUUUUUUAUAUGUUUUUUCAUUUUAGAUGUCUUUAUUCUUUUAAAUUUUAAUUUUUUUUUAUUAAAAUUCUAUUUGCUUUCAAUAAAGUUUGUCAAGGUAAGAGACACUCCGAAGCAACCUGUGGUUCAACGACAAAAAUAUUAAAUCACAUCGCUUUUAAAAUAUUUUAUAUUUCAGUCUUUUGCGGCAUUAGCAAUGAAGUUACUGAUUGAAACAUUGGUCCACCACCCUCAUGUCAAUGAUGAAGAAUUGUAGGGUUCUUGGUUAUUUCUUCUGGUCGAGAAGUCUGUGCCUUGUACAAAUCUAUCGCGGCAUGAAAGAUGUACGUAUUAUAGCGUAGAAAUUAAUGGCAAAGAGAAGAGAUGAAAGAAGAAGGACCUUCAAAAUAAUAUUAUUACAUUUGGUGUUAUAAAUAAUAUGAUUUUUAUAAUAAUUCAAAUUAAUGGCGAAGGGAAGAGAUGAAAGAAGAAGGAUGAAUGCAAACCUAUCCAUCAAAAUCCUUCUAUCCUCCCUGCAAUUCCUUCCAAAUUAUGUGCUACAAUGAUUUUCUUCGCGAUUGAAGUAAGUUAGACUGGAUUGCCUAAAUAUGAUGAAUAAAGAGUUGGAUUGGUAAAAUUAUUUACACACUUUAAUUUGUUGAUUUGAUACAUCUCAAUCUGUGAAUUAACAGAGAAGAAGAAGAAGAAGCUAGUACUAAACCAAUAAGUUUACACAUAAUCCAUGAACGUAUCUCACAGGUCACAACAUUUUCCUUCAUUAUUGUUCCCGCAAUCCAUCUCUCCACUGAGAUACAUCAUCCACUCCCCUCAUGCUUCCAGCCAUUGUCAUGAUUCCGAGAGGCAAACCAGAACACUUCUUCACAAUAGACACUGCAGUUUUUUUCAUUUCAGGACAAAGUGUAACACCAUGCCCUAAUCCGUCUAUGAACAAAUCCCAAGCCUCACCCUCAGAAAGAGGCUCCACUUUGAUUAUCCUUUGGCAAUCCAUUUUUCGACAUGUGUCCAAUGAUCUAGUUGUAAGAAUCAGCGUACACCCAUCUGUUUUAAGAGGUAUUCCCACUUUAUCAAGAGGAAAAUGAUUCCACAAAUUAUCAAUAAUUAAAACACAUUUUGUCACACUCAAUGUAGUCCAUAGCUCCCCGGCUCUAUUCACCACAUCUUUUUUAUUCCCAAGAUGUAAACCAAAAGCUUCGGCAAUGAGAUCCUGCAAUGCGUGAACGCUAAAUUCUGGAGGCACAGAAAUCCAACAAACACGAGGGAAAAUGUCUGGUUUCUCUUGAAGCUGAUUGUGGAUAUGUGUAGCCAAAGUUGUCUUUCCAUGUCACUUGGUCCAACUUUUGAUCCAACUUGGCUUCCAUGUCACUUGGUCCAACCUUUGAUCUUCUCAGUUCUAGCAAUGCAUCUCUCCAACGAUAUUCAGCAACCACUCCCUUCAUGCUUUGAGCCAUUGUCAUGAUUCCAAGAGGCAAACCAGCACACUUCUUCACAAUAGACUUUGCGAUCUUUUUCGUUUUAGGAUGAAGUGUAACACCAUGCCCUGAUCUGUCUAUGAACAGACCCCAAGCCUCACCCUUAGAAAGAGGCUCCACUUUGAUUAUCCUUUGGCAAUCCAUUUUUCGACAUGUGUCCAAUGAUCUAGUUGUAAGAAUCAGCUUACACCCAUCUGUUUUAAGAGGUAUUCCCACUUUAUCAAGAGGAAAAUGAUUCCACAAAUUAUCAAUAAUUAAAACACAUUUUGUCACACUCAAUGUAGUCCAUAGCUCCCCGGCUCUAUUCACCACAUCUUUUUUAUUCCCAAGAUGUAAACCAAAAGCUUCGGCAAUGAGAUCCUGCAAUGCGUGAACGCUAAAUUCUUGAGGCACAGAAAUCCAACAAACACGAGGGAAAAUGUCUGGUUUCUCUUGAAGCUGAUUGUGGAUAUGCGUAGCCAAAGUUGUCUUUCCAAUUCCCCCCACCCCGUAAAUGCCAAUGCAUAAAACCUCAUCAUUCAACAACAAAGAGCAGGCACCCUUCAUAUUUCUUUCAAACGCUUGGCCCGCCACUGGCUUCGUUGUCGGCAAUACAUAUCUUCCUGUCCUACGUUUCUUAUGCACAGGACUUUUAGAAGAGGGUUGUAUCUCAACAUCAGACUGCCUCAAUUCCGGACUCGUGGUCAGUCUACCAAUUCUUAACCCAAAAUCCCUCAUUGAUGAUGAUGAGAUGUUAUUCAAGUUCAUUUCAAAUGACUGAUGUGCUUGCUCUGUUCUUUGUCUAGUCUCGGGUUCAUCUGGCAUAAGAACGACAGGAGCUCUAGGUUCCUCGACAAGCUCAGUCUCCCCCCCAUUCAGAAAACUCUUCCAUCCUUGUUCAUCCGAAAGAGGUUGUUCUUCUUGUUCCAUUUCAAAGCCCCGCAAAGCAGUUGAAGCUGCAUUAAUUCCCUCGUUAUUGCUUGAACUUGGCACACUCUUAUCUACAGGCAUUUUAGAACAGCUUCCUCUCUCGGUAACAGCCUGCAUCAAUUCCCGACUCCCUAUACCACUGCUUAACUCAACAUCCCUCGUCAAUGAAGAUGCGAUGUUAUUCAUAUCCGUUUCCAAUGGUUGAUCUGCUGGCUCUAUUCCCAAUCCGGUCGCAGGUGCAUCGGGCAUAUGCAUGCUAGGAAUCAUGGUCUCCUCAGUAAGCACAAUCUCUUCCCAAGUCAAGCUACCUAUCCAUGAAAAAUCAUCCAAAAGAGGUUGUCCCUGUUGUUGCAUUUCUAAAUCUUGCGCGGGAUCUGAAUCUGCAGUAACUAUUAUAUUAUUGCUUGAACUUGGCAUACUCCCACGCAUUCUUUCAGGAAGCUUAUCAAACGCUGCUCGUUGAACAUCUGGAGUUACUUUUUCACAAAUUUUAACACCAACCUUUUCAACUCUUGCCAGAUGACAUUUCAUCCUUGUAGCGGAAGUACCUCCAGCCAAUUUCUUCUCACAAAAAAUGCACUUCAAUAAAUCACCAUCCAUUUUCUCAAAAUAACACCGAAAUGGAUCACUUCCUCCAACCAUUUUUUUUCUUCGGUGUCCCUACCUACAGACAUAACAAAGAACUUUCAGAUUAUUGAAUUAAAAUGGAACUUAAACUAAUUGAAAAAAAGAAGAAGCUAAGUUUAACAUAAAAAAAAAUUGAUUACAAGUGCUUCACUGCCUAAAGUUAAACCACUCCAAAGAUCAAAGUGUUCUUUUCUCUUUACUUCCCCAAUAAUUCUACAACUGGUCAUAUCAGUAAUUUAAUAACCAGGAUGUUUCCUUUUGCUUAGAAGAAUCAAACUACAUGAGUUGGAAAAGAAAUGGUAUGAAAUUAGAGCUAAAAUUAAUCAAACUUCAUUACCUGAGCAGCAGAAGCAGCAAAAUGUUAUCCAACGCUUUGAUUAAAUCAGAAGAAAGAAGAUGGACGGGAUAGUGUAAGUGUGUUGGAGACGAGUGAUAGAGCUUAACGGCUUGCGUGGUUGUGGAUAAGGAUAGAUUCAGACAGUCAGAGAAGCAGAUGACAGUGAAAAAAGUUAAAUGGACUUUUUUAAUAAAUAACAAGAUAUUUUUUAAAUUUAAUCAAUUUUUUUAUUUAUUAAUAUCAAAAAUUAAAAAUUAAAACUAAAAACCUAAUAAUUUAAUAUAUUUCAAACAAAAAUUAUUUUAAAAAAUAUCAUAUAUUUGAUUUCCACGCACUUUUGUCAUGUUAGGUUUUAUUUCAAUCAUACCUCAACAAUAUUUAUUUACAAACCAUAUAAUUAAUUUAGUUAUUUUAAUAUAUUUUAUUAUUUUAAUAUAUUAAUAUCAAAAAUAAAAAUUUAAAAAUAAAAAUUUUAAAAAUUAACUAUUACCUCUGUGUGAAACACCAUUAAUUUUCUCUUCUUUCCGCUGCAUCAUUGGCUUCUACGCCUGCAAAUCUAGGUACCUUUUUUAUAUAUAAAAAAAAUUCGUUACUUUUUGCUAAAAACAACCAAGUUAGUGACAGUUUAUGCAUGCGUUGACAUGUCUUGCAGAGGAAACAGAAGCACCCUACUUUGCAUUCAGCUGGUUAAACGACAACAACACGUUCCAAACAGAAGAUGCUUCAACUAAACUGACCUAAGAGAGCUUAGGCAAACAUCUCGAUAGACUUUUUUUUUUUUUUUUCAGCACCUCGAUUUUGCUUACUGUAGCUCCUGUUGUUGCCCCUUUUUUUUUAUUUUAAUAUAGCUGGUUUUUUCAAACUUGGAUGCAAUUUUUAAUUUUUGCUUUUCCCAGGAUCGAAUUAGGUUGCUCGCUAUCUUGCACGCCCUUUCUUUUCCUAUGCUUGUUUUCCUGCAGAUUGGUUGUUUUGCAGCAACGGUAUUUCACCUCCAUUUUGUUAGUCUCAACAAAAAAUAUAUUAAAAUAAUAUUUUUUAUAUAAUUUUUAAAAAUUAUUUUUAAUAUUAAUAUAUUAAAAAAAUAUUUAUUAUUAUUAAUUGUGAUGUCUUAUCAUAUCAUUGGAGAGAUGUGUGUUUCCUUUUAGGUGACAUGUGGGAAAAAAAUAACCAUGGCGAGAAAUGAGGUGCCUUGCUCUACAUAUAGAGAACGAAUUUGGCGUGCGUUAGUGGGUGGUUUGUGUCAUUGUUAAGACUUCAUAUGUUUAGAGGAUGGUAUUGUUGAGCGGAAUCCGGGACCGGUGAUGUACUGAUCUUUGCUCAUAGGAGGGCUAAGCAUACUGAGACAAUAUUUAACGUGGUUCGGCAAAUUACCUACAUCCACGGGAGAGAUCAAUAUUAUUAGAGAUAGAGAAAGAAUACAACACACGGAGGAGGAUCACAUUCACUCAACUCCCAUCUCUCAUUGCUACAUAGGGCAGUAGCUGCAUAAGGCAGCAGGUCUGCUGGUGGCAGCCCUUCUCUUUCUUUCUCUCUUCUUCUCUCUUUUGUAGCUCUCCUACAAGGCUCUCUCUCUCAUUUUGUGUUGCACUCUUGGUGUCUAUUUAUAGGCUUCAAUGACAGCUCCUCUUACUUCUUUGUCAACAAUGGUGGCUGUCAAACUCAUCUCUUCUUCAACAAUGAUGGUUGUCAAAGUCAAGGUUGGUGGCUGUCACCAACAAGCCACCAUUGUAGCCUCUUUCUUUGACUCUCACAUGGCAGCCAUCUUCUUUGACAAGACAACCAUAUAAUUGGCAAUAUUCCAACAAGUAUGGGGUCGAGACCCAAAAAUAUUCCAAAUGGUGGAAAACACAUUUGGGCUUUGUCUACAGUCAUUCAAGGUAACAGGGUGGAAAACCCAUUUGGGCUUUGUCUGCAGUCAUUCAAGGUAGCAGGGGAAUCUCUAUGUGCUUCAUGGCGGGAUUUUUUAGUUCAGAAGCUUUUUGUUAACUCAGAGUUGUCAUCUUCAAUAUAGAAGCUUUUAAAUUGCUCAGACACUUCAAAUGAAGAUGGAAGUGCGGAGGAAACUUCAUGGAUAGAUUGCAGGUAUGGAGACAUUUACAGCUGAGAAUUGAAGCUCGAGGGGAACUACUUGCAGUUAGUGUUGAAGAAAGCGCAAGAAACACUGCCUACACACUUCAAAAGACAGUAGGCUUAAAGGAUGCUAGAUGUUAUCUAAUUGAUUUUUACUAGAGAUUUUCAGGAUUGAUUCGCUUAAUGGAAGAACUUGCUUGCACUGUCCUGCUUAUUAUGGCCAUUUUGAUUACCUUCAAGCUACUCUUUCUGCUGCCAUCAAUCCAACCUGUUACUGUUUCUUGGUAACUAUAUCUUCAUUCUAAAGAUUGAUUUCGUUUCUUGGUAACUAUAUCUUAAUUGUAAAGAUUGAUUUCGCUUUCUCUUCUCUUCUGUUUUUUAUCAGAGUUAUCUUUGCAUAGACAAUGAACUUCGGGUGAGCCCCACAGGUUACAGCCAAGUAAACAACGAGAAUGCAUGCUCCCGCCAGCCUGCAAAAUCUAGCACAAAGCAAUCGUUUGGGUCAUAGUCUAAGGCCUUAGCCCACAGCCAAUCUCGAAAUGGAAUGAUUCUUUUAUUUAUUUUUGGUUUCUUGCAUUUAGGACUCUCAUUUCUUCGUAUGUUUACUUUGUUUAAUUUUUUAAUCAAAGCUAAAGCUCGGUUGACUUGAUCAAGAUGAUCGGAUUCACAGUCUAAAAGCCCUCAUCAACAUAAAUUAUCAUUUUAAAAAUUUUUUUUAAUAUUUUUUUUAUCAGAUUUUUUAUAUAUGUAGCCUUGCAUUGUUUUUUUUUUUUUAAUUAUUAUUCAAUAAAUUUUAUGUGUGUUAGUUUCUAUUAUAAAUAUUAUGUUUUUUUCUAUUACAAAUUUAUUUUGAUAAAGAGGUUCAUUAAACAUAAUUAGAUAAAUUAUCCGUGUUGCGAUAUUAGAUAUCCUGAUUUUUAUUUUUUGUUUGGUUUUUUUAAUUUUUUUUUUAUUACUGAUGAAUCUUUUUUUUCAUUGCUUUACACAAAUGAUUAUUGAUUUGUUUAAUUAGAUGCGUGCAUAAGUUUUUCAAUUGACAUCUAAGAGUUUUUUUUAGUGUAAAAAAACAUGUUGAAUAAUUUUGUAAAUUCAUUUUUUUUUUAUUAUGUUUUGAUGUUUAAGAUUUGAUGCUUAUUUUUAUGAUUUUUAUUUUUAUUUUUUCCCUUGAAUCUCUUAUGAAAGUUUCAUUGUUUUUAGUUUCACCCUUCAAUUCAAGUUUAUAGUGUAUUGUUUUUUUUUUUUUUUUAUCUUUGUUCUUUUGAUUUUUUUAAUUUUGUUAAUGUUUUUAUUCUUUUCAUUUUAACUCUCAAAUUUAAAAUUUAUUGUUGCCGUUUGAUUUAUUUUUUAUUGCAAUUUUAACACUCAUUAUUUUUAUUGCAUUUUCUUGUUUUUGGAUUUUUUGUGUUGUUUUUAUGUGAUUUUAACCCUCAUGCUUUUUUCAUGUAUAAUAAUUUUCGAUCUUAUAACCUCGGUCACGAUUUAAAAAGUUAACAGUAAUUGAUUUUUUUAUCUUAUUUUUUUGUAUUUUUCUUUCUACUCAAUUAUCUUAUUCUCUUUUUUUUUUUUUUUCUUUGUUAACAAAUAAGAUCAUUGUGAUGUUUUGAGAAUAUUAUGAAGAUAAUAUUGGCAAACAUUCAUCUUUUGUAUUGAAUGAUUGUUUUUUUUUCGUUUUAUUUUUUAUCGAUAUUUUAUUUUUUAAUGAUAUUAUUAAAUUAACCAAGUCAAUUGAACUCAUUAGAGCCAAUUACCUGUAUAUUAUAUUGUUUUAAAAUAUUUUUAUGCUAAAAAAAAAUCUUAGCAUAUCAUAGCCACCUAUCUAGUAUUAUCUACAAACAUAUCAUCUUAUCCCAUCCCAUGUCAAAUACUCAUUAAAAGCUUGACACGUGUAAGAUACACUGUGAAGCAACCUGUGGUACAACGACAAAGAUAUUUUAUACUGAUUGAAAGGUUAAGGUUAAGUAGCCGGUCAAUAUUUUAUAUUUCAGUCUUUUGUGGCAUUAAUAAUGAUAGAAACAUUGGUCCACAGUACUCUUAGUUUCUUUCAUGGCAAAGACUUUUCCCUCGGGUCGAUGAUGAAGAAUAUUUGUAGGGUUAUUCCUUCUUGUCGAGAAGCUUGUGCCUUGUAGCAAUCUAUCACGGUGUGCUUGUCAAGAAAGAUGUCCAUAUUAUAAGGUAGAAGUGGUAAAUAAAAGAGAUGACAGAAGGAGGAUGAAAGCACAUGAAUAUCUGCCUAGGAAUUCUAUUUACAAUGCUCGAUCAUCAUAGGAGUAUAAACAUAUACCUUUGCAAGCCAUAUAGCUUGAAAAUGCAGAGCCAGAAUAAACGUUAAUUAAUUAGGAUGAAAAUUGUUUUUGAAAGGAAUUUAAUGAGAUUAAUUUAUUAAGAAUGUUUUAAAGAAGACCUAGUGUCUAUACAAGUUUAAAUCUAUAAGCAUGCGUACUAAGCAUAUAUUUAGACUUGCAAUUGACAUAAAAUCAAAGUCUUAGAAUGUAUAUUACUAAUAAAAUUAAAUAUACUUAAAUCAAAACAAAAAAGGAUACAAGUUUACUUGUGGAAGAACUUUAAGAUAAUGAGUUUUUUUGUUAUUGUCAAGAAUAAAUCCAUUGCCCUUAAGGCUUUACUGUUUUUCACUUGUGCAAUUAGGAUGUUUAUAAUAUGUCUUUUAAGAUUCUAACAGCACCAUCAUAAUUUAAAUGCACUUCUAAAUAAGGUAUUCGAAUAGAAAAAAAUAUAGAAUUGUUAACUAAUGUUUUUUUUUUUUUUUUGCUUUUCCUUUCUUCGUAUAUAGUAAAAAUACAUGUUUGACCUUAGAAAAUACAAAAACAUAAGGCAUGCAUCUAGGGAUAUUUGUUUUCCUUUCAUACAUAUCUUUUUUCCUUUGACACAUAUCUUUUUUGUAAUUAUCAAGGUCAUGGGGACAUUUAGGUAUUUUUACGUUGAAUUUUAAUUUUUUUUUUAACAGAAAGUUGCUGACAUGUGCUCAUUACGGGCUAAUGAGUUGUUGGCGUCUGUGUCAUUUGGAUGGUGUGUGUGGCACCUCCCGGUGGUCAAACCUGACUUUCUAACAUUUUUUUGGAGGUGCCACCAUGUCCUUCUUUAUGGUGUGGCGCGUGACGGCAUAUGGUUGUCGGAUUAUCGCUGAUUGUUCUCUUUGUUUUUGAUAUUUCAAUUUUCGUCUUUAUUUUUUUGAUUUUUUAUUUCGUUUUUAUUUCUUAUAUAAAGAUUUAAUUUGUUUUUAAUUUAAAUAUUUAAUUAUAAUUUUUUAUAUGUUUUUUCAUUUUAGAUGUCCUUAUUCUUUUAAAUUUUAAUUUUUUUUUAUUAAAAUUCUAUUUGCUUUCAAUAAAGUUUGUCAAGGUAAGAGACACUCCGAAGCAACCUGUGGUUCAACGACAAAAAUAUUAAAUCACAUUGCUUUUAAAAUAUUUUAUAUUUCAGUCGUUUGCGGCAUUAACAAUGAAGUUACUGAUUGAAACAUUGGUCCACCACCCUCAUGUCAAUGAUGAAGAAUUGUAGGGUUCUUGGUUAUUUCUUCUGGUCGAGAAGUCUGUGCCUUGUACAAAUCUAUCGCGGCAUGAAAGAUGUACGUAUUAUAGCGUAGAAAUUAAUGGCAAAGAGAAGAGAUGAAAGAAGAAGGACCUUCAAAAUAAUAUUAUUACAUUUGGUGUUAUAAAUAAUAUGAUUUUUAUAAUAAUUCAAAUUAAUGGCGAAGGGAAGAGAUGAAAGAAGAAGGAUGAAUGCAAACCUAUCCAUCAAAAUCCUUCUAUCCUCCCUGCAAUUCCUUCCAAAUUAUGUGCUACAAUGAUUUUCUUCGCGAUUGAAGUAAGUUAGACUGGAUUGCCUAAAUAUGAUGAAUAAAGGGUUGGAUUUGCAAAAUUAUUUACACAGUUUAAUUUGUUGAUUUGAUACAUCUCAAUCUGUGAAUUAACAGAAAAGAAGAAGAAGAAGAAGCUAGUACUAAACCAAUAAGUUCACACAUAAUCCAUGAACAUAUCUCAUAGGUCACAACAUUUUCCUUCAUUACUGCUCACUAAUAUGCUACUACUGAAAACAGUAACUUAACAAUGGUCUAUAGGGUCUUUUCUAGGUGUUUUAGGGUGAUUUGUAGGGGUUUUUGGUGGCCAUGAAUUAACUUAACAAGGUCUCUAGGGUCUUUUCUAGAUGUUUUGGGUAAAAAAUAGAUUGAAAAUUAGUUUUUAGAUAAAAAAACAAAAGACCGUACUUUUUCAAUCACCACAAUGGCUGAAUUCUGGGUUGCGUAGAGGAUGCGUUAUUUUUCCAGCCCCUUACGUACAAUUUUUUUAAAAAAUAAAGUCUCGCGCACUAACCAUUGCUUUAUUGGGUAAGACGUUGGCCUUCGCUUGCUAGGCCUAACAACACCUGGCCUGAUUUUUUUUUUUAAUUUUUUUAAUUUUUAAUUUUCCUUUUUAAAUAAAUCAUUAUUUGUGUGUAUUUUAUAAAAUAAAUUUUGGGUUUAUAUUUUAAUUAUAUUGUGAUUAUUUUUAAAUGAUAUUUGAUGUGUUUAAUUUUUAAAGGGAUAGAUAUAAUUCAUGUUAUUAUUUAAAUUAACCAAAGUGAAUUGAACUCAAUAGAGCCAAUUCCCUAUAUAUUAUAUAUUUUAAGUAUUUAUUUUUUUUUCAAUAUUUUUAUGCUAAAACAAAUAAACCUUAGCGUUUAGCGUUAUAGCAUAUCGCAGCUAGUAUUACCUGUACACAUAUCAUCUUAUCCCAUCCCAUGUCAUAUACUCAUUAAAAUAAUUUGUUGUCAAUUAUUUUAUAUUUCAGUGUUUUGUUGCUGAUUGAAACAUCGGUCCACACUCUUAGUUUCUUUCAUGGCAAAGACUUUUCCCCCAUGCGCCCUCAGGUCAACGAUUAAGAAUAUUUGUAGGGUUAUUUCUUCUUGUCGAGAAGCUUGUGCCUUGUAGCAAUCUAUCACGGGGUGCUUGUCAAGAAAGAUGUCCAUAUUAAAGGGUAGAAGUGGUAAAUAAAAGAGAUGACAGAAGGAGGAUGGACGCACAUGAUAUCUCUAGGAAUUCUAUUUACAAUGCUUGAUAGUCAACUUCUUUUCACGGUUAAAAAGAUUAAAGAAUUCUUAUUAUUAAUAAUUUUUUACUCUUUAAAUAAAAAAAUAAAAAAUUAUUUUAGAUUAAUUUCUUAUUUAUUCAUAAUUUGUUUAAAUUAUAUUAAAGAAAACAAAUUUGAACAAAACACCUUUUCAUUUAUGCAAGAUACAUAAAAAAAACUCAUCUAUAAAAAAUGACUGCCGAGUUUAUGUGUACUGUCAAGUUCAAGUAUAUUAAAUAAAUAAAUAAACAAAUAAAAUAACUUCUCAGUUACAUUGAUUUUCUUCGUAAUUGAAGGAGGUUAGGCUGGAUUGCCUGAAUAUGAUGAAUAAUGGGUUGGAUUUGGAAAAUUAUCUAUAAAAAAUGACUGCCAAGCUUAAUUUGUUGAUCUGAUACAUCUCAAUCUGUGAAUUGACACUGCUUUAGUAAUUACGAACUUAGAAGGUAAAUUGACAGAAAAGAAGAAGAAGAAGAAGCUGAAUCCAUGAACCUAACUCACAACAAUUUCCUUCAUUAUUGCUCACUAAUAUGUUAUUACUGAAAAGAGUAAAUUUCUGAUCACUCUAUUUCUGAGAUGGCUGCCAACUCUUGGUGAAGACGUCUCGCUGGCAUGCGGCCUGCGCUGGUUCUCUUAGGGGCAGAGGAGCUAAAAGGAUCAGGAGGCUUUGUUAAGUUUUCUCCUUCCCCUUCAAGCAUCUGGACAACAGUUUUCAUGGAAGGACGCUCUGCUGGGUUCCACUGAAUGCACCAUAGCCCCACAAUUGCUAGUUUCUUCGCAAUUUUAGCAUCUUCUUCUCCAUCGAUAUGAAACCGCAGGUCUUCUUCCUUUUCUAAGAGAUUAUAAAUCCAUUCCGGGAAGUAUAUCUGGUCGCCAUUUUCUGCUGUAUCAUCGACGUUCUUCCUUCCUCCAACCAUUUCCAACACUAACAUCCCAAAGCUGUAAACAUCUGAUUUAUAGGAAACAUUCCCGAAGUUCCUUGAGAACACUUCCGGGGCAAUGUAGCCAACAGUCCCCCUAGCAGUCGUCAUGGAAAUAGCACUUUUAUCCUUGGAACACAGCUUUGCCAUUCCAAAAUCGGCGAUUUUGGGAUUGAAUUCGUUGUCAAGCAGGAUAUUCUGUGGUUUGAUAUCAAAAUGGAGGAUUCUUUGAUCACACCCCUGGUGAAGAUAUUCAAUCCCCUUGGCUAUGCCUAGAGCAACACGAUUCAACCUUUCCCAGCCAAGGAAAUGGUUCCUUGAGUCUGCUGAGGUUAUGAACUUCUGUAAUGAACCAUUUGGCAAGUACUCAUAAACCAGAGCUCGUCUAAAUCCAUCAGCACAGAAACCGAUCAAGCGAACAACAUUGACAUGGUGGAUCCUUGCCAUUGUUCCCACUUCAUUGAUGAAUUCCUCCCCUUUACCUAUGGAAUUAUUGAGGAGCUUCACAGCUACAGCAAUUUCAUUGGUUAGCUUUCCUUUGAACACGGUUCCAUAAGCUCCUUGGCCCAAUUCAUCACCGAAUUGAUUUGUGAUCCUCUUGAGAUCAGCGUAGGAGUACCUAGUGGGAUUCAGUGAUCUGUAAUCAUCCAAAAACAUUUCAACCCUGGCUUGAUAUUCUCUUUGUAUUUUAUCGUUGCUAUAGGCGCGGUAGAGUGCAAUAAUCACUAUUGCAAAAAGGAAGAAUCCUAAAAUCACACCUGCAUAUCAACAUUCUGAGUCAGGAAACUCUUUUUUUUUUUUUUGGGAAGUGAUGUAUUGAACCAAGUGUAAAAUUGAGAUGGAGAUUUGAGCAGACUACUAACCAGCAAUCCGUAGCUUUCGCCGCACAUCAACAUUCUGAUGGAGAUCUGUAAGGGAUUGAAUACUUAUUAGUUAGGCAAUUGGUAAAAUCAUGAAAGCAACAAAAACGAAAAGAGUUUCUAGUGUUUUGUUAUUUACAUAUUCAAAUGCCAAUUAUUAAUUUGAAAAAAGGAAGAAAGAUAGAAAAGCAUACCUUUAGUGUGCGGAAGAAUGCUGUAGCAUUCAGUUUCAGAAGAUCCACAAGUUGGAUUAGACCAAGACAUAGUAAGAACAUAAUUUUCUGCAUGCAACAUCCUAUGUGGAAUUCCAUAAAUGUUGUGCAUCUUGGUACAAGAUAAGAAACCAGAGUAACUGGUGGGAAUACUUGAGUCAACGGCAUAAACUUCAUGGUUAAAAAUACUCAGACAUGGGAUUUUACGUGUGAACGGAGACCGCCCCUCUCUAGAAGGUGAACAAUUGAACAAGGUCCAAUCACCCUCUUCAUUGGUUAGCUUUCCUUUGAACACGGUUCCAUAAGCUCCUUGGCCCAAUUCAUCACCGAAUUGAUUUGUGAUCCUCUUGAGAUCAGCGUAGGAGUACCUAGUGGGAUUCAGUGAUCUGUAAUCAUCCAAAAACAUUUCAACCCUGGCUUGAUAUUCUCUGUGUGUUUUAUCGUUGCUAUACGCGCGGUAGAGUGCAGUAAUCACUAUUGCAAAAAGGAAGAAUCCUAAAAUCACACCUGAAUAUAAACAUUCUGAGUCAGGAAACUCUUUUUUUUUUUGGGGAAGUAAUGUAUGGAACCAAGUGUAAAAUUGAGAGGAGAUUUGAGCAGACUACAAACCAGCAAUCAGUAGCUUUCGCCGCACAUCUGUAAAGGAUUGAAUGCUUAUUAGCUUCUCCCUUUUAGGCAAUUAGUAAAAUCAUGAAAGCAACAAAAACGGAAAGAGUUUCUUUAUUAAUUUGAAAAACCCUUAUUGUUUUUUUAUUUACGUAUUCAAAUGCCAAUUAUUAAUUUGAAAAAAGGAAGAAAGAUAGAAAAGCAUACCUUUAGUGUGCGGAAGAAUGCUGUAGCAUUCAGCUUCAGAAGAUCCACAAGUUGGAUUGGACCAAGACAUAGUAAGAACAGAAUUUUCUGCAAGCAACACACUAUGUGGAAUUUCAUAAAUGUUGUACAUCUUGGUACAAGAUAACAAAUCAGAGUAACUGAUGGGAAUACUUAAGUCAACGGCAUAAACUUCAUGCUUAAAAGUACUCAGACAUGGGAUUUUAUCCAUGUACGAAGGAGACCUUUUCUUACUAGAAAGUGAACAAUUGAACAAGGUCCAAUCAUACAGCCAAUCGUUCAUAAUUUCGAAGUGAGAAGCCCCUAAACUGAACUUUAAACUUUGCCUUGGAAAGCAACCUUGAGGAUCCCUUGCAUAAAUGAGUUGAUGUCCAUAGUCAAUUCCUUCGAUGUGGAGACUCAAUCCAGUUGGCAGAUUAAGCACUGUGCUGUUGUCCUCUGAGCAGGAUAGAUCAAACCCAGGAUAGCCACAGUGGUCUGGUUGUUUGUCCUUGAUUCGGAAAGGAAAUCGGAUGUCAGGGCCAGGGUUUCCACAUGAUCCUGUGCAGUUCAAGCUUGCUCCAUGGCCUGCAAGGAAGACAAUGAAAAAGAAGAACAAAAACGUAACCAUUUCUGAUGAAUAAUUCAUCAUCUCGACACUCCUCCACGAUUUUAUCUGCAUGUGCUGAUAUAGUUUAGGCCUUUCAGAAAACUCAUGUAGUCCUUAGAUGGGCGAGUACUGUAGUACACGCGUCCUUGCAUGAGAAUUUAUUUACUCCAUCGAUCUAGUGUGAUGCUCCUCCCUUUGACAUUCCUCCAAUCACAAACAUGUGGGAUCCAAUUAUUCCGUUUUAUUUAGGGGUGAGCAUUAUUUCAAACGGUUUGGUUUGGAUAAAAAAAUGUAUAUAACCGAAGUUUUUUUAAAAAAAAUAUUUAGUUCAAACGGUUUGGUUUGGAUAAAAAAAUAUAUAACAGAACCAAUUUUUGUUAAUUGUUUUUUGAAUUGAAUCAAAUAAAAGAACCAAAUUAAUUGGUAUUUUUUUUUUUUUUGAGUUAAUGGACCUUUAGUUGUGCAAUUUUGACAAGUUCUAGGGGCACUUGUUUAUAAGUUUGUCAUAACUAAAUAAGAAUCUACUCCAAACAAAUUAAAUAGAUGAUUGUUUUUUUUUGUAAAAUAUUUAGUUCAAACGGUUUGGUUUUUUGAAUUGAAUCAAAUAAAAGAACUAAAUUAAUUGGUAAAUGUUUUUUUUUUUUAGUUAAUGGACCUUUGGUUGAGCAAUUUUUACAAGUUUUAGGGGCACUUGUUUACACCGCCUCAUCAUAUUUUAUAAAAAAAAUAUUUUUUUAAAAUUAAGUUUUUGUGUUUCUUGAUUGUUUUAAUUUGUUAAUAUUACAAAUAAAUUUAAAAAAAUAAAAAAAUUAUUUUGAUACAUUUCUAAGUAAAAAACACUUUGAAAAACAAUCACUACCACAAUACUAAACACUACCUAAUUUAAUGAGUUUUGAGCUUAUAACAUACCUUUAGUUUCUAAUAAUUUUUUUUUUAUUUGGUUUGGAUUGAUUUUUAAAAAAGCUUUAAAAUUGAAUUACUCAACUGAAACGUUUUUAAUUUUUCUAACAAAAAAAAUUAAAAAUUCAAAAAACUCGUCCAAAAACACUUUAAUUCCGUUCAUUCUCACUCGUCAUUGAAAGGAGGGUGGUUGAAAGUCUUGCUAUGUGAAACUUCGAGUGACGGACCAAUGUUUCCAACAAUGACUCAAGUGUCUAUGAAGGAAACGAAAAUAAUGGGGCUUUGACAAGUUCUUUAACCUCUCAAGCAGUUUGUCUACUUGGCCAACUCGCUAUCAGUUGAGAAGGGAGGAAAGAAAAGUGAAGGGCUCUUUCCUGUUGUCUUGCUCGAGAUACCAACGAAAUGGUCCAUAUAUAUUUUUGUCAUUAGACUAGAGGAGGUUACACGAGAUUGUAGCUCUCCUACGCGAAACUUCGCAUGAGGACCCAUUCAUUUAUUUUAUGUUAUUGGGACAAUUGUAUAUUUAUAAGACGCGACACUAGAGUUGACUUGGCUAAAAGUAUGUGUUAAUACAAUUUUAAAAUAAAAUGUAUUAUUUUUUUAUAUUUUUUAGAUCUGAUUUAUAUUAUUUUAAUUAUUAUUUAUUUUAUCUGAAAUAAUUUAUGAAAUUAUAUUUUUUUUCAAUUUCAUUCUCAUUUAAAUUUUUAAUAAACCUGAGAAAAAUAAAAUAUUAAUAAGUUAAUUUUCAAUUCAUUUUCCAUGACAUAACCAAAACUGGAAAGUGUUUUCUAACUUAUUUUCUAUUACACUAUCAAACAUCAAAAAAUAAUUCACUUUCCAGAAAAAAAACUACUUUCCAGCAAACAAACGAAGCCUAAAUGAAUACAAUAUUAAGAUUAAGAGUCAUAUUGUCUUAAAACAUCUAAUGUAUUCUACAUUUUAUAUUAUAAACUUAUCUUAUAAUUUUGAAAAUGAUUUAGCCAUAAUAACAUCUAUACAUAUAUAUAAUACCUCCAUUACAUACUACACAUCUUCUAUUUGAUUUUUACACCACAAAGGUUUUCAAAGAAAAUAAAGACAUAUAAAUGUUACAUUUUAAAAUGAUAAUUCAUAAACAAAAAAAUCCUACAUCUAACAAUCUGCAUCACCUCGUGGUGUACGUAUUUCAACAAUAACCACAUUAAUUAAUUUACUCAAUAUCUUAGUCAUAUAUUAAUUAUUUUAAUCUUAACCUUUAAAAUUUAAUAUUUCUAACUUCAAUCAAUUAGUCUACAUAAUCUUUUCAAAACUUAAAUAUCCAGCUAACUCAUCUCGAUUACCAAUAAUUCUAACACUUUCAUAUAAUUACCCAUAAAUUUGGUUAUUCUUCCUCGGUUACCAAUAAAUCCGAUAAUUCCAUCUAAAUUACCCAUCAUCUAGCAAACCAGUUUUGUUAGCCAAUCAAUCUGGUAAUUCCAUAUGAAUUACCCCAUAUUCGGUUAACCUCUUUGUUAACCAAUAAACCGGGUAAUUCUCUUACUUAUCCAAGAAAUUCGGGUAACUUAUUUUGGUUGCCAAAAUCAAUCUGAUAAUUCCAUAUGAAUUACCCAGCAUCCGACUAACUUUUUUGUUAGCCAAUCAAUAAUUCCGGUACUUUCACAUAAAUUACAAAUAAUCACUCAAUUUAUUCAUUUGCUUCAUUCUUUUAACACCAAUUAAAUAAACAAUAUGUGGUUGUAUGUGAAAUGAUGAUGUUAUGUUUGAGAAUGACUUUUUAUCAGAACGAAUAAAAAAAAAAUUACAUGCUUUGCAUUUCGGCACGUAAGAAAAAUAUUAAUGAACUAAUGAUAUAAUGACAUUUGAUUGAUUUAAGAGUUGUGUCUGGAGCUGCUUAUCAGACAAAAGGAGCUGGGUCAUCACGAGCAGAAGGUAGGCGAUUCGUCACCUUAUUUUGUAAUUAUUAGUUUUCCUUAAAUAUUUAUGUUGUUUAUUUAAUUAAUGUUAAAAGAAUGAAGCAAAUGAAUAAAUUGAGUGAUUAUUACUAAUGAGAAUUAUUGGAAAUUUAUAUGAAAUUACCGGAAUUAUGUGAAAGACCGCUUCAACUUUUUUAACCUGGUUGCUCUGUUUCAACUAAUCGACCUGUUCAACUAAUUUCUAGAACUCAGUUUACUUUCAACAUUUUCACUAUCUUUCCCUUACAACCGAAGGAAGCAUACCUUGGAAUAUCUCAUGGAUUUGGACUGGAUUGGGUGUUUUGUUUUUCGAAGAGAUGCUCCAAGAAAAAUAUCAGGCUCGCUGGAUGUCGUUAUUUGUGGUAUUGACAGUUGAUGACUUUUUUUUUUUUUUACUUUUCAAAGUUAAUGAUUCUGACAUUUCGAAGGAGGUGGGAAAUUAUCUUCGUCUGUGAAGUAGUGCUGAAUACUGGAUCAAUAACUCACUGUCUGCUUUGCUACUAUUCCUAUCCGAUGACUCUGACAUUUUCAUUGCAUUAUCAGUAGCUUCCACUCCGAAAUUCAAUAGUUUUUGUUGGAGAAAAAAGAAAAGGAAAAAAGAAGAAUAGUUUAUGCAAAAUUGCGUAUACACUGUGUAUCACUUCAGCCUUCCCCAUGUUUAGAGGAAUGAACGUCCUUUUUGCUUGCUACAUAGCUUUUCUUUUACAGCUAUUAGUCUUCCAAACUUGCCAUUCUAUCAGCAGUUUGUGCAAAAAUUGCGUAUACACUGCUCCUUGUGCUCCUUCUUCAUGCGGAAACACUGAUCCACAAAGCUGCGGAAACAAUAACUAUUCUCUGACUUGCGAGAACAAUAUUUCUACAGUAUUAUAUUUGUAUUCAGGUAAAUACUACGUGCAGGCAAUCAACUAUGGUAACUACACAAUCCGAGUGGUAGAUGCUGGUGUACAAGAUUAUUGCUGCUCCAUCCCUCGUUAUUCUUUGGCACCUGAUGACUUCAGUGACGGAGAUCCAUACACAUGGUAUAACUACAAGCAGGUGCCGCCGCCGGUAGUGAGUGAAGGUUUCGUGGAUUAUUGGGGGCACCGGUACUUACCUCCACUAUCACAGCCUAUGAUUUUCAUGAGCUGUGAAAAUACGGUGAAUUCUCCUUUUUAUGUGGACACGGCUCCCUACGGCCUUAACUAUGGAUCAGGAAAUUAUUCCAACUCUUCUCUUGUGACUCAUUCGAAUUAUGUGACUCUUCGGGGCAUGACUGCCUCGGAUUUGAUGGAACUGUGCACCAUAGAGAAAAUAUUUUUUCUUCCAAAGAAGAACUACACAGACAAUUACUCCUUUGAAGAAAUACACAGUGACCUGGCAUAUGGGUUUGAGCUUUCAUGGUACAACAUCAACUGUGAAAAUUGCACAAGGGGUUGCUACAUCAACAGCUCAGACCAUCGUCAAUGCAUUGACACAAUAUCUCAUGGUACAACAUCUACUGCAUGUAACACUUGAUGAUUAAGUUGCGUCAGAUUUGAUUCAUAAGACUAUAAAUAACUUGUGAUUUGAGGUGGUUUCAUAUAUUUUCUCUGGCUUACUUUUCAAUUUUCAUUUUUUUCUGCGCAUUAGCACAAUAUUGCACUGUCCCCAGAAGUUGUGCAUCCAUUACCUGUGGAUUCUACUAUAGUGGACUGAUCAUAAGAUUCAUUCAUGUUCAUAUUGUAAAAUAUUCUGACUAUAAUGUGGUUUAAGGUAGUUGGACAGAUUCAUUGGUCUUUUGCAAUUUCAGGAUUGACACAGUGAAACGUUUGGUUCAUCUUAACUUGAACAUGGAUACACAUUAAUUAGUUCAAGUCACAUUAUUAAAUUGUGUGCGCUCUUUUCUUUUUCUUUUGCAUUUACUAUUGCGUAUACCAUUAGAACUCGUUUCUUAACCUGAAGCUUCAACAGAUAAUUUUGACACAGUGAAACGUUUGGUUCAUCUUAACUUGACCAUGGAUACACAUUAAUUAGUUCAAGUCACUAUUAAUUAAUUGUUGUGUGCUCUUAUCUUUUCUUUCGCAUUAACUGUUGCGUAUACCAUUAGAACUCUUUUAAACCUAAAUUCUCGACAGAUUUGGUGAAAGCUUCUGGAAAACACACUCGACGCCAGUGAUAGGUGCGAAUUCUCUUUCUGCAUCUCACCUUGUUUGUGUAUUCUUAAGUGUUUCUUCAAACGACUUAUUUGUGAAAUAAGGAUUGUUGUUUCUUGAAUAGUAAUUGUAAUUUGUUCACCAUUUUCUGCAGCUCCCCUCCUCCAUAUAUCAUUUUAUUUGGUAAAGAUUCCAUCAUUUCUUUAGUUCGCAACAAAUUUCUAGUGGAGACAACAAAUAAGAUCACAAAACUUGAUUGUUUUCUGGAAAUUUCCUACACAGCACUGCUUCAUGGGCUAAAGUGUGUGGGACUCCAUGUGUGAUUAUAUUUUUGAUCUACAAAUGGCGAAGGAGACAUUUAUCAGCAUACGAUACAGUUGAACAAUUCCUACAGGUCAGAAUAACCUCAUGCCAGUAAGGUAUUCCUACUCAGAUAUCAAGAGUUACUAGAGGUUUCAAGGAGAAAUUAGGUGAAGGAGGCUUUGGUACAGUUUACAAAGGAAAGCUUCGCAAUGGCGUUUUGCAGCAGUAAAAUGUUGGAAAAUCAAAAGCUAAUGGACAGGAUUUCAUAAAUGAAGUUGCUACCAUAGGAAGGAUUCACCAUACUAACGUGGUGCAGCUAAUCGGUUUUUGCGCUGAAGGAUCAAAGCGAGCUCUUGUAUAUGAUUUCAUGCCUAAUGGAUCUCUUGAUAGAUACUUGUUUUCUCGAGAAGGAUCAAUCUCUUUAAGCUGGCAAAAACUGCAUCAGAUUUCCCUUGGAGUGGCUCGUGGUAUCGACUAUCUUCAUUUAGGUUGUGACAUGCAAAUACUUCAUUUUGAUAUCAAACCUCACAACAUUCUUCUCGACGAAAAUUUCACUCCAAAAGUUUCUGACUUCGGGCUCGCUAGGUUGUACCCCACUAAUGGCAGCAUAACAUCUCUUACUGCAGCAAGGGGCACCAUAGGAUACAUGGCUCUUGAACUGUUCUACAAAAACAUUGGACGUGUCUCCUAUAAAGCUGAUGUUUAUAGCUUUGGAAUGCUGCUAUUGGAAAUGGCAGGCAAAAGGAAGAAUGUAAACGCAUUGGCAGAAAAUUCAAGUCAAAUCUACUGGCCAUAUUGGGUUCAUGACCAAGUAUCUGAUGGAAAGGCCAUAGAAAUCGGAGAUGAUGCCACGGAUGAAGAACGUAAGAUCGUCAAGAAGAUGAUUAUGGUUGGAUUGUGGUGUAUACAAAUGAAACCCAUGGAGCGGCCUACAAUGAAGAAUGUUGUGGAGAUGCUUGAAGGAGAUUUGGAAAACUUGCAAUUGCCACCUAAGCCUGUCUUCAAUCUAGAUGUGACGCCACCAAACAUUGAAGGAGAGUCAUCAUCGUUGUCAGGGGAUUCUACCGAAUCAACCAGUUUGGUUGAAAAUGCAUACUAAGUGAUAUGAUGUGGAAUGCUCUGCUUACAUGCAGGGAAAGUGAUAGAAUAAUGGUGCUUUCGGACUUGGUUGUGAUGAUUUAGUCCGCAAACAUUAUGAUAAUUUGCAAUACUUGCUUUUAUCUGAUUUGUGUUUAGCUAAUUUAGAGUUCAAGCUGCGGCUUGUUUCUUCGGUGUGGUCUAUAUAUUAAUCAUGAUACAAAGAUGUUCUGUAUUGUGUUUAACUAUCAGAUUUCCACUCUCUAUGGCAAUCAUAGCAGUUAGCGAGGAUGGUACAUCCUCCAUGAUAACUGUUAAUUACAUGUUCUACAUAUUAAUUAUCGUAUUUGUCUCCAGCAGAGUAAUAUUUUGGCUGCAAAUUAACAAGAGACUGUCAUAGGGAUUAUAUAAACAAGUUGAUGCAUGAAAAGACGAGUCUCUAUUUAUAGGUAGCCACUACAAGUAGCUUCGGAGAUAGAAAAUAGCGAUUUAUUUGCUAUCAUAGGGAUGAUUCUGAACAGAAGGGCUUAAUUUCAUUUUCUUCCACCAACAAUGCCUUCUUGUCAAUGUUCAGCCCCAUGAUAAUCGAUCAUGCAUAAGCCACGAGGAACCAAUCACAACAAAACAGGAUUGAAAACCAUGACCAUAACGGGUGCUGUGAAAUGAAUAUUGAAACAGAUGGGUGAAUUUGAUGCAGAAAAGUAGAGAGGAGACAAUGAAGCUUAAUUACCGGUCUUGGCAUUUCACCAGAGAGCUCUGCUUCUAACUGUGAAAUGCGUCUCCUGUGUUCAACAAACUUUCAGGAUCUACUUCAAUUUUCUUAAGAGAAUGGGAAAUAGUGACAAUCAAUUUACACCCAUUUGUUCUACGAGAUAUUCCCACUUUCUCAGGAUGAAAAUCAUCCCACAAAUCAUCAAGAAUGAUGACACGGUUUUGUAUCACACUCAAUGCUGUCCAUAGCUCCCCAGCUCUACUCGUCACAUCUUUUCCUUUCGGAAGACAUAAACCAAAAGCUUCGGCAAUGAGAUCCUGCGAUGCAUGAAUGCUAAAUUCUUGUGACAUAGCAAUCCAACAACAAACAUGAAAAAAAGUUGUGUUUCCCACUCCUCCCAUCCUGUAAAUGCCAACGCAUGAGACCUCACCACUCAACAACCAAGACCAGACAUCCUUCAUGUUUCUUUCAAUAGCUUGACCCUCUAGCUUCGUUGUCGGGAAUACAUAUCUUUUAGUCCUACGUCGCUUAUGUACAGGCCUUUAGAAUAGCUUACCGUGCCAAUUCUCAAGUCACGUUCUCUAUAUAAACUCUUAACAAAACAUCCCUCGUUGAUGAGGAUGAGAUGUUAUUCAAGAUCAUUUCAAAUGCCUGACAUGUUUUCUCUGUUCUCUGUCUAGUCUCGGGUUCAUCUGGCAUAAGUACAGCAUGAGCUCUAGGUUCCUCAACAAUCCCAGUCUCCCCCCUGAUCCAGAUAUCCAUCCAUCUUAGGCUCUCAUCAAAAAGAGGAGGUUCUUCUUGUUCCAUUUCUAAAGCUGCAUUAAUUGCCUCGUUAUUGCUUGAACUUGGCACGCUCCUAUCCACAGGCCUGUUAGAAGAGCUUCCUCUCUCAGCAACAGACUGCAUCAAUUCCCAAGUCAUGUUCUCUAUACCAUUGCUCGACUCAACAAUAUCCUUCAUCAAGGAAGAUGAGAUGUUAUUCACAUCCAUUUCAAAUGCUUGACCUGCCAGCUCUGUUCCCAAUCCAGUCUCAGGUGCAUCAGGCAUAAGUAUGCUAGGAACCAUGGUCUCUUCAGUAAACACAAUCUCUCCCCCAAUCAUCCUAUCCAUCCGCGCCAAUCCAUCAUCCAAUAGAGGUUGUCCUUCUUUACUGUGGACAGCACGCCAACAUUGCAAACGAUGAGAAAGAGCACGAUCCACAGAUGGAGAGAAAGCAAUAGGCCAAGAAAAGAGAAAGCAGUAGAGUUGACCUGGAGAGCAGUAUGUUCACAGAUGGAGACGGUUGAGAAUGAGACUAACGAACAACCUUUAAGUUAAAUUUUUUUUAUAUAUGUAUAGUAUUCAUUAUCGGUUCUUUUAAUUAUACUCAAAUCCGACUCGAACAAUAACUGUUUAUAAAACAUUUAAUUCAUUCGGAUUGGUUUUGUAGAGUAUUUAUCAGUUGAGGUGAAACUGUAAUCUGUACCUUCAGAUGUUAGAAAGAUAUGUCGUUUUCAGCAGGAAAUGUUUGUUGGGUUAUUUCCAGAACUCAAUCACACAUAAUUUACGUGGUUCGGCAACUUGCCUACUCCACGGAGCUACUGGUUUGUAUUAAUGAAGCUUUACAAACAAUACAAACAACAAUACAAGGAGGAGGAGAAAAUCUUCUCAACUCAACUCAACUCUCCUUAGCUCUCUCUCUGUUUUCUCUCUGUGUUUCUCUCUGUAUUCGUAUUACACAGGCUCUCCUUGGCAGCCUCUUCUUAUAGCAGAGGUAGGAGAUAAUUAUCUCCAACUUUGGUCAAAUAUGGCAACCACCGAUAUUGCCACCUUGCAGCCACUGCCCACCGUCCUUGCCGCCAUCUUUGACGCCGCCAGCAGCCAUUGUUGACGCCGUCAUGCAGCCAGCUUGUGUCCAUACAUAACAAUCUCCCACUUGGACACAAAUGGCUUUAUAUCCAUCUUUUAGUCUUGGAGGCCUACUGAAGCUUUACACAGCUUCAGUUUAUCAAGAGUAACACCUUUGGUUAACAUAUCAGCUGGAUUCUUGCUUCCACAGAUCUUCUCUAGCAUUAGUUGCUCGUCGUCUAGCAAUUGUCGGAUGAAGUGAUAUUUGAUCUGAAUAUGCUUCGUCCUGGAGUGAAAUGCUGGAUUCUUGGCAAGGAAGAUUGCACUCUGACUAUCGCUAUACAAAGUACCUUUUCCAUUCAACUUGCCCAAUUCCUUUAGGAAACUCUGCAACCAUACUAUCUCUUUUGCAGAUUCCGAGACUGCAACAUAUUCAGCUUCUGUUGUUGAAAGAGCACGAUCUUUUGCAAGGUAGAACUCCAGGAAACAGCAGUACCUCCUAGAGUGUAUACAUAUCCUGUAGUGCUCUUUCUGCUAUCAAUAUCUCCUGCUAGAUCAGCAUCUACAAAACCUUCAAGUUUCAAACCACCAGCUGUGAAACUGAGACAAGUUUCCGAUGAACCUUUUAAGUACCUCAUGAUCCAUUUCACCGCCUCCCAAUGCUGCUUUCCAGGAUUGCUCAUAUAUCGGCUUACAACUCCCACUGCAUGGGCAAUGUCUGGUCUGGUACAGACCAUAGCAUACAUCAAAGAGCCGAUAGCUGAGGCGUAUGGAAUCUUAUCCAUGUAUCCACUUUCUAGCUCAGUUUUGGUGACUGAUCUUUGCUGAGCUUGAAAUGAUUCCCCAGUGGUGUACUUACUGGUUUAGCAUUAUCCAUACUAAACCUGCUGAGAACCUUCUUGACAUACUCUGUUUGUGAGAGCUUUAGUAUGCCUUUGUCUUUAUCUCUGAUGAUUCUCAUUCCAAGUAUUUGUUUAGCAGCUCCCAGAUCCUUCAUUUCAAACUGUUUCGACAACUGCUGUUUCAGCUUAUCAAUCUCCUCAAUGCUGGAUCCUGCAAUCAACAUAUCAUCUACAUAUAAUAGUAGAAUGAUGUAGGAGUUGUCAAAAUGUUUGACAUAGCAACAAUGAUCAGCUUGACAUCUUGUAUACCCGGAACUGCACAUGAAGUUGUCAAACUUCUUGUACCACUGUCUUGGAGCUUGCUUCAAACCGUAUAGGCUUUUCUGUAGCUUGCAGACUUGAUUCUCCUUUCCUUGCAUUGCAAACCCCUCUGGUGUUGCAUGUAAAUAUCUUCCUCCAAGUCACCAUGAAGGAAUGCUGUUUUUACAUCUAACUGUUCAAGAUGUAAAUUUUCUGCAGCUACUAUCCCCAGAACAACUCUGAUUGUUGUGAGCUUCACAACUGGAGAAAAAAUCUCAGAGUAGUCAAUGCCUUUCUUUUGUUGAAACCCUUUGACAACAAGUCUUGCCUUGAACCGUUUGCUUCCGUCAUGCUCAGUCUUCACUCUGUAAACCCACUUAUUUGCAAGGCCUUCUUUCCUUCAGGUAAUGUUGUUAGCUCCCAAGUCUUGUUCUUCAGCAACGAACUCAUCUCAUCCUUCAUGGCUAACUCCCACUUGCUUGAGUUUCCAUCUUGUAAGGAUUCUUCAUAAGUUAGCGGUUCACCACCAUCUGUCAGCAAAAUAUAAUUCAGUAAAAGUGUGAACCGUUGCGGGGGCUUUAUCGUCCUCGAAGACCUGCGAACAGCUGGUUCAAUUGCUCCGCAUCUUCUUGUGUGGUAGUGGGCACAGAUGUGCUUGAAUCUUCUUGUAAAGACUCUUGAUUGUUGUUCUGCUUAGUAACAUCGGGAAGCCCUUCUAAUCUUAUGAAUUCAGAUCUUUGUGGACUUGUAUCUGAAUCAGCCAUCUCUGUUUCUCCACUUGAUCUGUCUUUGUACAUAACUUUCUCAUUGAAGAUCACGUUCCUGCUUCUGAUAAUCUUUCUAUUCUGAUCAUCCCAGAACCGAAAUCCAAAUUCUUCAUCUCCAUAGCCAAUGAAGAAACAUUUCUUGGAUUUGGCUUCUAACUUGUUGCGAGCAUCAGAAUCUAUAUGAACAUAGGAAACACACCAAAGACCUUCAAAUGAGAGAUUCGUACCUCUUUUCCUCUCCAUACUUCCUCGGGCAGUCUGAAUUCCAAAGGAACUGAUGGUCCACGGUUGAUCAAGUAAACUGCGGUAUGAACUGCGUCAGCCCAGAAUGUUUGAGGUAACCCUGAAUGCAACCUCAUGCUUCUAGCUCGUUCAUUGAUGGUCCUGUUCAUCCGUUCAGCAACGCCAUUCUGUUGCGGUGUGCCUGGAACGGUCUUUUCCAUUCUGAUACCAUUGACAGCACAAUACUCCUUGAAACCUCCAUCAAUGUAUUCUCCUCCAUUAUCAGAUCUCAAGCAUUUCAACUUUAGACCUGAUUCAGUCUCAACCAUAGCCUUCCAUUUCUUGAAUGUUUCAAACACAUCAGAUUUAUUUUUCAGAAAGUAAACCCAUACCUUCCUGCUGAAAUCAUCAAUGAAAGUCACAUAAUACCGAGAACCUCCAAGAGAUGCUACUGGAGACGGUCCCCAUAAAUCUGUGUGUACCAGUUCUAGCUUUCUUGGUCGUAAGGUCCUGCCAACCUUCAAGAAACUGACCUUCUUCUGUUUUCCAAGAACACAGCUUUCACAAAUGUCUAGAUCGACAUUUUUUAACUCUGGCAGCUUUCCCUUCGACUGAAGUAUCUUCAUCCCCUUUUGACUCAUAUGGCCAAGUCUACAAUGCCAUAGCUGUGCUUGAUUUUCUGCUUCAGUUGAGGCAAUGAUGUCUGCAAAUCUUGUGGUCAUAUACAGGGUGCCGGUUUUCUUUCCACGAGCUAAAACCAUUGCUCCCUUUGAUACUUUCCACAUUCCUCCAGCAAAAAGUAUUGAAUGACCACUAUCAUCAAGUUGUCCGACAGAGAUCAACUUCUUCUUUAAUUCAGGAACAUGCCUUACAUUCUGCAAGGUCCAUAUAGAUCCAUUCAUUGUCUUGAUUUGCACAUCUCCUAUACCCACAAUAUUCAGUGGUGUUCCAUCGGCCAGAUAGACUACACCAUGAUCUCCUCCAACAUAAUUUUGCAGCAUUUCAUUGUGUGGCGUACAGUGGAAUGAAGCACCAGAAUCAAGAAUCCACUCAUCAAUUUGACUAUGUACAGCAAGAAUUAAAGCAUCUUGUACCUCAUCUGUGGUAGCAUUUGCAGAGUCAGCUUCAGGUUUCUUCGGUUUUGUGCAAUUCCUACUGAAAUGACCAGGUUUGCCACAAUUCCAACAUUCAACCUGCUUUCUGGAUCCAAACUUGCUUUUACUUCUGUAUCUGGAUUUUGAUCUGCCUCUGGAUGAGCCUCUAUCGUGUCUCCUCCCUCGAGUGUUGAUGUUGAGAGCUGAUCCUGAGCUUGAACUUUCACCCGAGUCUUUCCUUCGCACUUCUUCAGCCAAAAUCAAGUCUCGAAUGUCAUCAUACUUCAGUUUGGAUUUUCCAGCUGAAUUGCUCACGGCUGUCCUCAUGCCUUCCCAACUGCUUGGAAGUGAAGCUAGCAAGAUGAGUGCACGAAUCUCAUCAUCAAACUCAAUCGCAACAGAUGAUAAUUGAUUUGUGAUGGUAUUAAAGUUGUUGAGGUGUUGUGUCACAGAAGCGUUUUCGACCAUCUUCAAGUUGAACAACUUUUUCAUCAGGUGCACUUUAUUAUUUGCUGAUGGCUUCUCAUACAUCCCAGACAAGGCUUCCAUCAAUUUUGCAGUGGAUUUUUCUUUCGUAACAUUGUGAGCAACUCUUCUUGAUAACGAUAGCCGGAUAAUGCCCAGAACUUGUCUAUCAAGAAGUUGCCAUUCUUCUUCUUCCAUCUUUUCUGGUUUGCUUCCCAAUAAGGGAAGAUGAAGUUUCUUCCCAUAUAAAUAAUCUUCAAUUUGCAUUUUCCAGUAUCCAAAAUCUGUUCCGUCAAAUUUUUCAAUUCCAGCAGCCUUUAUUUCAUCUGCCAUUUUUACUACUUCUCCGAUUCGAAUUUCCCAAAUCUGACCUUACAGAUGUGUCCGGAACGGCCAAAAACCUUGGAAAUGACACUGAGAUCACCCCAAUCGGACUUCGGAUGGCUCAGAUUUUAGCAAUCAAAGUUUUGGAUUAACGGACGGUUCAGAUGCAGCCGCGUGUCAGCCAGAGUACCGCCUGCGUCGCACCGGAUAAAAACUCAGCGCGGUGUAGAUUAAGCCGUGUCAGCAGAUUAGGCCUGAGUCGCACUGGAUCAAACUCCUAACGGUCCUGAUUAAGCCACGUGUCAGCCGAUUAGUAACUGCGUCGCACCGGAUCAAAACUCAACGGUGAUGAUUAGCCACGUGUCAGACGAUUAGACUGUGUCGCACCGGAUCAAAACCCUAAACGGUGAUGAUGUAGCCACGUGUCAGACGAUUAGCGUCUGCGGUGCACUGGAUCAAAACCAGAUGGAUGACGUGGCAGUGACGUGGCAGGAUAACGUGGCCGUUACCGUGACUUGCUGACGUGGCGGGUCAGACCCGACCCGUUUUGCAGAAACCGGGCGAAGAAGGAGCGUGGCGCGCGUACGGCGCGUUGGUGCGCGUGGGCAGUGCUGCGUCGGCGCGUGUGGGCGCGUGCGGGCAUGCAGGACGUCGGUUCUUCGCCGGGUUUUCAACAGUGGAUUCGUCCGGUUGUCCUCUACACGAUGGUAUGUUCAAAAACACGUUUUGAGAACUUUGAUUUUUGAGUUUGGAUCAAACACCCUCUUUUUCAAGAACAAGCUCUGAUACCAGUUGUUGGGUUAUUUCCAGAACUCAAACACACACAAUUUACGUGGUUCGGCAACUUGCCUACUCCACGGAGCUACUGGUUUGUAUUAAUGAAGCUUUACAAACAAUACAAACAACAAUACAAGGAGGAGGAGAAAAUCUUCUCAACUCAACUCAACUCUCCUUAGCUCUCUCUCUGUUUUCUCUCUGUGUUUCUCUCUGUAUUCGUAUUACACAGGCUCUCCUUGGCAGCCUCUUCUUAUAGCAGAGGUAGGAGAUAAUUAUCUCCAACUUUGGUCAAAUAUGGCAACCACCGAUAUUGCCACCUUGCAGCCACUGCCCACCGUCCUUGCCGCCAUCUUUGACGCCGCCAGCAGCCAUUGUUGACGCCGUCAUGCAGCCAGCUUGUGUCCAUACAUAACAAUGUUGUUCAAGUCAUUUUCCCAACCGUCAGAAACUGCUCUGUUGAUCACCCCAUCUUCAUCACUUUCAAAAGAAACAUGAAAUAAUUUAGCCAACUUUGAGUUUCUAUCGUCAAAAUUCACUACAAAGCACUCUUUCCUCUUCUUUUUAUGGCACCAUUGGCUUCCCAGCUGCAAAUUCAAGUUCCCAUUUUUUUUUUAUAUAAAAAAAAAAUCAUUAUUUUUGGCUAAAAACAACAACGUUAAUGACAAUUUAUGUAUAGCUUGACAUAUCUUGCGGAGCAUACAUAAGGACCCUACUUUGCAUUCAGUUGGCUAGACGACAACAGCACAUUACAAGUUAAGAUAAUGCAGCGGCCUCUUAGAAACAAAAGGUUAUGAGCGCGUGAGGGUUUGAUCUUUUAUGUAGACGGCUUCACAAAUUUUGGAUGGAUCUGUAGGACACGCAUAGAUAUAAAAGCAGUCAAGGUUAGUAUUUUAAAAUUAAGAUAUCAAAAGACUUAAUUGUUGAAUUGAAUUCAAUGUUUUUUUAAGUGAUUAAAAAGACAAUUUUCCUCCAAGAAGCGAUUGUGUCCCUUUUUGCACCGUUUGAUCUUUCAAAAUCAGGUUUAAAGCCUUCGUGCUCUUAUUUAUUUAGAUCAAUUCUGUUAUUUUCUCUAGAAUGUUUUAUUUUUUUUAUAAAAAAAAUUGGACUUUGAGUUGUUUCCUACAAAAGGUAGAUUAAAAAGGCAAUUCUCCUAGGCGCUUAGACUUUGCAAUGCAUCAAAUUUAAAAUAACAUGGGUUUGACAUAUAUUUCAAAUCCAAGACACUUGAACUUAGCAAUCAAUCAAGUCUAAGGUAACAUGUGUAGAUAGCGUGGAUCUGGUAUGCAUGCUAGACCCAAGAUAGCAUGAGUCUGGCACGCAUAUCAGGUCCAAGGUGCUUGGACUUAGUAGUUAUCUAUGUCUAAGAUAACGAUUAUCCUCUCUUGGCAUGUCCAGAGAAAUGAGUCGAAUGACCAACCUCCCUCUGUCUAACCUUAAGGAAGAACUCAGUCUUUAUAGGUUUAGCUGCAUUUGACGUCUUAAACUCUAAUAUUCUUAUAUUAAAUCGAUAGCAAAAACAAUUUGUAAUUUUUCCUGUAAAGAUCUAUAAGGUAAUUAUAAGAUCUGGACUUGGAUUUAGAACUAGAAAAAUCUUCUAAAUGAAUAAUAGAAAAGAAGAGAAAAGAGAAGAGAAGAAAGAAAGCUAAGCUUUACAACUGGAAAAAACAUUAUCAGCACUGGAUAAAUAUGAAAUGUUUAUUUCUAUCACCCUCCCGAGCACUCCUUAAAUAAAUAGCAUGACGUCAUACCUUUACUAUGAGGUAAAGGUUCCAAUACCAAAAUACAAAACAACCCCUAGAAAUCAUAAAAUCCUAAUUUCAUCCCCGGAAUAAUAGCAUAUGGCUAGAAAUCAUGAAACAUUGUCAACUGUGUUCAGCAAACUUUCAGGAUCUACUUCAAUUUUCUUAAGAGAAGGGGAAAUAACGAUCGGGAUCCUCGUUAGCUGCGGGCAAUCACCCACAGUAAUUUCUUCGAGAGAAUCGCAUUUAAGUCUUCCAGAAUAAAUGCUUUUCAAAUUUGGUAAUUUCUUCAAUACCAAAACCCUCAAUUUAUCAAAUGUACGAAAAGGAGAGGAAUGCUCAUCACUUCCCAUUAUCUCCUGCAUGUGGUAACAUUCUUCGACUACAAUCACUUCCAAUGGGAGUGCAGACGACAACCAAGGGAGCAGCACCUUUAUCCUAUGACACUUAUGUAUUACGAUCUCUCUGAGUUUGAGAAAGACACCAACAGUACGUAGCUUUGAAGGUACUACUUCAAAAAGGGUUUCUAAGAUUAUCAAACCAUCAAGGUGUAGAAUCUCAAGCCCUUCAAGCCAUCCAAAUACAUAUGAUCGACAUAAGCUUCUCAUGUUUUGACAACUCACAAAAACUACUUUUGUAAUGAAGGGCGGGAUCAGACGAUUUGCAUUGUCAAGCUUGAGGUCAUAAAACCAAGCCUCUUUAAUUAACCCUGACUUCGAUCUUGUAUAAUUUAGAUCUUCAAGUGAAGAGAAACAAGGUCGUCCUACAGUAAACUUGCAUGCAAUUAGUAAAAAUCUCCGUCCACGACAGAAAUAUCCGAAAUCGUCUAGAUCACGGAAGUUGCAUUCCAAAGUUUCCAAAUCAUAUAAUCUGGAAACUUCGUCUCCACUAACUAAGAGAACAACUCCAAAUCCCUGAAGAAGCUUGAGGAACUGUAAUUUUGAGAGUUGGGGUAAAAUACCCGGCCGUAAAAAACGCACCACACUUUGAUCAAGAUUAAGAUACCUGAGAUCCUUCAGCCCUUCCAUUCCCUCGGGCAAAUCUUCAAGUCCAGUGUAACUGAGAUCCAACUUCUCCAAUGCCUUAAGCUUUGCCAAUGAUGGUACAUAACUCAUCUUUGCACACCAUCCCAGCAACAAUGCAGUGAGUCUCGUCAGAUGAGAAAUAGAAUCCGGCAACUUCUCUAUAUCUGUGUCGGAAAGAUCAAGAACCUUGAGCCCGAUGAAGUGCUGGAAAAAAGACCCCUGGACAAAAUUCAAUUUGUAGUUUCUGCAUAACAAUAAUGUUGAGAGACGGGGGCACAUUGGUGAAAAGUCUGUUGGAAUAUUCUCGAUUCUAUUUUCCACGAGUGAAACUCUUGACAGAUUAUCUCUCCACCAUCUUACAUCGGGUAAUUCUGUUAGUUGUGCACCUGCUUGAACCAUAUCACUCCCACUUUCGUUCAUUAUUUUCACAGCCAUAUCCCAAAUCAAAUCAUGCAUCUUGACAUAUCUGUAAUUUUCAUCGUCCCUGGAACCUUCUAAUAAGCUGGCAUUUUCAAGGUGAUUAAGCAUGGUAUGGCCCCGAUCAAAUUGUGCUUGCCUACUCUCCAUUUCUUUGACUAUACCCUCAUCAAUCAAAUACUCUAUCAAGUCCUCUCUCCUGAUCUUCUUGCCUUUUGGAAACAAUGCACAAUAUAAGAAGCAAUCUUUAAUCGCUUUAUGUUUUAACUGAACAUAGCUAAAUUUCAAUAUCUGAAAUACAUCAGUUUCCGUGUCACAUGUUCCAAUUUCUGAACUUGCCGGUUCCCGCAAUGCAUCUCUCCACUGAGAUACAUCAUCCACUCCCCUCAUGCUUCCAGCCAUUGUCAUGAUUCCGAGAGGCAAACCAGAACACUUCUUCACAAUAGACACUGCAGUUUUUUUAAUUUCAGGACGAAGUGUAACACCAUGCCCUAAUCUGUCUAUGAACAAAUCCCAAGCCUCACUCUCAGAAAGAGGCUCCACUUUGAUUAUGCUUUGGCAAUCCAUUUUUCGACAUGUGUCCAAUGAUCUAGUUGUAAGAAUCAGCUUACACCCAUCUGUUUUAAGAGGUAUUCCCACUUUAUCAAGAGGAAAUUGAUUCCACAAAUUAUCAAUAAUUAAAACACAUUUUGUCACACUCAAUGUAGUCCAUAGCUCCCCGGCUCUAUUCACCACAUCUUUUUUAUUCCCAAGAUGUAAACCAAAAGCUUCGGCAAUGAGAUCCUGCAAUGCGUAAACGCUAAAUUCUUGAGGCACAGAAACCCAACAAACACGAGGGAAAAUGUCUGGUUUCUCUUGAAGCUGAUUGUGGAUAUGUGUAGCCAAAGUUGUCUUUCCAAUUCCCCCCAUCCCGUAAAUGCCAAUGCAUGAGACCUCAUCAUUCAACAACCAGGACCAGACAUCAUUCAUGUUUCUUUCCAUAGCUUGGCCCACUAGCUUUGUUGUCGGAAAUACAUAUCUUCCAGUCCUACGUUUCUUAUGUACAGGCCUUUUAGAAGAGGGUCGUCUCUCAACAACAGACUGCAUCAAUUCCGGUCUCAUGAUCAGUCUAGCAAUUCUUAACUCAAAAUCCCUCAUUGAUGAGGAUGAGAUGUUAUUCAAGUUCAUUUCAAAUGACUGAUGUGCUUGCUCUGUUCUUUGUCUAGUCUCGGGUUCAUCUGGCAUAAGAACGACAGGAGCUCUAGGUUCCUGGACAAGCUCAGUCUCCCCCCCAAUCAGAAAACCCUUCCGUCCUCGUUCAUCCGAAAGAGGUUGUUCUUCUUGUUCCAUUUCUAAGCCCCGCAAAGCAGUUGAAGCUGCAUUAAUUCCCUCGUUAUUGCUUGAACUUGGCACACUCUUAUCUAAAAGCAUUUUAGAACAGCUUCCUCUCUCAGUAACAGCCUGCAUCAAUUCCCGACUCUCUAUACCACUGCUUAGCUCAACAUCCCUCGUCAAUGAAGAUGUGAUGUUAUUCAUAUCCGUUUCAAAUGCUUGAACUGCUGGCUGUGGCUCUAUUCCCAAUCCCGUCUCAGGUGCAUCAGGCAUAAGCAUGCUAGGAACCAUGGUCUCCUUGUUGAAUCCUAAACUCAAUCUAGAAGGUCAAGGAAGGAAACCACUAGCUGCCACCGACCAGCCACCAACCGACCAGACGCCAGCCACCAGCCGCAGCCGCCAGCCGCCUUCACACCUGCUGCCGCCAGCCGCCUUCACACUUGAAGGUUGAAUUUUUGUAUUUUGAUUUCUGUAUAAAUAGAAUGCCCAGCUUAUGUUAUAUGUGUGGAGAGAAUUGAGAGAAACACUUGAAAGAGAAUAGAGAGAGAGAGGGCGUGUAUUGUUAAGCUUUUGUUAAUUAAUUGUAAGCUUUGGAUUUGUGUAAUAAAACCGUGUGUUUUAUCCCCUCUGAGUGUUUCAAAGCCACCACCAGUGGUUUCUCCCACCAACAAUUGGUAUCAGAGCCCCGUUCGUUGGAAAAUAGAAGAGUUUUGGGGUAUAUCCGAAUUUUCAAAGUUGUCAAAAACAUGUUUUGAUCAUUCCAAAGUGUAGAGCUCAUCAAGACGAGCUCACUGUCGCAAGACUCAGCCUGAUCGGAGACCGCGGUGAGCCCUACGCGCCGCCUGAAGAUUCUGCACAGAAGACCACGCACAGCCACGCGCGCCAGAGGUUGAAGACGACUGACGUGCACGCGCGCCAUAUUCAAGCCGAGCCGAGCCGUUCACGCCGAGUCCAAGCCGAGACGCAAGCCGAUUCCAGCCGAGCCGCGUUUCCAGCCGCAGCCGAGCGAGAGAAUAUUCCCCAGAAUAUUCCCAGAAUAUUCCCCAGAAUAUUCCCGGUUCAACCCAGCAAACCGCCCGCCAUACAGAAUUGGUUUUUUGACCGGUUCACCCAUUUUCUGACCCGUUUUCAACAAAGUCAGACCGGUUCCCGACUAUUUGGACCAUUCCGGAUCGAUCUACAGUGUCUGUUUGGUCAAAUUCGGCUCCCAGAAGGCGAUAUAGUCAUUAAAAGAGCAAAAUGACUACAAAAAAAGUACACAUACACUCAUCCCGAAGCUGACCAAAGACAACUAUGAUAGUUGGUGCAUCAGAUUGAAGGCAUUUCUUGGGUCACAAGAGUGUUUGGAUAUUGUACAAACUGGUUAUGAUGAACCAGAGUCCAAAGAAAGAGAAGAUGCUUUACAAGAAGCACAGAAGCAAGCCUUGAAAGUCAACAGAAAGAAGGACAACAAAGCAAAGACCAUCAUCUACCAAGGUCUUGAUGAAGAUACAUUCGAGAUCAUAGCUUCCGCUGAAACGUCACAUGAUAUAUGGGAGGCUCUCCAACAGAAAUAUAAAGGUGCUGACAGAAUCAAGAAGAUUCGUCUUCAAUCUUUACGAGGUGACUUCGAACUAUUGCAAAUGAAGUCCUCGGAGUCUAUUUCUGAUUAUCACACAAGGAUUAUGGUGAUAGUAAACCAGAUGAGAAGAAAUGGAGAAGCCAUCAUAGAUACUCGAAUUAUUGAGAAAAUUUUGAGAUCCAUAGAUCCAAAAUUUGAUCAUGUUGUUGUCGCAAUUGAAGAGUCCAAGGAAGUGGACAAGUUGACGGUUGAUGAGCUUAUGAGUUCGUUGCAAGCUCAUGAGCAGAAGAUUGUAAAGCGAAAUGAAGAUAAGGCCAUUGAGCAUGCCUUACAAGCAAAGCUGUCUUUCAAGGACAGAUAUGAGCAAGGGGAGACUUCAUCAAGUGGCUACACUACUCAAGGAGGAAGUCAACAAUCCAGAGGAGGAUUCCAGCAAUUCCAAGGAAGAGGUUCUUGGAAUACAAGCUUUAGAGGAAGAGGUGGUAGAAACACCACCAGAGGAGGCAGAGGCCAACAAGCAUUCACUCCUAGAAGAAGAGGAGGCGGUUACAAUAACCGUGACAAGAGGAAUAUCCAAUGUUAUAGUUGCAAUGAAUUUGGGCACUAUAGCACUGAAUGCCGAUGGAAAGCUCCGUUGGAGAUACGUGAGCAAGCCAACUAUGUAGAGAAGCAUGAAGGAGAAGCAUCUGCAUUUCUUGUCCAACAAGAACUUGGCGAGAAACAGGAGAACAUAUGGUAUCUAGAUACUGGAGCGAGCAAUCACAUGUGCGGCUACCGAGAGUUAUUUGGUGAUCUAGAUGAGACCAAGCAAGGUCUAGUUACUUUUGGAUAUACCAUAAAGGUUCCAUUCAAAGGUAAAGGCAGCAUCCCAGUCAAGUUGAAGAAUGGCGAUUCCAGCUACAUCGCUGAUGUGUAUUAUGUCCCAGCCAUAAAGCAGAACCUGAUCAGCUUAGGUCAACUUUUGGAGAGAGGAUAUAGUUUUUACUCGAAGAAUUGUCAUCUGACAAUUAGAGACAACAAUGGGAGAUUAAUGGCCUACGUGAAAAUGUCCAAGAAUAGGAUGUUUCCUUUGAACAUCCAGUAUGAUGCAACAAGGUGUUUGAGUGCCAUCACCAACAGUGAAGAAUGGCUUUGCCACCUAAGGCUUGGACAUCUGAAUUUCACGAGUAUUAAGAUGCUAGCAAGCAAGAAGAUGGUCAAAGGUUUGCCUCACAUUGAUCAUCCAGAUGAAGUCUGUGAGAGUUGUGUCCUCAGCAAACAUCACAGAUCCAGUUUUGCCAAAGAAGUCAACUGGAGAGCAAAGAGGCCACUGGAGUUAGUACACACAGAUGUGUGUGGCCCAAUAACGCCUAUGUCGACUGGACAAAAUAGGUAUUUCCUCACUUUUACUGAUGAUUUUAGUAGAAAGACGUGGAUAUACUUUCUAAAGAGGAAGUCAGAAGUAUUCAAUUGUUUUAAAGAUUUUAAAGCAAUUGUGGAGAAGCAAACUGGUUACACGAUCAGAACAGUGAGAUCUGAUCAAGGUGGAGAAUAUACAGCCAAUGACUUUGAAGCCUAUUGUACACAACAAGGCAUCAGACAUCAGACGACACCAGCUUAUACACCACAGCUGAACGGUGUAGCAGAAAGGAAGAAUCGCACGAUUCUUGACAUGGCAAGAAGUCUGCUCAAAGCAAAGAAGUUGCCCAAGCAAUACUGGGCUGAAGCUGUAUCAUGUGCAGUGUAUCUGUUGAAUCGCUGCCCGACCAGAAGUUUGCAAGGUGUUACUCCAGAAGAAGCAUGGAGUGGUCACAAACCAAGUGUAACUCAUUUAUGAGUCUUUGGUUGUGUGGCAUAUGCAAAGAUCCUAGAUGCAAGAAGGAGAAAGCUCGAUGAUAAGAGCGAGAAAUGCAUCUUUGUCGAAUAUGGUGAAAGAAAGAUGGGAUACAGGCUGUAUAAUCCUAUCAUGAAGAAGGUGAUUACGAGUAGAGAUGUUAUCUUUGAAGAAGAUAAAUCUUGGGAAUGGAAUGGUGAUCAAGAAGCAGUCAAAUGGAUCAAUCUUGAUUUGAUCCUUGAAGGUGAAGAAGUACCAACAGUACUUGUCGAAGAACCAAUUGUGCCAGCAGCUGAACCACAAAGUCCGGUGUUUAUACCAGCAGCUGAACCACAAAGUCCGGUGCACAGAUUCCCUGUAUUCAACAGGAGGAACACACUAGGAGCAUCAUCAUCAACACCACCAUCAACAUCCUCAUCAGAAGGACCAAGAAAGAUACGAAAUCUUGAAGAGUUGUACGAUACCACUCAGGUUAUGGAAGAUACAACUCUGUUUUGUUUCCAUGCAGAUAGUGACCCAUUAAGCUUCAAUAAAGCUGUCACAGAAGAGAAAUGAAUUAAAGCAAUGGAUGAAGAAAUACAUGCCAUUGAGAAGAAAGAUACCUGGAAGCUGACUUAUCCACCAGAAAAGAAGAAAGCAAUAGGUGUCAAAAGGGUCUACAAGACGAAAGCCAAAGUAGUGGAUAAAGGGUACAAGCAGAGAGAAGGCAUUGAAGAGAGAAGUAUUCAUGCUUGGCAUGACAUCCCUCGAUUGAGUUUAAAGGGGAGAUUUAUUGAAUCCUAAACUCAAUCUAGAAGGUCAAGGAAGGCAACCACUAGCUGCCACCGACCAGCCACCAACUGACCAACCGCCAACCGCCAGCCGCAGUCGCCAGCCGCCUUCACACCUGCUGCCGCCAGCCGCCUUCACACUUGAAGGUUGAAUUUUUGUAUUUUGAUUUCUGUAUAAAUAGAAUGCCCAGCUUAUGUUAUAUGUGUGGAGAGAAUUGAGAGAAACACUUGAAAGAGAAUAGAGAGAGAGGGCGUGUAUUGUUAAGCUUUUGUUAAUUAAUUGUAAGCUUUGGAUUUGUGUAAUAAAACCGUGUGUUUUAUCCCCUCUAAGUGUUUCAAAGCCACCACCAGUGGUUUCUCCCACCAACACUCCUCAGCAAGCACAAUCUCUCCCCAGUCAUCCCAUCCAUCCAUGAAAAAUCAUCCAAAAGAUGUUGUCCUUGUUGCAUUUCUAAAUCUUGCGCAGGAUCUGAAUCUGCAGCAACUAUUAUAUUAUUGCUUAAAAAAAGUAAAAUGGAUUUAUGUCGUUCAUGGAUGUCAUAUGGACAUGUUGUUGGUCUUCCAGGAAGCGGAUACGGCGAGGGGUGCUCUAGUGAAGGCGUGGGGGUAGGCGGUGGCUGAUGAUAGUCUCCUCGUGUGGUGGACAGCACGCCAGCUUUGCAAACGAUGAGAAAGAGCACGAUCCAUCACAAAACAGCAGAAGAGAAAGCAGUAGGCCGAGGGAAGAAAAGGGAGCAGAGUCGACUGAGAGAGAAGUAGAGCUUGUGAAAGCAAUUCAAUUAAUAUAAAAUAAAUAAAUACUUGUAUAAGAAGGUUAGAAUUUUUUUUAAUUAAUUUAUUUUAAAAGUAUAUAUUUUAAUCUAAAUUUAAAGUAAUAAUAUAUAGAUUAAAUUAAAAAUAUUUUUUAUUUUUAAUAAAACAAACAAGAUAAAUAUAUAUUUUUUAAGAUCCUUUUAAACUUACGAUGUGACAAUUAUAAGUAUUGAGAAUUCAACAACUAAAAGUAAAAAGUGAGAAAGGGAGUGUAACUUAGUAAAGAAAUAUAUAAUUUGCAAGGAAAAAAAAAACAAAAUGUUGAAUAAUAAUGUCAUGCUUGAGAUGAUAGUGAGUAAAAUAAUAAUUGAUCUCAAUACAUUUAGUUUGUUCAUGAAAAAUUAAAUUGUAAAUAAUAUAAAUAGAACUUUAAUUAUCAAAAUUCAUAGAAAUAGAAUAAGAAAAUUUCUAUUGAACUCCUAUUAAAAAACAAAUUUACUAAUACAAAUAUUUUAUUUUUAUUUUUAUUUUUAUUUUUAUUAUUCUUUUUUUUUUCUAGAAUGUGAUUAUCAAAUCAUUUGCUCUCUCCUAAAACUUUUGUGAUAACUUUCCUUUCUUUUCUCAAUAUCCUAAGAUUGAAAUAUAAAAAAAAAUAAAGUUUGAUGAUGAAACAUCUCUAAAACAAUAAGAAUCAAAUAACAAAAAAUUUGAAACUUUAAAAAUUAAAUUAAAUUUUUCCACGUCAAAAUCUGAAUGGUAUAUUUAUUUUUGUUUUUCAUUAAAUCUAGUUUUUGUUUCUUUUAAUUUUUUAUUUUUAACCACAAUUAAAUUUCAAAUUUAAAAAAUAAAAACCAGACUCAAAUUUAAAUAUCCUUAAAACCAAACAUGCAGGAGAUAAUGUAAAUCAAAAUAAAUACAAACAAGUGAUAAUAUAACUCCAAAGUAUAAAAUUAUAAAAAUAAAAAGUUUAAUAAUCAAAAUUAAAAAUACUUUGUUUUUAUAAGCAGAUGAAUCCACUGUGGACCUAUACUAUAUAAUAAGGUUAGAUUUUCUUGUUGUGUAAAAAUUAAUAUUGAGGUGUUGCAAAUAUAUUUUUAAGCAUGAAGAAGAAUUUUCAUUUUAGGUUAUAGACUUGACUAUGUCAAAUAGGAUAGUUCAUUUAAUUAGAUGAUAGAAAAAAUAGAGUAAUGGAAAUAGAUGUACAAAAUUAAAGAAAAAGUCAUGAUAAUAUAGGGAAAAACUUUAGAGGAUGAAGUUGCAAGAAUUAAAAGUCCAAUGACUAAAAUUAAAAAAAUGAACUGCUCAUAUGUACAAUCAAAUCCACGACGAAAGCAUGAACAUUGUUUGGUGCCAUAGUAAAAAGAUCCUUAUGUUCAAGCUAUUUCUGUAAUAAUCUCUAACUGUAAUUUGAGUUCCGUCAUCCAAUUGUAAGCUACACGUCGUCUGUGAUUGUCAGUUUUCUAUUCAGACAUUCUGUGAAUAGUCAGUCAAAGUGAAAUACAAGAAAACAAAUCCCUCUCUCCUCUCCCCGCUCUGUAAACUCUCCUUUUAGGUAGCCAUGACUGCGGCCACCAAGAAACACCUACCCUCCUCCGCUAAGCCACCCAAGAACCACCACUCUACCCCCAACACCACCACCACAACAACCCCACAACCUAACAUCACUCAAAACCCUAACCCAACCACUAAUCCAUCACCACUAUCUCCCACCCUCAAAGACCAGGUUUUGUCACGCGCCACCCACAUCACGCACCAAGAACUCCUCAAAAGAAGGUCUUACAAGCUAAAACAAC